UUUUAUAUCGAUGAUCCUGGCUCGGUGCAACGUCGAGGCGGCCGACCAUAGCUCGUUUCGCUUCAGGCUCACCUACUGGCCGUCGGGGUAGGGAGUGGUCAAACACUUCUCUCUGGAAACUUCGUUGCUUGGUUUCAUUCAAGACGGAACCGAAACGAUAGCUGGGUCUCGUUUUCCCUAGUCCACCAGCAUGCUCGAUUUGAACGAGCCGUCCCUUUUGUCGAGUUUGAGUCGUCACUUGCUGCUUUCUUUUGAGUAAAUGACUUGGAGUGCUGCCAUUUUCUUCUAUGUUGAUAGCUGCUUGAAUAUGCUCAAGACUCCUCCCUUUCGUUUCAGGAACGCACACUUUAAAUUCCCCCCUGGAGUUUCUGCAUGAAAAUUGAUUAUUCACUGGUUUAAUAGCAUGCGAGUAAUGACUGGACUUUAUCUAUUUAGAUAUGGUGGUGGACUUUUGACUAGUUAUGCACUGUUCAGAAUGCCAGAUUCAUUUGUAGAGGUUUAUAGAGGAAAAUUUUGUUUACUGUUUUUCUAAAUUAUACAACAGGUAUUUAUAAUUUGCAUUUUUAAAUUGUAAUUUCCUUUCAAUUUCGGGAGAGAAGGAUCACGUCGUUUCUUGGUGCAAUGGGGCAGAAGUUUCUAUAUGUAUAUCACUUGUGUGGCACGUAUAUUGCUUUUUUUUUGACAAUUCUCAUAACAGUUUACUUGGUGACACCCAAUUGCAUAUCGUUUGGCUACAUUUUGCUCCUCCUAUGUUGGAUCAUAGGAAGACAACUCAUUGAAAGGACAAGAAGACACCUUUGGUUUCCAUUGAAAGUAUAUGCAGUCACUGUGUUUAUCUUCAUAUACAGCUUGAGCAAUUUCUCCACCUUUGAGAUGUGGUCGUCAGGGCUGAUUGAUCUUUAGUUUUACUUGGCCUACAACUCAGAAGCUUCGCUAUUGCAGAAUAUUUGGCAGUCUCUUGCAAUCCUCAUUGUGAUGCAGCUCUACAGCUACGAGAGGAGACAGAGCAAGUAUAUCCAAUCCGAUGACUCCAAACUUAUGGAAUUUGGAGCACUUGGAUUUAUUCAGAGUUUCCUUAUUUGACACGGUGACAACGUAGUGUAUAUAACAGUGUUCUAUGCAUCAUUGUCACCAAUUAGUCUCUUUGGUUUCCUUUAUCUGCUUGGUCUUGUCGUAUGUUCCCUUUUACCUAAAGCAUCUCAAUCCCAUCAAGUUUUGAGUUAUUACAGUCAGGCUUUUGGGCUCUAGAAUUGGGUUUAAGGGGAAAAGUGCUGGCGAUAUCUGCUUCUACCCUUCAAUACAAUGUCUUCCGUUGGUUGCAAAAAGUACCAACUCACAUUUGCGCAAAUAUUACACCAAAGAACCUUGCCCUCUGUUUGUAUCAGCAGAAGAAGUGUUUAGGGAUUUUUCUAAUUCAAACGGGGAAAGCAAACCACCUGCAGAUUUUCCUGCAAUUCCUUGUGAAGCAGAAGGCGUGAGAAACAAUUUAUCUUUCUCAGCCUCUGGUUUUUCUCAAGCAUCAAAUAAUGUACCCAAAGCUGGAGGCUCUGGGGGUGGCAGUGCUAGAAAAUACUCCUUUGGAUAUAUUUGGGAAAGCAUCAACGAAAGCCACAAAUGGAACAAGAAAAGGAUUAUCACCAUGAGAAGGGAGAGAUUUGAAACGCAGAAGACAAUCUUCAUAGUCAAUAUAGAUUUUUGGAUGGAGAAGAUGUUUAAUCUCUUUGGCCUCGAAAUAAACAUGGUGGCCUUGCUCCUUGCCUCCUUUGCUUUGUUAAAUGCCAUUUCUAUACUAUAUAUUGCACUUCUCGCUGCCUGCAUACUUCUAAAUCGCAAUGUCAUUCGGAAAUUAUGGCCAGCACUUGUCUUUUUGCUUGCUUCCAUUCUUGUCCUAGAAUACUUUUGUCAUUUGGAAGAGCACACCAUCUGCCAAUUCACAAACAUCAAGCAAGGCUAAGUCUGUAUUUCCUUUCAAAUUUUAUGAUUCUCCUGCCAGUAUGAAUGCUGAAAGUUUUCAUGUGAUGAAUUCAGCUGAUCAUUCAUUUGAGUUUUCCCAUUGCGAGAUCACUGAGGUUGAGAAGGAUGGUGGAGGUUCUCUAUAUGAUUCAGAUAAGAAAGAGAGAGCCAGAGGUCAAGCUGAGGAUAACUCUAUAGUUUCUGCUGUGUAGCUUUUGGGAGAUGGCGGUUAGUUCUCUUGUAACCUUCCCGAACAUCAAGCCAGAAGACAUGGAUGCUAGGGGCACAAUCAAGCACUCUCCCCUACACCCGAUCAACGGCCAGGAUCACCUGACGAAGCAGCAGAGGUUCGCCAGAUCGAAGCUCCGGGUUUCCAUCAACCUGCCGGACAACGAAAUCUCCCUCCUCCACAGCCAGCAGAAUCUGAGCUUCAGCGAAUCGUCCCCCGCAGCCACUGCCGCCGCCGCCGAACCUCCGACUUCUCCUUCUCCAUCUCCCCACUCCUCGUCCUUGGCCUCAGCGUCGAUCGGUCGAAUCUUCAAAGGGAAGGCUCCGGCGAAGGCGAGGGGGAGCCUCGAGAACGGCGGUAGCGGCGGCAACCCUUGCAGGGGCGGCAUGCGUACAGGAGCACGAGGACGGUGGUGGAGGUGCUGCGGGAGCUGGACGCGGACAUAGUGGCGCUGCAGGACGUGAAGGCGGAGGAGGAGAGGGAGAUAAGCCGCUGUUGGAGCUGGGGGCGGCGCUAGAGAUGAGGUACGCAUUCGCCGAGAGCUGGGUGCCGGAGUACGGCAACACCGUCCUCUCCCGGUGGCCAAUCAAGCACUGGAAGGUCCAAAAGAUAUUCAACGAAACCGAAUUCAGGUCCAUCACUUUGUUUUAUUUUAUUUAUAUAUUUAUUUAUUUCCAUAUAAUUUUUACCUGUUAUUCUUGCUAUCAUUUUCGUAAUUGUGGUGACGAUGAUAUGCUCUCUUUCUUGUUGAGCAAGUGGUCUUCCUAGGAACCACUGGGGGUUCGCCCCAGUGGCCACCCUUCCAACAUGAAAGGGGGAGGUGAGGGGUUCAAAUCUCUAGAGACAGGGCACAAGUCUGCGAGUGAGUGUAAAGUAGGAAUAGAGUAGGACUGACAAAAAAAAAAAGUGGUCUUCCUGGGCGAUUUCGAAUUUUAAAAGAUAUUUUCAUUUAUUUAUUGAGGCGUCCACCAUUGAAAGUGAAGUUUGAUAAUAUGUCAUAACUAAUAUUCCCUCUGGGCAUAUUAUAUCAUAAUUAAUAUUCCCUCUUGUUAUCAUUUUCGUAAGAACUCACUUGUUCGCUUUUCCAUCUUUCGAUUUUUCUUUUUCACUCUAUCAAAUGGCUAAUCUAAGGUACUUUUCGAGCACGAUGCUCUUCUCGCUCGAUGAUCACAUGAUUGGCUUGAAUGGACGGAAAUUCACAACAUUUGAAGCUUGAUGAUCAUGUUGAAUAUAUACAUCCGUUGUUUGUCAUCACUUUGCCGAUAUCAACUUUUGAUGUGAAAAUCCGUGGUAUAAAAAUUGAAGUCCAAAAUCUUUUUUUCGAGUGAUUAUUGUCUGAAUAUGUAAUUUAAAACUGUUUAUUAUAUCGUAGGUGUGCAAGGGACGUGCAAAUAUAGAACAAGGGUGGACUACAUACUGGCGUGUUGCCCAUACAAGUUCAUUCCGGGGUCGUAUUUGGUCUUGUCAUCGAAAGGGACAUCGGAUCACCACAUUGUAAAGGUCAACGUAACGAAAUGCAAAAACAACCCUCCCCAUGAAAGCAAUGGCAACAACAAUAAAAUUACCAAGAAAAGGCGGCGACAGUGCAAGCACCAGGCCGUUGUAAAGAUCUCAGGCACAGCACCUCCUUCAAAGGGUAUACGGACAACGAACACAUUAAGCAAAGUCGGAUGACAUUACAUUUAUAUCUCCUUUUCCUUUCCACUCUUUUCUCAGCAGCUGCUCCUGUUGCUGCUGUUGACUGAUCUUGGGCAUGCUGGCUUCGUCAAUCUGUGUAAAUCUUCGAUUAUUUUGUGCAUCUUGUCUUCUCUGUUUUUUUUUUUUUUUUCUUCAGUUUAGAGUUGAAGAGGGGAGGGUUCUGGUGUGAUGGCUUCCUCACUUUUGUAUAGAUUUCGACACGACAGAAAAGUGAAUUCUUACGUUUCAACUAGGCAUUCUAAGCGGUUCUGCCAAGUACUUUUUCAGUAUUUUAUGCCUUUUCUUUCCGCUUGUAAUCUUAGCUGCAAGAUUCAGAUUAGUUUUGUCGAGGGCGACAUCUCAAGUUGACUUUGCUGAGGUUGAGGUUAGAGAAUGCGGUAUUGUAUCUUUAGAUUUAACUGAAAGUUGAAACGUUUUAGAUUAAAAGUCCUUGGAAUAAAAUUGCAAAUUUCGAAAAUUGAUUUUUUUUUGUUAUGUUGGACAUCAAGUGAUUGAUAAAAAGACUCAAAGAUUUCAAAUGAAAUACCUUUAAAAAGCAAAUAAGGAAAAAAAAAAAAAAAAGCUGUGAAGUCUGGUAAUUAUGAAUUCUAAACAUCCGUGACAGUAGUCAAUGUUUUCAUUCUUUUUUCUCCGGUCUUGAAAUUAGCAUUGGAAAGAAGAAAAGUGGUAAGUUAGUGCAAUCUACUUCGACAUCUUAACAAAUACCUUCUGUGAUCUCUAAAUGGAGCCUUAAUGAGCAUUAUAAGUAAAAGUGUAAUGAAAAGAGAAAGAAAUAGAUUUUCUAUAUAAUAGACAUUGUUGGCUGAUGUAUCAUGCUAAUUAGCUUAUGAAUAGAAAACCGUGUCUCCCUUAUAAUGGUUGGCAAACUGCGCCCCUUGCAUCAGCAUCGUAGAGGACUCAAGUAUCUCUCAAUUGGCAUAUACUCUUCAAUUGAUCCUCCUUGAUGUAAUUUAUAUCGAUUGACUUAUUUAUUUCGAUUUUGCUUGGGAUCUCAAUUUAGAAAAUCAUGGGGCCAAUUCCAUAAAAAAAAGCACGAACUUUAUGGUUUGGGACAAAUCUGGCCCGAACUUUAUUUUGUCUCGAAAAAAAGCACCAACUUUUAAUCGUGUCCCAAAUCUGGCUUGCCGUUAACUCUCCUUCACGCUCAUCCGACCUGGCAUUUCCAUGUCAGAUAUCUAACAAGGCAAAAUUGUUAUGGGCUUUCUCUUAUUUCUCUUCUUCUAUGAACGCACGGCUCAUGAGUUUGGGGAAAAAAAUUUCUAGGGUUUCAUUUUGUCGGUGAGUUCGGGCGCGGGAGUCUUCAAUCCGUUGGAAGAUCUCGCGCACUAGCUUGCUCACUCAUUCUCUCACACGGAGAUGCUCGAUCUUGUACAUACACACGUUCGAUCGCUCGAAGACAUCCUUUCUGUCGGAAGUUUUGGCCUCGAAGGAUUUAUGCUUCCUUAAGGUCGAAGGACAGAGCAUCAAAAGGUAUUCUUCUUCUCCUCCUCCUCCUCCUCCUUCUGUCUACGGUUUCCUUUCUUCAGCGAAUAAGUGCGCGAGCAAUCUUCAAUCCGUUGGAAGAACUCGCGCCCUGACUUGCUCGCUCAUUCUCUCACACGGAAACUAUCACUCUCGCACAUAUUCACACUCGUUCGCUCGGAGACAUCGUUUCCCUCGAAAAUUUUAGGCUCGAAGGAUCUGUGCUUGCUUAAGGGUUGAAGUCGACAGAGCGUUGAGAGCGUUGAAGGCAUUCAACUCUUUGCUAUUGGACAUAUUAAAUUACGGUCACCAUGUGCUCGAUGGUUUGUCUAGAAGUGAUCUACCUCAUAGGAACUGAAGUUGAAAUUUUCUAGGCUUAAUGAACUUGUGAAUUUGCUAGGUCUUUAGAAUCUUAUGGUUUGGAAUGAAUUUGAUCAUGGCCAUAGGUGGAUAUGUCAUGACUUGGGAGUCUUGGACUUUGUUGAUACUUUCACGCCUAUCGGGUAAUUUGUCUUCUGUUGUCUACAGGGGCAUAUGAAGAAUGGGUGAUGAAAUUUGGAAAAACAAGACUUGUCCAUCCUAAUGGAAGUGUAAAAGUGCAGCGUGCUAAGGUGAAGUGUCGUGUUUGUGGGGAAGAGAAACAGAGGAGGAUUGAUAAUGCUUGUAGAGCUCUAUGACUUCUUCGGACAGCUUGCGUAGUUUGGCCAAAUUCAGCCACGAAGGUGCUUUUAGUUGGGUCAUUUGAUGGUUGAGCCACCCAGGUUAGUUCUCAUCAUUGAGAUCUAUGUAGUUCAUGGUAAACUUUGGAGUAGUUGUGAUUUUCUGUUGUGAACUGUUUGGUUGCACCAUAUAUUUGCUUUGAGCAGUUUAGCUACUGGAGUUAUAAAAAUCGAAAAUUCUUUAUGAAGAUAUGAAUGAAAGUUACUGAAUCAGAGUAGGCAAACAUCAUCUAUGAGCUAAUUAUUGAACUUAUAUGCAAAUUUUAUGUCAUGUUUAAAAAUAUUUUACUGAGGCAUUUCCAGAGAAGUGGAACAUUUUGUUAGGAUAAUGACUCGAUUGACAAAACCACUAGACACUUAAGUUUUCUAGGAGAAUUGCCUCGUAAACAUUUAAAGUAUUAGGAAUGACACUUGGGCAUUUAGUACAUCAUGAUUUUUCUAAUUAGUUCGUAGAUCAAGACAAUCAAUCUGAGCCACCUGGGAAUUUAUUAUGCUUAAUUGGACUGCUUGGGUGUUUUAUUAGAACUGUCAAACUAUGCAUGUAAAUUGUCAAAAAUGAGACUUGCAGAGCAGAUUGCGAAACGAGGGAAGUUUGGUACUUUGCAAGUAUCGCUUCACCAAUAUAAGUUACAUGUUACAUGAUAGUAUACUUUCCCCCUAACAUCAUGCUGGUUAUUUAUAGUUAUCUACAAUGUGCAAAAAAAAAAGAAACAGGAAAUGCUGCAGCUAAUAUUUUUAGCCAUAAAUAUAGUAUAAAAUUUGAUUUGCCCACUUUCUUUGGUCUAUUUGCUAAUUCCACAGGAUCUUGGUCCAGCUUAAACCUAGCCUUUUGCACUUCACCACAUUCAUCUUAUGGAAGAUUUAAAAGGAGCAGAAUGCCUAAGAGCUCGUGGUACAAAUCCUAAGCACAAAAUGUCCCAUAAACAGUAUACAAUUCACUUUGUAAACAGAGUAGCCUAGCUGCAAUCAACUCUUUAUUCAUUGUCAUGUCUAUGAUCAUAUUUUUUUGGGAAGCUCAAAUUCCCUUACUCCUAUUUUAUCAUUUUGGAUUAGUUCAAAUAGUUAUGUAUUUCAAAUAGGUUGUCAUGUGUUUAGAUAUUGGGAGCUAGAACUUAUUCUUUUCUUUAGAGCUUCUGAUUAAUAAGCUAUUGUUGUGUGAAAUGCUUCUUCACAAUGUGAAGUGUGUCGUCACUUUUUAUUAUGCCUUACAAAUAGUAGAGUUAUUGCUGUCUUACUAGGAAUUUGAUUAGCAUGAUAAGUCCAACACUGAACUUUAAAUGUCUAAUUUUUUGCUCUACCUCUGUUUUAUAGGAUUGGGCUGGUUGGGAUUCUAGGUUGAUUGUCGUUUUACUUGUGGAGAAUUGAAGUGUUGCAAGUUGAAUAAGAAGUAAUGGUGAGUUCAUUCAAUUGUUCACCCUUUACGUUUGAAUAUUGUUUUUAGUUUCCAGCGUAUGACUUUGUGUUUUUUACACAGAAUGAAAGUGAUAGUGACGAGGGUUCAUUAGACUUAUGUGAUAAUGAACUAUAUAUAUCCGAUGAUGAAGAGAUCAAUACAAGGGAGAUGAGGAAAGAAUUUAUGGAAGCAAUAAUAUAGGAGGUGGAUGAUAGUAGAGACUUACCUGAAGGUUCCAUCGAUAUAAGAAUGGAGGAGGAGGUUGGUGCUGUUCCACACGAUAGGGGGGAUGAUGAUGAAGAUGCAAUAUUGGAUGAUGAACUUCUAAGUGGUCCCGAUAUUGAUGAUUCUGAAGAAACUAAUAGCACAAUUGGACAAAUGGUUAAUAGGUAUGAUCCUAUGUGUGACCAUAAUGAGAAUAUGUUUAGUCUAGGCAUGAGAUUUGAAUCUCAUGAACAGUUCAAGAAUGUUGUGCGAAAAUAUGCUGUGAUUAAUGGAUUUGACAUUUUUUGGCCAAGGAGUCAAAAGAAAAGAAUGGAAGCAAAGUUUGCAAGUGAUUGUGGUUGGAGGUUGUAUGGUAGUUGGGUUCAAGCUGAGAAAACUUUUGAAAUAAAGAGAGUUGGAAGUCUGCAUAGCUGCAAUAGAAGCCUCACAAACAGGCAAGCCACUUCUACAUGGCUUGCUCGAGAGUACAUGCCUAAGAUUAGAGCCAGACUCACUUAUUCAGCUACUGAAAUGCAAACAGAUGCAAGAGAAAGGUUUGCCCUGAUCCUGAACAAAAAAAAAAAUGCUAUAGAGCCAUAUGGACAGCCCUUAGUCAUAUAAGAGGGCCUAUAGGAAAGCAAUAUGAUAUGCUAAGAUCUUAUUUGGAGGAGCUCAAGAGAGUUAGCAAAAAUGGAACAUUCAUGAUGGAGGUCAACCCAGCAACCAAAGUAUUUGAGAGGUUUUAUGUAGGCUUUGAUGAGUUGAAAAAUGGGUUUUUAGCAGGAUGUAGGCGUGUCAUAGGCUUGGAUGGGUGCUUCCUUAAGACUGGAUUGGAAGGUAUGUUAUUAUGUGCUAUUGGACGAGAUGGAAACAAUCAAAUGUUUCCAGUAGCUUGGGCAGUUGUGGAAGUUGAGUCCGAGGCAUCAUGGACUUGGUUUCUCACUCGGUUAUUUAUUAACUUGAAUGUGGGCACGGGUGAAGGUUGGACUUUUAUCAGUGAUAAGCAAAAUGUGAUAUCUCGCUUUUUUAUUUUAUUACCAUUACACUACACUAGUACAAUCAUUGCUGUGACAUAUUUCUUUUUCAUUGGUUGAUUUUGGUUGCAGGGAUUAAUGAAUGCAGUUUCAUGGCUAUCGCCACAAGUAGAACAUCUAAAUUGUGCAAGACAUAUAUAUGCUAAUUGGAAAAAACAACAUAAAGGGGAUGCUUUGAAGAAUCUCUUCUAGAGGGCUAUGAGAUGUACUUUUGAAGCUGAUUUUGACUUGGUAAUGGUAGAUUUGAAGAUGGAGUGCCCUAAAGGUUAUGAAGACUUCAUGAGACAAGACCGUAAGCACUUCUGCAAGGCUUUCAUUAGGACAUGUACUAAGUGUGAUGCAGUUGAAAAUAAUUUAAGUGAGACUUUUAACGGAUACAUUUGCAUACCGAGAGCAAAACCCAUUCUUGAGAUGCUUGAAGAAAUGCGAGCCAUGUUGAUGGAAAGGAUGACAGAGAGAAGCCAAUUAAUGGUUGAUCGAAUGGAUCCAAUUUGCCCAAGAAUUAGAAUGAAGCUGGAGAAAACUAAACUGGAGUCUAGGUAUUGUUUUGCUAGAGCAUCUUUGGGGAAUAAAUUUGAGGUUGAAGGGGAUGGCAAUAGAUUUGUGGUUGACUUGGCUAGAAAGACUUGUGCUUGUAGGGAAUGGGAUAUCUCUGGAAUAUCAUGUAGACAUGCCAUAUGUUGCAUUGCUUUUAUGAAGUUAGAGAUCAAUGAUUAUGUUGAUGAUUGCUUUAAGAAAGAUGCUUAUGAAAAUUGUUAUAAAUUUCCCUUCCCGGUCAUGAAUGGGGAAAAAAUGUGGCCCAAAGUUAGUGGUGAGCCAAUCAAACCCCCACCUUACAGAAGGAAAAGGGGUAGAGAGAAGAAAAAUAGAAUCAAGGAUAAGGAUGAGCGAAGUAGUGAUGGUAAGAAGUUGACGAAGGUUGGAAUUCAAAUGCAAUGUUCAAAUUGCUUUCAAUAUGGGCAUAACAAGAAGACAUGCAAGAAUCCUAUGACAUCAAGGCCACCCAAAGUAUGUCUUAUUGGACAAUUUUGUAAUUGUUAAUUAAGAUUUUUGUUGGGUUUUUAUGAAUGAUAACAUUGCUAUUUCUUGUGUUUUUCCACAUGUAGGCAAAAAGAGGAAGAUCAAAGAAAGUUGAUGAAGCUAGUGGUGCACAGGCUAGUUCACAGGCCAAUAGACCAUCUAAUAGGGACUCCACUAUCAUCAGGAAGGAGAAAGCACAGGCUAGUGCUUUAUCAAGCAUAAUUUUACUUUCAUAUCAUGUGUAUAUUGUCAUUAAUGUUUUAUGCUCAUUUUGUUUCUUUAGGCUUGACAAGGUUAUGGACUUUUCAUAUCCGAAGCUACUGGGAAUUCUUAUUUAAGGGUAAUCUCUAUCUAAAGUUUAUAUAUAUAUUGAAAAGAAAAGUGAGUUCAUUUGUUUUUUUUUCUUGUAGAUGCCUGGUAGUGAUAAAGUUAUUGACAUUGGAGGUCCAUCUAUUUCCAAGAGGCAAACAAGAGCAAGGAAUGUCGUUGAAGUUUCACUAGGCCAAUCUUCCAUUGAUGUCUCGGAACCUCCAUGCACUCAAGAAUCUGGAAUUGGUGGUUAAAGAUGCAAUUGUGGACCUUGAAAUGCUUGUGUAGUGCCUACUACUUGAUGUUGAGUUGUAGACCAAAAAGUGCUAGUUUGAUGUUGUCUAUAGGUUAAUUUGGCUAUGCAUUGUGUUUGGGGAUUUGGCAAUGUCCUUUUGUAUUUGCGAUAUUUUUGCUAUGCACUAUGUGUUUCAGCUGGUUCAGAAAGCUUGACAAAAGUGAGUUUGGAACAUUUGGAUUUUGCAAACUUAGUUUUUGUAGUUUACAUCUUCAAGGGAGAGUUUGAUUUGAAUCUUGUUGAACCAGUUUCUAGCUUAUGAAUAUUCUUCACAUCGAGUGCAAACUGGUUGAGCUGAUCAGGAGCGAUGUGAUUUGUAAUUUACAUCUCGGCAUGCUUGAAUAAUUGUGCAUAUGGUGUGGAAUGAUAAGCGUCUCGAAUUCUGGAAAUGUAGGCACUAUGGCAGGAUGAGGAGGGAAAUUUCCACAAUGACAAUGCAAUUCUGACUGAUAAGACAAGGGAAACAGAUUCGGUUUUAGCAUUUUUCUUCCUUACACAAUUUGUGCAGGCUUGACCAUGUACAGAUAGUUGUAUUUGCAUAUGUUAGCAUCAGUCUUGUUAAUUUCAGUCUUGAAUUUUUGACACUUACUCAUUAAUAUCAUCAACCAACUUCGAUUCAACUUGCUGGGACAUACCGCUCCUGCCCAGGCUGGUUCACUGCUCUUGGUAGGCCCAUUUCUGGACUAUUGGAUGACAAGCAAGAGAGUUGACGCUUAUGACUACACCUCAGUUGCUGUGCUAAGCCUACAUAUUCAUAGUCUUUAAAGUAACAUUUUAGUUGUCUGCAUUGCAAUAAACUGAGCCUUUGCUCUCUGAAUCUUGUGCUACAAGUAAUAUAUGUAAUGUACAAUUUCCUUGCUCCAGUUAGAUUCGUAGAUGAGGCUAGCACUUUGUUGAGGUAUAUUCUAACAGUGUUUAACCUGAUUUAUUGGACAUUCUAGGAAUGUGCUUGCCUAUAUUUGACCUGUUGAUGAACCACAUGCACCUUCCUACUGUUGUUGUUCUUGUUGGAGUUCAGAAACUGAUGUUGGCCUCCUUACAGUUUUAUUUACCAGGGACCAGAUAACUUUCAUGACCAGUAUGGAUGUCGUGGAUAUCAUACACUUAAUAUAUGGGAUUUUGAUAUUGCUUCUUUGAUUUUGUUUCAUCUUUGAGUUUCCUAGCCACAGAAAAUUGAUGUUUCAUAAGAGGGAAACAUAAAGACUCGAGGUUGUGUUGAAUGAUACCAUAAGAAUGGGCAGUUACUCUAUUAAAGCUUCUCAAUUAGUUCUAAUCACGAAGAGCAGUUACUCAACUCCUGCUUUUCUUGUUGGAUUUUGCAGAUGUUUAUUAUUCUAUCCUGCACCAUUGCUGUGGGGACUAAUCUCAGCCAGUUCAUGCUGCAGCUUUCAGUCCCAGUCAUUUAGGGUUCCUACUUAGGUGAAGUGACUUUUUAUUGAGCGGUCAUCUAUCUCUAUUCUGAGUUGCCUUAUUACUGCUUGGUAACGAACUGAUGUGCAUUUAAAUUAAAUUAAUUAUCAGAAAUACCAAACCUACUGAAUAAAGGUUCAAGCGUCAUCAGGAAAUUAGUUUUAGCCAAUUAAUUUUGCCUGUGAUCGGAAGUAGCCAAAUUUUUUUUUUUAAUUGGCUUUUGGACAGUUACAAAAAUCUAUCUUCAAAUUUCAUCUGUCAAUUGCACUUUGCAUCUUAUAAUAUUUAAACAUACACUCGGCAAGUCAUACUUUAAAAUCCUAGACGUCGGAUUCUGCAUUUUCUGGAAGAGACCUCAUACUUUCCACCUGGUAUUUUCAUAAUUAUUUCCUAGUUUUUUCAAGUCUCGGGUGCAAUGUUAAAUGUUCUAAAGUAAGUUUUUCCAAAUGGUAAAUAAGGGGAAGAGGAGCAUUUUCAUCUUGCAUGGAAGUAGCGUGGGGAGGACUCCUGUCGCGUAGAAUUGAUCAAAUUCAUGCGGUCCGUUUCCCUCGUUUGAGGAUAGAAAUGUGUGGGUUCUCUUUUAACUGUUAUUAUGACGAAGCAUGAUGAAAUCCGAGCGGCAGCUCCAUGGUCUGUUUGAGGGGAUGGACCAUAACGGAUGGUGGCGUUUCCAUUUUACCCACAACUCUUAUGUAAAAUUGCUGUAACGCACAAAAUGGUAAAGCUUUACAAUUAACGGACAAGAUUUAUUUCUUUUUUCCUUUUUUUUUCCUAUUCGAUUGGUCAUCGAGGAGUUGGGAUCGAUCACCCAACAUCCGAGACGAAGAUUCAGACAGCAGAGGCUAAAAUAGAGAAUAGCCUCUUUCUCUCGUCUGCCAAUCCGAGAAUGACAGUGAAACAAAAACGUGCAAUGAGCAAAACGUGCGAUGAGCAAAGGAAGGUGAAUGUGUCCCCUAGUCAGUUCAUGUGGCACGAUAAGGGUUGAAGAUUCUAAUAUACACAUAACAUUACCUCAACAGGACAAUCUGGUGGACCAAGCAAAUAUCGAGUAAACGAGACAGGGAUGCCAGAUAGAUCAACGUCCACGCCUUCGUGGCUGUCAGUGAAAGAUUCAAAGGUGGAGGCUAGUAAUGUACAACCAACAACCGAAAAAGACUGGAAUGCGAAUCUUGGACUUGUCGAUUGUUAUCAAAAUUGAACAUCUCAAUGGCUUCCACGGAAGGAAUGUAAGAGGAUAAAGAAGAUAAAGCCCCUCGUCACCGCAAAACACCCAAAUAACCAGUGUCCUUUCCCCCCACGAUUUGAAGUAUUAUCGUCUAGCAUUAAAGUAGUUCAGACCUUUGCAAGUCCACUUUAGAUGGCGACAAUUAUAUGCAAGUUGGGUACUUAACAUUCAUCUAUUGAUCCCCGAAGUUUCAUAUGCCUGAGUGACAGCCGAAUUUUGAUGGCAACACCUGAUAUACUAUCACAUCCCAUAAAAAUGACAGAAUACAUGUCCAAUUUACUUGCAAGCUGUAUGGAAUCAAUGACAUUGUUAGUUAUGGUCUAAGUUUCAGUAGCUUUUGGUGAAUGUGCCCCCAUUGAUUCAAAGGCCUAAAAUUUGUUGAAAAGAUGCCAAUCAAUGUGGUAUAUACAUAUCAAAAGCCUGGCAUAAGUUUACAAUUGUGUAAAAGAAAAGGGCAGAAGGAUCUAUGUAAUCAUCCUCCAUCAGUUAUAAGACAACGAAUCUUCUCAUGUAAAUGUUUGUGUCAGCUCUCUCUUUCGGAUGGCUUUGUGAUAAUGAGCAAGUUAUUCUCAUAUCCAUUGUUAUGAACAAUUGGUUGCAAUGGAUUGAUCCUCCAUGUUCCAUCGACUAUGAACUUUAUCUGCAUCAGGAAGACCACGGAGGUUAUGAAGCUCAUCCAGAGACAGCAAUUGCUUGUAAUUUUAGACCGCCUUAGACUAAAUUGAGAGAAGACCUACCUCAUAUCUUCCAGGAUACAACUGGAGGCACAUGGAGAAAACUCCGGUGCUCGACUUCUCCAUCUUUCCCUGCAAUGAAGCACAUUACUCUACUGAGCAUCAUUUAGAGAAAGCUACUCAUAUGUAUGAACCACAGAACAUAAAUCUAAAAGCAUGAAGUCUGAAGAACUUCUCAACUCAUAUAAAGCGGAUCCCAACCUCCUUUCUUUUAACCAGUGCACAUGAUGGGAUAAUAUGCGCAUUGGUGAGGAUUAAUCGAGUUGAUAUGUUUAGAUCUAGUGUUAAGACAAAAACGAAACUUUCACAAAGACAAAAAGAAGAAAUGUUAUUAAGUUAAAUUUGUUAAGACGCCAAAGGCUUGAGAAUCACCGAUGCUUCAAACAAAAGGUUGACUGCCUGAUUUUUGAAGGCAAGAUGGACUAGACAUGCAUUGACCGCACAGAUAAUAACAUCCUACAAAAAUGCUUUGCGCUCCUACUCGGCAUGGAUGAAACAACAAUUUAAUAAACUUGAAAAUUAUGAGUAAAGAUCGAUUCAUGUGCCUGAUUCACUCAAUAUCAUCCAAUCUGGGUACGAAAGAUAUGAAGCCAUGGGGCAUUUUCAUAGUCACGGUACCAAACUUCCACGAGCAAAACUGAAAUGUAAAACUCAUAUGUACGCCACAACUAGAGCUCCACGGGCAUUAUACCAUGCUAUUGCAGGUAGAUUCUAAUUUGACUGCCUAUCACAUCUGCAAUGAUUUGAAUACCAGUCCAUACUACCUAAACUGCUCAAAGCAAAUAUAUGGUGCAACCAAACAGUUCACAACAGAAAAUCACAACUACUCCAAAGUUUACCAUGAACUACAUAGAACCCAAUGAUGAGAACUAACCUGGGUGGCUCAACCAUCAGAUGACCCAGCUAAAAGCACCUUCGUGGCUGAAUUUAGCCAAACUACGCAAGCCGUCCGAAGAAGUCGUAGAGCUCUACAAGCAUUAUCAAUCCUCCUCUGUUUCUCUUCCCCACAAACACGACACUUCACCUUAGCACGCUGCACUUUACACUUCCAUUAGGAUGGACAAGUCUUGUUUUUCCAAAUUUUAUCACCCAUUCUUCAUAUGCCCCUGUAGACAACAGAAGACAAAUUACCCGAUAGGCGUGAAAGUAUCAACAAAGUCCAAGACUCCCAAGUUAUGACAUAUCCACCUAUGGCCAUGAUCAAAUUCAUUCCAAGCCAUAAGAUUCUAAAGACCUAGCAAAUUCACAAGUUCAUUAAGCUUGGAAAAUUUCAACUUCAGUUCCUGUGAGGUAGAUCACUUCUAGACAAACCAUCGAGCACAUGGUGACCGUAAUUUAAUAUGUCCAAUAGCAAAGAGUUGAAUGCCUUCAACGCUCUCAACGCUCUCAACGCUCUGUCGACUUCAACCCUUAAGCAAGCACAGAUCCUUCGAGCCUAAAAUUUUCGAGGGAGACGAUGUCUCCGAGCGAACGAGUGUGAAUAUGUGCGAGAGUGACAGUUUCCGUGUGAGAGAAUGAGCGAGCAAGUCAGGGCGCGAGAUCUUCCAACGGAUUGAAGAUUGCCCACGCACUUAUUCGCUGAAGAAAGGAAACCGUAGACAGAAGGAGGAGGAGGAGGAGGAGAAGAAUACCUUUUGAUGCUCUGUCCUUCGACCUUAAGGAAGCAUAAAUCCUUCGAGGCCAAAACUUCCAACGGAAAGGACAUCUUCGAGCGAUCAAACGUGUGUAUGUACAAGAGCGAGCGUCUCCGUGUGAGAGAAUGAGCGAGCAAGCUAGUGCGUGAGAUCUUCCAAAGGAUUGAAGACUCCUGCGCCUGAACUCACCGACGAAAUGAAACCCUAGAAAUUUUUUUCCCCAAACUCAUGAGCCGUGUGUUCAAAGAAGAAGAGAAAGAAGAGAAAGCCCAGAACAAUUUUGCCUUGUUAGAUUAUCUGACGUGGAAAUGCCAGGUCGGAUGAUCGUGAAGGAGAGUUAACGGCAGGCCAGAUUUGGGACACUAGUGAAAGUUGGUACUUUUUUUUCUAGACAAAAUAAAGUUUGGCUAGAUUUGUCCCAAACCCUAAAGUUCGUGCUUUUUUAUGGAAUUGGCCUGAAAAUCAUGGGAUCUAAAGCUCAGUUAACAAGAGGAAUUAAAAAAAAAAAAAACACUAAAGACAUUGUGUCAAUAUCGUUGACCGGUAAGAAUCAUUAAUAUUGAUAUUUCUGCCGUUUGUUUAAGGGCUAUGCUAGUAGGUCACAUGACACAUCCAAUGACGUUUUCACUACACAUGUUCAUUUUUUUUUCUAUAGUGAUAUAGUCAGUUAUUAAAAUGUUGUAUUUUUUUCCCUUUUUGUUGCAAAUUUCCCUUCUAUAAAUCAUGAACACGAACACGAGCACAAAUUUUUUUCGUCGAAAUAAGUGGUCUAUUCAGCACGUGCUGAUACCUUCAAUUAUUUUCUAUAUCGUGAAUAAAUUAUUAAGUAAUGAUUGGACAAAUCAUUAAAAAGAAAAAUCUCUUAACGAAAAGUAUCCUAGAUUAUCUCGCGAGCGUAUGCUGAAAUCUAGACAUACAUUAUUGUAUUUUAGGGUACAAGAUUGGCUCUCUCUUUGUCACUGAUUUUGUAAGUGUCCUAUUGCCUUUGGAUGGUAAUUCUUUUUGUAACCGUUCGACUUUAAAAUCGGCAGUGACCAGGAGUAACCAUCAUCGAUCAAGCCCUCUUAAGUGAACACUUAAAAAGAAUUAGUCUCUUAAUCACUGGAAUUGUGUUAAAUCAGAGGCAUUAUUUAUAGAUAUCAUGAAUAAUGGGAAAAUUUCCAAAAAGAUCCUAAAUCUAUUGCACUUUAACCAAUUAAAUCAUAAAUCUUUUAAUUACGUCAAUUGAAUCCUCAACCUUUUCACAUUUCGCUAACUGAGUUUAUUAGACCAAUUUUAAGAAAAAAUCAUUGAUGUGAAUGCCGGCUAUAUUUUGUAAGAUGGUCGAUACUAAUGUUGGCAAAUUCUUAUAAUUUUUUUAAAGAAUGGAUUUUUUUUAAUUUUUUCUUUUUAUAUUUUACCGUGGCUUGUGAGAGUUGUCGGGUCCUUGCACCUACUAGCAAAGACAGUGACCCUCGCCGGACUUGGUGAAAAAAAGUAAAGGAGGAAAAGAGAAGAAAAGAAAAAAUGGAAAAAGAAGAGAAAAAGGUUCAUAAAAAUUCAAAAAAAAUGUUUAAAAUGUUUUAAAAAUAUUUUAAAAAUUCUCCACAUUAGUGCCGCUUGUGCCACUUAAGAUAACGAGUAUCCACAUCAGCGAUUUCCUAACAAAAUUGACCAGAUGAACUCAAUUGGCAAAAUAUGAAAAUAUUUAAAAUUCAAUUGGCAUGACUGAAAGAUUAAUGACCGAAUUGAUAAAAGUACAAUGAGUUUUUUAUGGUAAUUUUCCCAUGACUAACUAGCAUCUCUCUUCCAUCCUGAUUCUGAUCAUAGUUUAAACAGGCAAAGUCCCAAACUUAUCUAAAGAACUUAAAUCUCCGAAAGAGAUGCAAUAUCAUAGUAUAAAGUUCAAAUUUAUGACUUGUGUCCAAUCACAUAGCGUUGCUGCAACAGAUAGUUUGGAGACAUGUUUCAGCUGGUCUUCUUAUAUGCUAAACAUGAUAUCAUAAACAAACCACUAAGAAGGUUAGUUAGUAACCUUUAUUUUAUCGUUUGCCAAGCAUGUCAUUCCAUCAUCUUUCAAUAAAUUCUCGAGUGGCAUUUGUAGAGAAAAGUUUUCAUCUCGGCUCACUGGCAAACUGAAAAUUGUAAUGGUCAUGAGUAAACGGUCAGGAUGAGCAACGAUAUUUAAAAGCACUUGUGUAGUUCUUCGCCCGUUAGUAUGCUAAACAUGGAACAUGUCGAAUCAACAUCAAUUUAACACUGUCUUUACUCGAAUAGCUACAGAACUAUGUAAGAAAACACAGGGAACAAGAAGAGAAUCCCGAAGCUCUAGACAUGGCAUGACCAUGAAAACUCCACCGAGAUCUGGUUUUUUGUCCUCGGAGUAGAUGUGAAAAUGUUGCAGAAUUAAAGAAUAAGCAAAGAUUCUUCGUAUCUAGUACUGUAAGCUUGCUCGAUAUAGAGUGAAACAAAGGGACAUUGCAUAGAGUUUGCACCUAUAUGAAGUUCACGAUGGCUGGGAGCAAUCUGCGCCACAUGACCUCAACUUAAGUGCAUCGCCGUAUCAAUAAUCAGUUCUUCCACAAGUAGAAUUUAUACGCAAUUUACGCUCGAAUUGUCCUCUAUUCACCCUUCACUUGGGGACGGUUUUCCAUGAAACUCUUCCAGCUCCUCGAACCUGUUAUCGAGGGCUCUUCUAAGUGAGGCCAUCUGUAUAUGAUCGUUUUCUUCUGGAAGUCGGUUUAUGGAGACCUUGAAGUUCAGCCUAUGAAUUUUGCUGUACACUAGACAGGUCCUGUUGUCGUACUUCGAACACUUAUGUGAGGUUUCAAUUGUUCUCGCCUUCCUCUCAUGGUGCAGCAGAGGAACAAAUGUCAAAGGAAUUGGAAGAGACAGUUCCACAGCCUCCUGUCACAAUGAAUGGUCUUUCUCAUCAGGAUGAUUCUCCAAUGAGCGUGAUGAACUGCAGGAAUAAGUAAGAAACUCGAUUCUUGAGAUGUUUCUGUCUCAUAUCGUUUACUUUUUCUCCAUUGCGUCGAACAUAGUACCUACUCUAGUGAUUAGCUUAACUUUCCAUUUCAAUCUGAAAGCUACUCACCUACAUUUAUAGGAUUCUUAAUAUAAAUCACCUGCUUGUGCACACUAUCUUACGUGGCGAAUUCUGUCAUCUGCACUAGUUUAAAUACAUGCAUAUUCGAGAGCGCAAGUGCCUUUGAUGGCUUAUGGCCUGAGGCAUGGCGUAAUUGUUUUUUUUGCCUCGUCAAAAGUGUUGCGCAGAGGACCUGAAUAUUCUUUUGAUAGGAAUCGUCUGUUUAGAUGAUCAUAACUGCUACCAUUGGUAGAACAUACUAUCAAUAACAACAUGAUAGUCGCGGUGUGCAUUCUAGUUGAACAUAGUUUUGACUUCGAGUUGUGAUGCUAACUGCGCUCGCACUUGUGGUUCUAAAAUGUUGAUAAACAGAGCUGAAUCUGACAACCUACUAGCCAUUCCUGUCGGUUUUGUUGGAUCAGAAGAGGUGGUAAGGUCUGCUCCACAUCUUGUACCUGGCGGUAAUCUUAAUUGUCCUUCAUUGGAAGAACAAGGAAUGAGAAUAAAUACUGCAUUAGACGCUGCACAUGCACCAAUUUCUCAUCUCUCGAACCUCAUUGACGAUGGCCACCGGGCUGCAAACUUCAGGGGACCUUUCCAACCAUCAGACUUUUAAUGGCUCGAGGCUUGAGCCACUUGGAUUCAUACCCUAUCCCUUACUUUCUCUGAAGGUAUUUAUGAUAUUUAACACUUAGCUCGACAUUCUGCGUCGUCGAUCUUACUUGGUUUGGACUACCUACUGGCGAAUCUCUUCAUGUAAAGGUUUGGCUUGGAAUAUCACUUGUCAGCAUAGUUGCAUAGACAUGGCGGUUCUGUUCUUUUACCCAUCAGUGCAUUCGACUCGUGGUGCAACAAAUCUGAAAAAAGCUUUUAUAUGCUAUUUGAGAGUCAGCUUUCAGCAGUGAUCUCGAACAAUUUCGUGUUCUCCAAACCGAGACUUGUUCAGAGUCAUUGAAAGCCUUCAAUUUCUGACCUUGUACUAGGAAGGUCCUUCCUGCUUUAUCUGUUUCUACAUACUUUAAAAACUAUCUAAAGUAAUUGAAAAGACCAUGCGGAAAAAGUUAAUUGCUGCUGUACUUGGCGAGGCAACCCAAGUUUAAGUAGCAGCAUGCACUUUUGCUACUUCUCUAUGUAUUCUUACUCCUGAUGAAUGGCGUUGUUUGUAGCUUCCAUUCAGGAGUACCUUGCUAAUUCGGGAUCAGGUCAGGGUUCUCUGUCAGCAAUAUCCGAGUGAAGUGGAUAUCGCGCGUUCCUUAUCAGCAUCGGUGUCUGGAGGAAUGUUUGCUAAGCAAGAAAACUCAUGUGCAGGGGACAACAGUGAGGAAUAUAGUACUUGUUCGGAAGAAUGUAAGGCACCAUCUCAUGACUUAUCAUCGAGUGAAUGCACAAAUUCUUACUGCAUUGAGAUAUUGUGCUUUUGUAAUACAUCACAUCCUCUAACAUGACAUCACGUGUUCAAUUUCUAUUCAUCGUAAGGGCAAAAAUUGAUAGCCACAAUCGUUCAUCGGUUAGGCUAGGACCCAUCUAGAAACAAGAGGUCGAAGUCAGAGAUUGCUUGAGCAGGUAGCUGAUGUCGAGCUGGUUGAUUGAGCGGGGGUUGAAGGGUGGGGGUGAGAGCUUUUGAUGGAAACGAGAGAGAUUCGUUGCUCAAAAUGCAAACAUUAACAUGAAGAAAAAAUUACAUUGUUAUGCCAAGAGGAUUCACACGAAACAAAAAUUAUAACGAAUGCCAUACGACAUUCAUUGUCAUUUAUGAAACAUGGACAUAAUGAGUUUAAUAGAAAACACCGAUGCUAUAUGAAAAACAUGUAAAAGCUUCAUAGAUUACAUUAUCAAUGAUGGUACAUGCUGAUAGUAUUAAUUAUAUUUCGCAUCUCAUUUCUACAAGAAGAGAAUAAUCACACAAUACAUGAUUUCGUAAACUCAUUGUCGUGGUCAAAUUGGUAACUGCCAAAAAUUAUCAGAGCACUUGAUGAAGAUGAGACCAUUUCAAGUUCUAUCUCAUUGUUGUCAUCAUCAAUUGGUGCCUCUGUCGGAUAUAAAAGCGGUUUUGGAGGUAGUUGUAGUUUAUCGAUAUCUCCUUCAAGCAUAUCUAGAACUUUCCUCAUUGAUGGCCGAUCAUUAGGGCUCAGCUGUAUGCACCAUAGCGCACGAUUAUCAUCUUCCUUGUUUCUCUUUCCUCUUCUAUGACUUCUACCCUCUCAACCUCCUUUUCUUUGCUGAGUUGAUCAUAAACCCACAAAGGAAAGUAAAUUUGACUUGAAUGCUCUGCAUGUGCAUUUAUAUUUCUCCUUCUACCGGCCAUUUCCAUUAACAUCAUCCCAAAGCAGGGGAGACUGCUUGAGUAUGCCCCGCAUCCAUGUCUUCUGGCUUGAUGUUCGGGAAGGUUACGAGAGAACUAACUGCCAUCUCCUAAAAGCUGCACAGCAGAAACUAUAGAGUUAUCCUCAGCUUGACCUCUGGCUCUCUCUUUCUUAUCUGAAUCAUAUAAAGAAGCUCCACCAUCCAUCUCAGCCUCAGUGAUCUCGCAAUGGGAAAAAUCAAAUGAAUGAUCAGCGGAAUUCAUCACAUGAAGAGUUUCAGCAUUCAUACUGGCAGGAGAAUCAUAAAAUUCGAAAGGAAAUACAGACUCAGCCUUGCUUGAUGUUUGUGUAUUGGCAGAUGGUGUGCUCUUCCAAAUGACAAAGUAUUCUAGGACAAGAAUGGAAGCAAGCAAAAAGACAAGUGCUGGCCAUAAUAUCUGAAUGACAUUGCGAUUUAGAAGUAUGCAAGCAGCGAGAAGUAUAAUAUAUAGCAUAGAAAUGGCAUUUAACAAAGCAAAGGAGGCAAGGAGCAAGGCCACCAUGUUUAUUUCGACGCCAAAGAGAUUAAACAUGUUCUCCAUCCAAAAAUUUAUACAGACUAUGAAGAUUGUCUUCUGCGUUUCAAAUCUCUCCCUUCUCAUGGUGAUAAUCCUUUUCUUGUUCCAUUUGUGGCUUUCGCUGGUGCUUCCCCAAAUAUAUCCUAAUGAAUAUUUUCUAGCAUGGCCAGCCGCAGAGCCUCCAGCUUUGGGUACAUUAUUUGAUGCCUGAGAAAAACCAGAGGAUGAGGAAGACAAAUUGUUUCUCAUGCCUUCUGCUUCACAAGGAAUUGCAGGCGAAUCUACAGGUGGCUUGCUUUCCCCGUUUGAAUUAGAAAAAUCCCUAAACACUUCUUCUCCUGAUACAAACAGAGGGCAAGGUUCUUCGGUGUAAUCUUUGCUCAAAAUGUGAGUUGGUACUUUUUGCAACCAACGGAAGAAAUUCUAUUGAAGGGUACAAGCAGAUAUCGCCAGCACUUUUCCCCUUAAACCCAAUUCUUGAGCCCAAAAGCCUGACUGUAAUCACUCAAAACCCAAGAACUUGGCUGAACUUAUUCUGUCCAGGAAACAUUCUUGCCUCGGCACCCCACAUCUGAAAUAGACAUUCUGUCAUCACCAGAAUUCAUGUAUAAAGAAGGAAUAACUUUGAUGGGAUUCGAGAUGCUUUAGAGAAAAGUUUUCAUCUCGGCUCACUGGCAAACUGAAAAUUGUAAUGGUCAUGAGUAAACGGUCAGGAUGAGCAACGAUAUUUAAAAGCACUUGUGUAGUUCUUCGCCUGUUAGUAUGCUAAACAUGGAAAAUGUCGAAUCAACAUCAAUUUAAUACUGUCUUUACUCGAAUAGCUACAGAACUAUGUAAGAAAACACAAGGAACAAGAAGAGAAUCCCGAAGCUCUAGACAUGGCACGACCAUGAAAACUCCACCGAGAGCUGGUUUUUGGUCCUCGGAGUAUAAGCUUGCUCGAUAUAUAGUGAAACAAAGGGACGUUGCAUAGAGUUUGCACCUAUACGAAGUUCAUGGUGGCCGGGAGCAAUCCGCGCCACGUGACCUCAACUUAAGUGCAUCGCCGUAUCAAUAAUCAGUUCUUCCACAAGUGGAAUUGAUAUGCAAUUUACACGCGAAUUGUCCUGUAUCCACCUUUCACUUGGGGACGGUUUUCCAUGAAUCUCUUCCAGCUCCUUGAGCCUGUUAUCGAGGGCUCUUCUAAGUGAGGCCAUCUGUAUAUGAUCGUUCGCUUCUGGAAGUCGGUUUAUGGAGACCUUGAAGUUCAGCCUAUGAAUUUUUCUGUACACUAGACGGGUCCUGUUGUCGUACUUCGAACACUUAUGUGAGAUUUCAAUUGUUCUCGCCUACUUAUGUGAGGUUUCAAUUGUUCUCGCCUUCCUUUCAUGGUGCAGCAGAGCAACAGAUGUCAAAGGAAUUGGAAGAGACAGUUCCACAGCCUCCUGUCACAAUGAAUGGUCUUUCUCAUCUGGAUAGAUUCUCCAAUGAGCGUGAUGAACUGCAGGAAUAAGUAAGAAACUCGAUCCUUGAGAUGUUUCUGUCUCAUAUCGUUUACUUUUUCUCCAUUGUGUCGAACAUAGUACCUACUCUAGUAAUUAGCUUAACUUUUCAUUUCAAUCUGAAAGCUACUCACCUACAUUUAUAGGAUUCUUAAUAUAAAUUACCUGCUUGUGCACACUAUCUUGGCGAAUUCUGUCAUCUGCGCUAGUUUAAAUACAUGCAUCAUUCAAGAGGCGGUAAGGUCUGCUCCACAUCUUGUACCUGGCGGUUGUCUUGCUUGUCCUUCAUUGGAAGAACAAGGAAUGAGAAUAAAUGCUGCAUUAGACGCUGCACAUGCACCAAUUUCUCAUCUCUCGAACCUCAUUGCCGACGGCCACAGGGGCUGCAAACUUCAGGGGACCUUUCCAACCAUCAGACUUUUAAUGGCUCGAAGCUUGAGCCACUUGGAUUCAUACCCUAUCCCUUACUUUCUCUGAAGAUAUUUAUGAUAUUUAACACUUAGCUCGACAUUCUGCGUCGUCGAUCUUACUUGGUUUGGACUACCUACUGGAGAAUCUCUUCAUGUAAAGGUUUGGCUUGCAAUAUUACUUGUCAGCAUAGUUGCAUAGACAUGGCGGUUCUGUUCUUUUACCCAUCAGUGCAUUCGACUCGUGGUGCAACAAAUCUGAAAAAAGCUUUUAAUAUGCUAUUUGAGAGUCAGCUUUCAGCAGUGAUCUCGAACAAUUUCGUGUUCUCCAAACCGAGUGUUCAGAGUCAUUGAAAGCCUUCAAUUUCUGACCUUGUACAAGGAAAGUCCUUCCUGCUUUAUCUGUUUCUAGAUACUUUAAAUACCAUCUAAAGUAAUUGAAAAGACGAUGCGGAAAAAGUUAAUUGCUGUUGUACUUGGCGAGGCAACCAAAGUUUAGGUAGCAGCAUGCACUUUUGCUACUUCUCUAUGUAUUCUUACUCCUGAUGAGUGGCGUUGUUUGUAGCUUCCAUUCAGGAGUACCUUGCUAAUUCGGCAUCAGGUCAGGGUUCUCUGUCUGCAAUAUCCGAGUGAAGUGGAUAUCGCGCGUUCCUUUUCAACAUCGGUGUCUGGUGGAAUGUUUUCUUAGCAAGAAAACUCAUGUACAGGGGACAACAGUGAGGAAUAUAGUACUUGUUUGGAAGAAUGUAAGGCACCAUCUCAUGACUUAUCAUCGAGUGAAUGCACAAAUUCUUACUGCAUUUAGAUAUUGUGCUUUUGUAAUACAUCACAUCCUCUUAACAUGACAUCACGUGUUCAAUUUCUAUUCAUCGUAAAGGCAAAAAUUGAUAGCCACAAUCAUUCAUCAGUUAGGCUAGGACCCAUUUAGAAACAAGAGGUCGAAGUCAGAGAUUGCUUGAGCAGGUAGCUGAUGUCAAGCUGGUUGAUCGAGUGGGGGUUGAAGGGUGGGGGUGAGAGCUUUUGAUGGAAAAAAGAGAGAUUCGUUGCUCAAAAUGCAAACAUUAACAUGAAGAAAAAAUUAAACUGUUAUGCCAAGAGGGUUCACACAAAACAAAAAUUAUAAUGAAUGCCAUACGGCAUUCAUUGUCAUUUAUAAAAUAUGGACAUAAUGAGUUUAAUAGAAAACACCGAUGCUAUAUGAAAAACAUGUAAAAGCUUCAUAGAUUACAUUAUCAAUGAUGGUACAUGCUGAUAGUGUUAAUUAUAUUUCGUAUCUCAUUUCUACAAGAGGAGAACAAUCACACAAUACAUGAUUUCGUAAACUCAUUAUCGUGGUCAAAUUGGUAACUGCCAGAAAUUAUUGGAGCACUUGAUGAAGAUGAGACCAUUUCAAGUUCUAUCUCAUUGUUGUCAUCAUCAAUUGGUGCCUCUGUCGGAUAUAAAAGCGGUUUUGGAGGUAGUUGUAGUUUAUCGAUAUCUCCUUCAAGCAUAUCUAGAACUUUCCUCAUUGAUGGUCGAUCAUUAGGGCUCAGCUGUAUGCACCAUAGCGCAACGAUUAUCAUCUUCCUUGUUUCUCUUUCCUCUUCUAUGACUUCUACCCUCUCAACCUCCUUUUCUUUGCUGAGUUGAUCAUAAACCCACAAAGGAAAGUAAAUUUGACUUGAAUGCUCUGCAUGUGCAUUUAUAUUUCUCCUUCUACCGGCCAUUUCCAUCAACAUCAUCCCAAAACUGUAAAGAUCGGCUUUAUAAGAAAUGCCACCAAUGUCUUUGUAGAAUAGCUCAUGCGCCAUAUACCCCAAGGUUCCUCUUGCUGCAGUCAACGAUACUAUGCUAUGACCGAUGGGAUAAAGUCUUGCAAGUCCAAAAUCAGAAAUUUUCGGAGUGAAACUUUGGUCUAGGAGAAUGUUGUGAGGCUUGAUAUCAAAGUGUAGAAUUUGCAUAUCACAUCCCCGAUGUAGAUACUCCAUCCCUCUAGCUAUGCCAAGAGAGAUCUCAUGCAUUUUCUUAUAAUCAAGAGGAUCAUCACCAUUCUUAUUUGAAAUGUGUUUAUCCAAAGAGCCAUUCGGCAUGAAAUCGUAGACCAGAGCUUGUUUGGAGUAAUCGAAGCAAAAACCAACAAGUUGCACUACAUUGAUGUGGUUGAUCCUUCCAAUUGUGGCCACUUCACUAAUAAAAUCUUGGCCAUUAGAUUCUGGUUUGUUCAAAAUCUUAACCGCAACUUCAUUGCCACUUCUAAGGAUUUCUCUAUACACAGAGCCAUAUCCCCCCUCACCUAAUUUGCAUUUGAAAUUUUUUGUAAUCUUCUUGAUAUCCGAGUAAGAAUACCUUAUGGGCGAAAAGUUGUUGUGAACUUGUAGGAAUUCUUCGAUGUUUGCGUCGAUCGCCCGGUGCCUUCUCAUCCACUUAUAGAUUAGAAGUAUCAACACGCAUGGAGCUUCGAGUAUGAAUUUGUCUGCGACAUAGUUGGCUACAUAGAAAUUGUCCAUAGAUUAGCACAGUGCAAUAAACUUUUUGUAAACAUAAUUGUUUUUGAUCAGAGUACUUGAGAUCAUGAUAGUUGUGAGGAGAAAAGGCCCAGCAGUCUUACCCAUGAAAAAGGCGAGGCGCGAACCUGCAAGUUCCGCGUACCAACGCUUGGCCCGCGCAGAAGUAGGGGUGACUGCAACAGAUUAAUUAGAGUCGGUGAUCAAUCAAUGAAGAAUUAAAUUUAUCAUUUUAGCAGUUAAACAUAAAUCUAAUUUACUCUCCUUGACAGCGCUCAGAUCACAGUUAAUUCAAUUCACCUAUGGAAUCCAUGCCAUCGUAGCAUGAUUUUUUCUCUUGAAGAAAAGCGAUCUUGCUUUUGUUCACCUAUAUAUACCAAAUGAUUCAUAAGUUCACGUCUCGCUCCGCGUAAUUCUAAUUUACAAACGUCAUUCAAUACACGUGCAAUCUAUUUAACCGCAUAACAAUAACAGCCGUGCAAGGGACACGAGCAACAAUUAAAUCAACCAUUUUUCCCCAAACAAAAAUGAAGUAACAAUGUCAAAUCCAGAAAAGCUCCAAGAUUCGUAAAAUAAACGAGAGCAGUGCAUACCGACCCUACUAAGAAAUCUAUUUAAACUUUUCAACUUAAGUGAAGCGGCAAUUUUUUCUAUUAUGUUUUUAAAGAAACUAGUGUCAUAAUAUGUGGAUUUUAUUAAAAAUACCCAAUUAAAACCUGCCACGUCACUUGGUAAGUAAAUUUUGAUCAGAUCUCUCAGUGAAGCUAGCAUUUAAGGAAAGGAGGAGGAAGAAGAGAAAAAGAAAGAACAGCUUAAGGGAACGUUGCUUACUGAUAUAAUAGCCGCAGUACUCCUUUCGGAAUCCAAAACCUAAGAAGUGACAUGGAAAUAAUCUUUUCCAAGAAUUGUCGGGCGGAUAGGAGAGAUUGAGGCCCUGUUUGGUUCAGCAUUUGGAAUGCUCAUUUGGGCUCUAAAGUCCCUUGGCCAAAUGCAAAGGUGUUUGGUUCGGUUUUUUGCUCGACUUUGGCGAGAUACAAUUGUAUCUCCAAGUGGCUCUAAGGGCCUUUAGCCCAAUGUAGCUCUUGACGUCCUUUGGAAAGUUGCAUCUUCGAAAUGUAACUUCCGAUAUUGUUCAUCUCUUCGGUGGAAAAGCCGAUCGGCCGCCUGAAUAAAAAUAAAUAUAAAAAUAAAUAUGUUUAUAUUUUUUAUAUAAAAUAUAAAAUAUAUUUUUAUAUAAAAAUAUAAACAUAUCUAUUUUUUCAUAUUUUAUGUUUAAUAAAUAUAUAUUUAUAAAAAAUAUAAUAUAUAUUUUUAUAUAUUGUUUAUAUAGAUAUAAACAUAUCUAUUUUUUUCUCCAAUUGUUUUAUAUAAAUAUAUAUUUAUAUAUUUAUAUAAACAUAUCUAUUAUAUAUAUAUAUAUAUAUAUUUUAUGUUUAAUAAAUAUAUUUUAUGUUUAUAUAAAAAAUAUAAUCAUAUUUUUUAUUCAAGCUAUUAUAUAUAUAAACAUAUCUAUUUUUUAUAUAAAUAUAUUUUAUGUUUAUAUUUUUAUAUUUUUAUAUAAAAAUAUGUUUAUAUAAAAAAUAUAAACAUAUUUUUUAUUUGGGCUAUUUUAUAUAUAUUUCAUAUAUAUUUUAUAUAGAUAUAAACAUAUCUAUUUUUUUAUAUAAAUAUAUUUUAUAUUUAAUAAAUAUAUUUUAUGUUUAUAUUUUUAUAUUUUUUAUUCAGGCGGUUCGGCCGCCGGAUUCGGCGGUCUGGUGGCCGGACUUCAAAAAAAAAAAUAUAAACAUAUUUCUUCUUUUUUAAUUUAAUAAAAGUUAAUUACAAAUGCAAAUUCCACCAAACGGUAUUUUGGCAAAAGUUGUUUCUCAAUGCAAAUUUUACCAAACGACAUUUGCAUUUCGGAAAACCCCAUUCACCCAAAGGUAUUUGCAUUACUACAAAUACAUUCCCCAAAAGCCGAACCAAACGGGCCCUGAAUCCCUCGACCAUCUUGUUGUGGAGGUCCUUGUAUGGUAAGCUCCCAUUCUGAUCCCCUUUCCACCUUUAGUCUCUAAAAAAAGUAAAAAGUAAAAUAAACAAUUUUCAUCAAAAUGCAUCACGUUUUCUUUAAAUUGCAUCUCAUAUAGACAUUAGGAAAAUUUGCAUUACUAAUAUUAAAAAUUUUAAUUUUUUUUAAAAUUAAGAUUAGAAAAAAAAUUAACAAAAAAUAGAAACGCAUACGGGCCGGGCUAGGGGCCAGCCUUAGCCCGGCCAAUCCUUUUCCCUUUCUUUUUCCCCCUUGUGGCCCAGCCCGCUUCUGUUCCUUCUAUUUUACCCGCGCGGCCCACCUUUCUUCCUCCGCGACCCAGCUCGCUCUUCUUCCUCCUUCCUCUUCCUUCCCUCGCUUGGACUUCAGCUUCAGGACAAAACAGAGAGUGGGUCCCUGGCCGAAGGACGCGAGGACGUGAGGCUGCGCGUAACGUUCGCCCAGGAAUAUCGUGCGGUACAAAGCCAGCUGGUCUCGUCCUUGAAGAAAGAGAGAGAAACGAGAUAAAUGGGAGAGAAAGGCAGCAAAGGGAAGGGGGGUCUCUUUGGUUUUAUUGGGUUUGUUCGGCCGAGGAAGAGCAACCGAGAGAGAGAGAGAGAGAGAGAGAGAGAGAGAGAGAGAGAGCUGGUGAGAGUGAGAAGGCGAGCUCGAGAGAGAGAAAGAGCGAGCCAAAUAAGAGAGGAAAGAGAGGCGACCGUGUUCUCGAGUUCUUCGGGGGAGGCUGGAGAGAGCGAGAUCAACAGAGAGAGUGAGAUCUAAGAGAGUGAGCAAAGGGUGAAGCGGAGGGAUGGACCAAGAGAAGCGAGACCCAGGAGCCAAACUUCGUUCUCGGACAAGCGUUCCUCGGCCAUCCCCAACAUAAAUCGGCGAUCUCCAGCCAACAACCUUUAGGUCCAAUCCACUUUUAUCCCGAUGAUCUUGGGCUCGGUGCAACAACGAGGCGACCGACCAUAGCUCGUUUCGCUUCAGCCUCGCUUUCUGGCCGUUGUUGCCGAGCCGGGUAGGGAUAUUCGCAAUCAAACACUUCUCUCUGGGAACUCCGGAACCGAAACAAUAGCUGGGCCUCGCUUUCCCUAGUCCACCAGCAUGCUUGGUUUGAACGAGCCGUCCCUUUUGUCGAGUUUGAGUGUCACUUGCUGCUUUCUUUUGAGUAAAUGACUUGGAGUGCUGCCAUUUUCAUUCUCUGUUGAUGGCUGCUAGAAUAUGUUCAAGACUCCACCCUUUCGUUCCAGGGACACACCCUUUAAAUUCUCCCAUGGAGUUUCUGCAUGAAAAUUGAUUAUCCAUUGGUUUAAUAGCAUGCGAGUAAUGACUAUACCUUAUCUAUUUUGAUAUGGUGGCGGACUUUUGACUAGUUGUGCACUGUUCAGAAUGCCAAAUUCAUUUGUGGAGGUUUAUAGAGGAAGAUUUUGUUUACUGUUUUUCUAAAUUAUACGACAGGCAUUUGUAAUUCGCAUUUCUAAAAUGUAAUAUCCUUUCAAUUUCCAGAGAGAAGGAUCGCUUCGUUUCUCAAUGCAAUGGGCAGAAUUUUCUAUCUGUAUAUUGCUCCUGUGACACAUAUAUUGUUUUUUUAUUGACAAUCCUCUUAACACUUUACUUGGUGACACCCAAUUACAUAUUGUUUGGCUACAUUUUGCUCCUCCUAUGUUGGAUCAUAGGAAGACAACUCUUUGAAAGGACGAGAAAACACCGUUGGUUUCCAUUGAAAGUAUACGCAAUCACUGUGUUUAUCUUCUUAUACAGCUUGAGCAAUUUCUCCACCUUUGAGAAGUGGUUGUCGGGGCUGAUUGAUCUUCAGUUUUACUUGGCCUAAAACUCAGAAGCUUCGCUAUUGCAGAAUAUUUGGCAGUCUAUUGCAAUACUGAUUGUGAUGCAGCUUUUCAGCUACGAGAGGAGACAGAGCAAGUAUAUCCAAUCUGAUGACUCCAAACUUAUGGAAUUUGGAGUACUUGGAUUUAUGGAGAGCUUCCUCAUUUGGCACAGUGACAAGAAAGUGUGUAACUGUGUAUAGCAAAGUUCUAUGCAUCAUUGUCACCAAUUAGUCUCUUUGGUUUCCUUUAUCUGCUCAGUCUUGUCAUUUGUUCCCUUUCACCUAAAGCAUCUCGAAUCCCAUCAAAGUUAUUCCUUCUUUAUACAGGAAUUCUGGUGAUGACAGAAUAUCUCUUUCAGAUGUGAGGUGCCCAGGCAGGAAUGUUUCCUGGAUAGAAUGACUUUAGUUUAGCCAAGUUCGUGGGUUUUAAGUUAUUUCAGUCAGGCUUUUGGGGUCUAGAAUUGGGUUUUAAGGGGGAAAAGUGCUAGUGAUAUCUGCUUGUAGCCUUCAAUACAAUGUCUUCCGUUGGUUGCAAAAAGUACCAACUCGCAUUUUGAGCAAAUAUUAAACCAAAGAACGUUGCCCUCUGUUUGUAUCAGCAGAAGAAGUGUUUAGGGAUUUUUCUAAUUCAAACGGGGCAAGCAAACCACCUGCAGAUUCUCCUGCAAUUCCUUGUGAAACAGAAGGCGUGAGAAACAAUUUGUCUUCCUCAGCCUCUGGUUUUUCUCAAGCAUCAAAUAAUGUACCCACAGCUGGAGGCUCUGGGGGUGGCAGUGCUAGAAAAUAUUCCUUUGGAUAUAUUUGGGGAAGCACCAACGAAAGCCACAAAUGGAACAAGAAAAGGAUUAUCACCAUGAGAAGGGAGAGAUUUGAAACGCAGAAGACAAUCUUCAUAGUCUAUAUAAAUUUUUGGAUGGAGAACAUGUUUAAUCUCUUUGGCCUCGAAAUUAACAUGGUGGCCUUUCUCCUUGCCUCCUUUGCUUUGUUGAAUGCCAUUUCUAUGCUAUAUAUUGCACUUCUCGCUGCCUGCAUACUUCUAAAUUGCAAUGUCAUUCAGAAAUUAUGGCCAGCAGCACACCAUCUGCCAAUUCACAAACAUCAAGCAAGGUUGAGUCUGUAUUUCCUUUCGAAUUUAUGAUUCUCCUGCCGGUAUCAAUGCUGAAAGUCUUCAUGUGAUGAAUUCAGCUGAUCAUUCAUUUGAGUUUUCCCAUUGCUAGAUCACUGAGGCUGAGAAGGAUGGUGGAGGUUCUUUAUAUGAUUCAGAUAAGAAAGAGAGAGCCAGAGGUCAAGCUGAGGAUAACUCUAUAGUUUCUGCUGUGCAGCUUUUAGGAGAUGAUGGUUAGUUCUCUUGUAACCUUCCCGAACAUCAAGCCAGAAGACAUGGAUGCCAGGGGCACAAUCAAGCAGUCUCCCUUGCACCCGAUCAACGGCCAGGAUCACCUGACGAAGCAGCAGAAGUUCGCCAGAUCGAAGCUCCGGGUCUCCAUCAACCUGCCGGACAAUGAAAUCUCCCUCCUCCGCAGCCGGCGGAACCUGAGCUUCAGCGAAUCGUCCGCCGCCGCCGCCGCCGAACCUCCGACUUCUCGUUCUCCAUCUCCCCACUCCUCGUCCUUGGCCUCAGCGUCGAUCGGUCGAAUCUUCAAAGGGAAGGCUCCGGCGACGGCGAGGGGGAGCCUCGAGAACGGCGGUAGCGGCGGCGACCCCCGCGGCGGCCGGCAGGCGUACAGGAGCACGAGGACGGUGGUGGAGGUGCUGCGGGAGCUGGACGCGGAUAUAGUGGCGCUGCAGGACGUGAAGGCGGAGGAGGAGAGGGAGAUGAAGCCGCUGUCGGAGCUGGCGGCGGCGCUGGGGAUGAGCUACGCGUUCGCCGAGAGCUGGGCGCCGGAGUACGGCAACGCCGUCCUCUCCCGGUGGCCGAUCAAGCACUGGAAGGUCCAGAAGAUAUUCGACGACACCGAUUUCAGGUCCGUCAUUUCGUUUUAUUUUAUUUAUUAAUUUAAUAAUUUCCACAUAUUUUUUACCUGUUAUUCUUGCUAUCAUUUUCGUAAUUAUGGUGACGAUGAUAUGCUCUCUUUCUCAUUGAGCAAGUGGUCUUCCUAGGGGAUUUCGAAAUUUAAAAGAUAUUUUCAUUUAUUUAUUGAGGCGUCCACAGUUGAAAGUGAAGUUUGAUUAUAUAUCAUAAAUUAAUAUUCCCUCGGGACAUAUAAUAUAAUUUUUUCUUACAUUUUUCCAAGUGAAAAAAUUAAUUUCGCAGACCCUUCUACAACAGUGCAAAUCCAUCUCGGACAGUUGAAAUUUUCAUUGAAAUUAAGGUACGGUGGAUGUAAUAAAAAUUCACAAGACAAAAAAAUAAAAACAAAAACGUAAGCUUUUGCCUAGCCAUCAGAAUUUGUGGAUGAAAAUCUUGCUGUCACUUGGUUUAUCUUUUGUAUUUUUUUUCCCUCCCCUUUUUUAAACUGUUCUAUUUGGAAUUAUCUAAAUGGAGUUGUCCAAGAACUGAUAUGGGAAGAAUUUAUAAUAUUAUUCACGAGAACCCUAUCACCAAAAAUUCAAGAAUUCCCCAAGGCUUUUCUCCCACAGCCUAUUUGCCUUUGUACAACUUACGGAAAGCUAUCUGCAUCUGCAGCAACAAUGGUAGGCCUUUCCAAGGAUCCCAGCUGGUGCUGGGAGCACUGCCAGUCAGAAUUAAAAUUAAAUUAAAUUAUAAAAAAAACCCAUUUUUUUCUUUCUAUGAUUUUAGAUAUGGGUUCUCCAGAGUAUUGUCAUUUAUCAAUAAUAAUAAUAAUAAUAAUAAUAAUAAUAAUAAUAAUAAUAAUAAUAUCUUCGGUUAUAACUAUUCGAAAAUUCGUGCGUGUGUGAUAAAAGACUGUCUUGGACUUCUUUCAUUCCUCUUUUUUUCAUUUCUGGUUGCAUUUAGUAGGUUGAUGAGAGUCAGUGUUGAAGAUCAUUCUGUAUUAAUUACUGAUAUAGUCAAGAGAAUGCUUAGGAACCUGCUAAAUUACAUAUAUAUUUUUUGCUCUUUAGUAUUUAAAUAAGGAGUUGGGAAGAUAAAUGAAGGAUAAGAUCUAUGGCGUACAUUAAAUGAGGGCAGGGUAAGGUGUAUGUAGGUAGGACGGUAACGUGGGGAGGAUUUUGCUUUUGCUUUAUUUUAUGUAUUUGCCAAAUCAGAUGCUUGACCUGAAGACUAUACAAGGACUACUCAUCUUCAAGGAAAACUACAUUUCUCUCGAGCAAGACAGACCAGAUAGAAUCAACUUGUUUAAGACAGCAAGCAAUUGCUUGUCAAGGAGUCAAUUUCCGAGACUUUUGCGUUCGAUUAAUUAAGCCAUGCCUUAGACAGUAAAGGGAUUAUGUGCUUUCAUUGCGUGAAAAUUUAGAAAAAGAAGAAAAGGCUGGAUUGAAAUAUAAUUGAUCGACAUAUUAAAUCGACCAGGAAUCGAAAUGGCUGUGAACUCGAUGUGUUUUAUUACACAGGAAUGUUCUGAAGGCAACAAUAGAAGUGCCCCAUGUUGGGGAAGUGAACUUCCAAUGCACCCACCUGGAUCAUCUCGACGAGAACUGGCGGAUGAAGCAAGUCGGUGCCAUCAUCCAGUCGAGCGAUUCCCCCCACAUCUUGGCCGGUGGCCUCAACUCUCUCGACGAGACCAAUUACUCGCAAGAGCGGUGGACCGACAUCGUCAAGGUAUGUACAUUUCUAUCAUGUUUGAUGUGAUAUUCAUUAGCACGUCAAACUCGAUUACUAAAUAGCUUAAAGCUAUGGCGAUUUUGUAAUCAUGGGCACCUGUGUUUGUUACAGUACUAUGAAGAGAUGGGAAAACCGACCCCAAAGGUUGAAGUCAUGAGGUUUCUGAAGAGCAAGCAGUACACAGAUGCUAAGGACUUUGCCGGAGAAUGCGAGUCCGUGGUCGUCAUUGCCAAAGGACAAAGUAAGAACUCACUUGGUCGCUUUCCCAUGUUUCGAUUUUUCUUUUUGGCUCUAUCAAAUGGCUAAUCUAAGGUGCUUUUGGAGCACGAUGCUCCUCUUGCUCUAAGAUCACAUGAUUGGCUUGAACAGAUGGAAAUUUAUAAUAUUUGAAGUAUGAUGAUUAUGUUGAAUAUGUAUAUCUGUUGUUGUCAUCACUUUGUUGAUAUCAACCUCUGAUGUGAAAAUCCGUGGUAUAAAAAUUGAAGUCCAAAGUCUUUUUUUCGAGUGAUUAUUGUCUGAAUAUAUAAUUUGAAAUUGUUUAUUCUAUUGCAGGUGUGCAAGGGACGUGCAAAUACGGAACGAGGGUGGACUACCUACUGGCGUCACCAGAUUGCCCAUACAAGUUCAUUCCGGGGUCGUAUUCGGUCCUGUCAUCGAAAGGGACAUCAUAUCACCACAUCGUAAAGGUCGACGUAAUGAAAUGCGAAAACAACCCUCCCCAUGAAAGCAAUGGCAACAACAAUAAAAUUACCAAGAAAAGGCGACGACAGCGCAAGCACCAGGCUGUUGUAAAGAUCUCAGGCACAGCUCCUCCUUCAAAGGGUAUAUGGACAACGAACACAUUAAGCAAAGUCGAAUGACAUUACAUUUAUAUCUCCCUUUUCUUUCCACUCUUUUCUCAGCUGCUGCUCCUGUUGCUGCUGUUGAGUGAUCUUGGGCAUGCUGGCUUCGUCAAUCUCUCUGUAAAUCUUCGAUUGUUUUGUGCAUCUUGUUUUCUCUGUUUGUUUUUUCUUCAGUUUAGAGUUGAAGAGGGGAGGGUUCUGGUGUGAUGGCUUCCUCACAUCUGUAUAGAUUUCGACAUGAUAGAAGUGAAUUCUUACGUUUCAACUAGGCAUUGGAGCUAAGCGGUUCUGCCAAGUUCUUUUUCAGUAUUUUAUGCCUUUUUUUCCGCUUGUAAUCUUAGCUGCAAGAUUCAGAUUAGUUUUGUCGAGGGCGACAUCUCAAGUUGACUUUGCUGAGGUUGAGGUUAGAGAAUGCGAUCUUGUAUCUUUACAUUUAAUUGGAAGUUGAAACGUUUUAGACUAAAAGUCCUUGGAAUAAAAUUGCAAAUUUCGAAAAUUGAAUUUUUUUUUGUUAAGUUGGACAUCCAGUGAUUGAUAAAAGACCCAAAGAUUUCAAAUGAAAUACCUUUAAAAAGCAAAUAAGGAAAAAAAAAAAAAAAACUGCGAAGUCUGGUAAUUAUGAAUUCUAAACAUAUGUGACAGUAGUCAAUGUCCUCAUUCUUUUUUCUCUGGUUUUGAAAUUAGCAUUGGAAAGAAGAAAAAUGGUAAGUUAGUGCAAUCUACUUCGACAUCUUAACAAAUACCUUCUGUGAUCUCUAAAUGGAGCCUUAAUGAGCAUUACAAGUAAAAGUGUAAUGAAAAGAGAAAGAAAUAGAUUUUCUAUAUAAUAGACAUUGUUGGCUGAUGUAUCAUGCUAAUUAGCUUGUGAAUAAAAAACUGCCUCUCCCUUAUAAUGGUUGGCAAAAUGCGCCCCUUGCAUCAGCAUAGUAGAGGACGCAAGUAUCUCUCAAUUGGCGUAUACUCUUCAAUUGAUCCUCCUUGAUGUAAUUUAUAUCGAUUGAAUUAUUUAUUUCGAUUUUGCUUGGGAUCUCAAUUUAGAAAAUCAGGAGAUCUAAAGCUCAGAUAACAACAAGAGGAAUUAAAAAAAAAAAAAAAACAGUUAAGACAUUGUGUCAAUAUUGUUGACCGGUAAGAAUCCCAGUACUUGCGAGUGCGACCUUGCAGGUUUGCUACUCGAGGCCUCACUAAUAUAUGACAUUAAAAAUAAAAAUAAAUUUUAAAACUUUUUUUUAAUGAGACAGAAAGAUAAUUAAUCAUUAAUAUUUGAUACUUCUGCCGUUUGUUUAAGGGCUAUGCUAGUAGGUCACAUGACACAUCCAAUAAUGUUUUCAUUGCACAUGUUCAUUUUUUUUUCUAUAGUGAUAUAGUCAAUUAUUAAAAUGUUGUAUUUUUUUCCCUUUUUGUUGCAAAUUUCCCUUCUAUAAAUCAUGAACACGAACACUAGCACAAAAUUUUUUCGUCGAAAUAAGCGGUCUAUUCAGCACAUGCUGAUACCUUUAAUUAUUUUCGAUAGCGUGCAUAAAUUAUUAAGUGAUAAUUGGAUAAAUCAUUAAACAGAAAAAUCUCUUGACGAAAAGUAUCCUAGAUUAUCUCGCGAGCGUAUGCCGAAAAUCUAGACAUACAUUAUUGUAUUUUAGGGUAGAAGAUUGGUUCUCUCUAUCACUGAUUUUGUAAGUGUCCUAUUGCCUUUGGAUGGUAAUUCUUUUUGUAACCGUUCGACUUUAAAAUCGGCAAUGACCAGGAGUAACCAUCAUCGAUCAAGCCCUCUUAAGUGAACACUUAAAAAGAAUUAGUCUCUUAAUUUUGGAAUUGUGUUAAAUCAGAGGUAUUGUUUGUAGAUAUCAUGAAUAAUGGGAAAUUUUCCAAAAAGGUCUUAAAUCUAUUGCACUUUAGCCAAUUAAGUCAUAAAUCUUUUAAUUACGUCAAUUGAAUCAUAAAUCUUUUCACAUUUUUCCAACUGAGUUUAUUAGGCCAAUUUUAAGAAAAAAUCAUUGAUAUGAAUGCUAGCUAUCAUAUGUAAGAUGGUUGAUACUAAUGUUGGCAAAUUCUUAUAUUUUUUUAAAGAAUGGAUUUUUUUUUUAAUUUUUUUUAAUUUUACCGUGGCUUGUGAGAGUCGUCGGGUCCUUGCAGCUACUAGCGAAGACUCAGUGACCCUCACCAGACAUGGCAAAAAAAAAAGUAAAGGAGGAAAAGAGAAGAAAGGAAAAAAUGAAAAAAGAAGAGAAAAAUGUUCAUAAUAAUUCAAAAAAAAUGUUUAAAAUAUUUUAAAAAUUCUUACAUUAGCACCACUUGUGCCACGUAAGAUAACUGGUGUCCACGUCAGUGAUUUCCUAACAAAAUUGGCCAGAUGAAAUCAAUUAGCAAAAUGUGAAAAUGUUUAAAAUUCAAUUGGCAUGACUGAAAGAUUAAUGACCGAAUUAGUAAAAGUACAAUGAGUUUUUUCUGGUAAUUUUCCCAUGACUAACUAGCAUCUCUCUUCCAUCCUGAUUCUGAUCAUAGUUUAAACAGGGCAAAGUCCCAAACAUAUCUAAAGAAUUUAAAUCUCCAAAAGUGAUGCAAUAUCUAGUAUAAAGUUCACACCUUAUGACUUGUGUCCAAUCACAUAGCGUUGCUGCAACAGAUAGUUUGGAGACAUGUUUCAGCUGGUCUUCUUACAUGCUAAACAUGAUAUCAUAAACAAACCACUAAGAAGGUUAGUUAGUAACCUUUUUUUAUCGUUUGCCAAGCAUGUCGUUCCGUCAUCUUUCAAUAAAUUCUCAAGUGGCAUUUGUAGAGAAAAGUUUUCAUCUCGGCUCACUGGCAAACUGAAAAUUGUAAUGGUCAUGAGUAAACGGUCAGGAUGAGCAACGAUAUUUAAAAGCACUUGUGUAGUUCUUUGCCUGUUAGUAUGCUAAACAUGGAAAAUGUCGAAUCAACAUCAAUUUAACACUGUCUUUACUCGAAUAGCUACAGAACUAUGUAAGAAAACACAAGGAACAAGAAGAGAAUCCCGAAGCUCUAGACAUGGCAUGGCCAUGAAAACUCCACCGAGAGCUGGUUUUUGGUCCUCGGAGUAGAUGUGAAAAUGUUGCAGAAUUAAAGAAUAAGCAAAGAUUCUUCGUAUCUAGCACUGUAAGCUUGCUCGAUAUAGAGUGAAACAAAGGGACAUUGCAUAGAGUUUGCACCUAUGUGAAGUUCACGAUGGCCGGGAAGCAAUCCGCNNNNNNNNNNNNNNNNNNNNNNNNNNNNNNNNNNNNNNNNNNNNNNNNNNNNNNNNNNNNNNNNNNNNNNNNNNNNNNNNNNNNNNNNNNNNNNNNNNNNCGUAUCAAUAAUCAGUUCUUCCACAAGUGGAAUUGAUACGCAAUUUAUGCCCAAAUUGUCCUCUAUUCCCCUUUCCACUUGGGACGGUUUUCCAUGAAUCUCUUCCAGCUCCUCGAGCCUGUUAUCGAGGGCUCUUCUAAGUGUGGUCAUCUGUAUAUGAUCGUUUGCUUCUGGAAGUCGGUUUAUGGAGACCUUGAAGUUCAGCCUAUGAAUUUUGCUGUACACUAGACGGGUCCUGUUGUCGUACUUCGAACACUUAUGUGAGGUUUCAAUUGUUCCCGCCUUCCUUUCAUGGUGCAGCAGAGCAACAAAUGCCAAAGGAAUUGGAAGAGACAGUUCCACAGCCUCCUGUCACAAUGAAUGGUCUUUCUCAUCAGGAUGAUUCUCCAAUGAGCGUGAUGAACUGCAGGAAUAAGUAAGAAACUUGAUUCUUGAGAUGUUUCUGUCUCAUAUCGUUUACUUUUUCUCCAUUGCGUCGAACAUAGUACCUACUCUAGUAUUAGCUUAACUUUCAUUUCAAUCUGAAAGCUACUCACCUACACUUACAGGAUUCUUAAUAUAAAUUACCUGCUUGUGCACACUAUGGGGCUGCAUGUUUUCGUUUCUUUUUUCUGUUUAAGGACAGAAAUUUUGUUUUUUUGUUCCCGGGAACAAAAAAACAACAGAAACGCGUUUGUUUGCGUUUUUGUUCAAAAUCUGAUUUUUUGUUCCCGGAACACAAAAAAAACAGAAAUGAGAAACAAAAAAAAAUUGUUUCUUAUUCCAGAAACACUUUUGAAGAAACACUUCUUCUCUCUCCUCUUUUCUUCUUCUUUUCUUCUUCUUUUUUCUUUGGCUGGUCGCCGGCCUCGGCCAUGGCCGGCGACCGGCCAUUGAGGGCCAGCGAGGUUGAGCCUCGCCAGGGGCCAGCAACGCUCGGCCUCGGCGGAUCUGGGCGAGGCCCAACGAGGCUCGGCCUCGCCUUGGCUGGGUGAGGCUGGCCACCUCGUCGGCCGGUCGUCGAAGGCCGGCGACUGGCCGAAAGAAGAAAAAAUAAAAAAUAAAGGAAAAAAUGAAAAAUAAAAUAAAAAUAUUAAAAAAUUAAAAGAAACAAAAAAAGAAUAUAAAUUUGCCAAACGUGUUUCUAUUCAUUUUUUAUUCCCGGAACAAGUUUACCAAACGCAUCUUUCUAGUCAAAAAUUGUUCCUCAGAACAGAAAUACUUUUUUCUAUUUCUGUUCCCUGGAACAAUUUUUGAACAGAAACGUUACCAAACGCGCCCUAUCUUACUUGGCGAAUUCUGUCAUCUGCACUAGUUUAAAUACAUGCAUCAUUCGAGAGCGCAAGUGCCUUUGAUGGCUUAUGGCCUGAGGCAUGGCGUAAUUGUUUUUUUUGCCUCGUCAAAAGUGUUGCUUCAGAGGACCUGAAUAUUCAUUCGAUAGGAAUCGUCUGUUUAGAUGAUCAUAAUUGCUACCAUUGGUAGAACACACUACCAAUAACAACAUGAUAGUUGUGGUGAGCAUUCUAGUUGAGCAACGUAGUUUCAACUUCGAGUUGUGAUGCUAACUGUGCUCACACUAGUGGUUCUAAAAUGUUGAUGAACAGAGCUGAAUCUGACAAGCUACUAGCCAUUCCUGUCGGUUUUGUUGGAUCAGAAGAGGUGGUAAGGUCUGCUCCACAUCUUGUACCUGGCGGUAAUCUUGCUUGUCCUUCAUUGGAAGAACAAGGAAUGAGAAUAAAUGCUGCAUUAGACACUGCACAUGCACCAAUUUCUCAUCUCUCGAACCUUAUUGCCGACGGCCACCAGGCUGCAAACUUCAGGGGACCUUACCAACCAUCAGACUUUUAAUGGCUCGAAGCUUGAGCCACUUGUAUUCUUACCCUAUCCCUUACUUUCUCUGAAGGUAUUUAUGAUAUUUAACACUUAGCUCGACAUUCUGCGUCGUCAAUCUUAGGUGGUUUGGACUACCUACUGGCGAAUCUCUUCAUGUAAAGGUUUGGCUUGGAAUAUUACUUGUCAGCAUAGUUGCAUAGACAUGGCGGUUCUGUUCUUUUACCCAUCAGUGCAUUCAACUCAUGGUGCAACAAUCUGAAAAAAGCUUUUAAUAUGCUAUUUGAGAGUCAGCUUUCAGCAGUGAUCUCGAACAAUUUCGUGUUCUCCAAACCGAGACUUGUUCAGAGUCAUUGAAAGCCUUCAAUUUCUGACCUUGUACUGGGAAGGUCCUUCCUGCUUUAUCUGUUUCUACUUUAAAAACCAUCUAAAGUAAUUGAAAAGACCAUGCGGAAAAAGUUAAUUGCUGUUGUACUUGGCGAGACGACCCAAGUUUAAGUGGCAGCAUGCGCUUUUGCUACUUCUCUAUGUAUUCUUACUGUUGGGAAAAUAAACUUCGAAUUGGGUAGAACAAUGAAGUCGGAUCGAGUAAUCAAGUCGGACUUUGAGGCGUGGUAUCACUUUCUUUAAGGAUUUAUUUGCCCCACAACGUUGCUAAUGGUCACUGGCAAAAAUCCUCCAGGAUACAACAAAGUCUCGGAUGAGAAUACUAAAUAGCAAUUCUAGUAUUUCUCUAGGGUCUCUCUAAGAAACAAUCGAAAAUUGGCUGCAGUUUUUCAGAAAGGAGACUCGAAAUGACCACCCUCUUCUUUCCGAAAAUGACAAGUAUUUAUAUGAAACGGUCUUGCAACUCUUCGUGAAAAUUGCGAACAAACACGUCUUUAGAAAAUUGUUCGGAUAAACAAAUGCGACUCUUCGGAAGAAGUCGAAAACGAACAAUUGCAAUCCUUCGGAAAAAUUAAAACCGAAUAAGUAAUUUUCCAAAGGUUGUCUUGAAAAGACACAAAUAAAAUUCGGAAUAAUUAUUAUUAUUUUCUUUUUAAAUAGAAUUUCGAAUUUUCAUUUAUAUUUCAUUUCCGAAAUUCUCAAAUUAAAAGGCAACCUUUGAACUCAAAUAUAAAAUAAAAUAAAAUAAAAAUAAAUAAAUAAAAAGCAAGGGAUUAAUGCUUAAUUAAACCGCGGGCGCGCAGGCGUGCUAAGUGCUAAGUGCGCCAAAUAAUCGCGCACCCGCACGCGGGUAUGGUGGGUCUAGCCCCACCUAAUCACUCUUUUAACUACAAAAGGAAAUUCCUCAUUAAUAAACUAAUCCUCCUGCUCCCACCUUUUCUAUGUGGGACAAAGUAAAAGGCACUUAUUUUGUUUUAACAAACAAAAUUCCAACACUUACUCCUGAUGAAUGGCGUAGUUUGUAGCUUCCAUUCAGGAGUACCUUGAUAAUUCGGCAUCAGGUCAGUGUUCUCUGUCUGCAAUAUCCGAGAGAAGUGAUAUCGCGCGUUCCUUAUCACAUCGGUGUCUGGAGGAAUGUUUGCUAAGCAAGAAAACUCAUGUGCAGGGGACAACAGUGAGGAAUAUAGUACUUGUUCGGAAGAAUGUAAGGCACCAUCUCAUGACUUAUCAUCGAGUAAAUGCACAAAUUCUUACUGCAUUGAGAUAUUCUGCUUUUGUAAUACAUCACAUCCUCUAACAUGACAUCACGUGUUCGAUUUCUAUUCAUCGUAAAGGCAAAAUUGCUAGCCACAAUCGUUCAUCGGUUAGGCUAGGACCCAUCUAGAAACAAGAGGUCAAAGUCAGAGAUUGCUUGAGUAGGUAGCUGAUGUCGAGCUGGUUGAUCGAGCGGGGGUUGAAGGGUGGGGGUGAGAGCUUUUGACGGAAACAAGAGAGAUUCGUUGCUCAAAAUGCAAACAUUAACAUGAAGAAAAAUUACAUUGUUAUGCCAAGAGGAUUUACACGAAACAAAAAUUAUAACGAAUGCCAUACAACAUUCAUUGUCAUUUAUAAAACAUGGACAUAAUGAGUCUAAUAGAAAACACUGAUGCUAUAUGAAAAACAUGUAAAAGCUUCAUAGAUUACAUUAUCAAUGAUGGUACAUGUUGAUAGUGUUAACUAUAUUUCGCAUCUCAUUUCUACAAGAGGAGAACAAUCACACAAUACAUGAUUUCGUAAACUCAUUGUCGUGGUCAAAUUGGCAAUUGCCAGAAAUUAUCGGAGCACUUGAUGAAGAUGAGACCAUUUCAAGUUCUAUCUCAUUGUUGUCAUCAUCAAUUGGUGCCUCUAUUGGAUACAAAAGCGGUUUUGGAGGUAGUUGCAGUUUAUCGAUAUCUCCUUCAAGCAUAUCUACAACUUUCCUCAUUGACGGCCGAUCAUUAGGGCUCAGCGUUAUGCACCAUAGCACAACGAUUAUCAUCUUCCUCGUUUCUCUUUCCUCUUCUAUGACUUCUACCCUCUCAACCUCCUUUUCUUUGCUGAGUUGAUCAUAAAUCCACAAAGGAAAGUAAAUUUGACUUGAAUGCUCUGCAUGUGCAUUUAUAUUUCUCCUUCUACCGGCCAUUUCCAUCAACAUCAUCCCAAAACUGUAAAGAUCGGCUUUAUAAGAAAUGCCACCAAUGUCUUUGUAGAAUAGCUCAGGCGCCAUAUAACCCAAGGUUCCUCUUGCUGCAGUCAACGAUACUAUGCUAUGACCGAUGGGAUAAAGUCUUGCAAGUCCAAAGUCAGAAAUUUUCGGAGUAAAACUUUGGUCUAGGAGAAUGUUGUGAGGUUUGAUAUCAAAGUGUAGAAUUUGCAUAUCACAUCCCCAAUGUAGAUACUAUAUACCUCUAGCUAUGCCAAGAGAGAUCUCAUGCAUUUUCUUAUAAUCAAGAGGAUCAUCACCAUCCUUAUUUGAAAUGUUUUUAUCCAAAGAGCCAUUCGGCAUGAAAUCGUAGACCAGAGCUUGUUUGGAGUAAUCGAAGCAAAAACCAACAAGUUGCACUACAUUGAUGUGGUGGAUCCUUCCAAUUGUGGCCACUUCACUAAUAAAAUCUUGGCCAUUAGAUUCUGGUUUGUUCAAAAUCUUAACCGCAACUUCAUUGCCACUUCUAAGGAUUCCUCUAUACACAGAGCCAUAUCCCCCCUCACCUAAUUUGCAUUUGAGAUUUUUUGUAAUCUUCUUGAUAUCUGAGUAAGAGUACCUUAUGGGCAAAAAGUUGUUGUGAACUUGUAGGAAUUCUUCGAUGUUUGCGUCAAUCGCCCGGUGCCUUCUCAUCCACUUAUAGAUUAGAAGUAUCAACACACAUGGAGCUCCGAGUAUGAAUUUUGCUGCGACGUAGUUGGCUACAUAGAAAUUGUCCAUAGAUUAGCGCAGUGCAAUAAUUUUUUUUGUAAACAUAAUUGUUUUAAAUCAGAGUGCUUCUUGAGAUCAUCAUAGUUGUGAGGAGAAAAGGCCCAGCAGUCAUACCCAAGAAAAAGGCGAGGCGCCAACCUACAAUUUCCGUCGUACCAAUGCUUGGCCCACGCAGAAUUAGUGGUGACUGCAACAGAUUAAUUAGAGUCGGUGAUCAAUCAAUGAAGUAUUAAAUUUAUCAUUUUAGCAGUUAAACAUAAAUAUAAUUUACUCUCCUUGACAGCGCUCAGAUUACAGUUAAUUCAAUUCACCUAGGGAAUCCAUGCUAUCGUAGCAUGACAUUUUCCUUGAAGAAAAGCGAUUUUGCUUUUGUUCACCUAUAUAUAUCAAAUGAUUCAUAAGUUCACGUCUCGCUUCGCGUAAUUCUAAUUUACAAACGUCAUUCAAUACGCGUGCAGUUUAUUCAACCGCAUAAGAAUAACAGCCGUGCAAGGGACACGAGCAACAAUUAAAUCAACCGUUUUUCCCCAAACAAAAAUGAAGUAACAAUGUCAAAUCCAGAAAAGCUCCAAGAUUCGUAAAAUAAACGAGAGCAGUGCAUGCCGACCCUACCAAGAAAUCUAUUUAAACUUUUCUACUUAAGUGAUGUGGCAAUUUUUUCUAUUAUGUUUUUAAAGAAACUAGUGUCUUAAUGUGUGGAUUUUAUUAAAAAUACCCAAUUAAAACCUGCCACGUCACUUCGUAAGUAAAUUUUGAUCAGAUCUCUUAGUGAAGCUAGCAUUUAAGGAAAGGAGGAGGAGGAAGAAGAGAAAAAGAAAGUAACAGCUUAAGGGAACGUCGCUUACGGAUAUAAUAGCCGCAGAACCCCCUUCGGUUAAUAAAUCUUAAGAAGUGACAUGGAAAGGGGCUUCGCACAGAAAAGAGGUUCGGAUAGGAGAGAUUGAAUCCCUCGACCAUCUUGUUGUGGAGGUCCUUGUAUGGUAAGCUCCCAUACUGAUCCCCUUUCCGCCCUGAGAUUUGAUCCGAUGCGAAUGCCAUCAUGGUUACGGUGCAAGAGUCCUUGAUAUCCCUUGCUCGUAGAUCUCCAUGUACAGCGUAUGAGUACACCUUCAUUUGGGAAAAAUAAGGAGUUGUGUCGGCAGAAUAUGCGCCCUCAAUACAUGGUGUGGCAUCAAUAUAAGAAGUAGAAGUAACAGGCUGUGAGCACUUCAUGAAGGCCACAGUGUCAUUUUGAUAUGGAAAUAGAUAUAAAUCACCAAAUGAACUAGUAGACCAAUUGAAGUACGUCAAUGGGUAACGAGGAAGGGAUGAGCAAUUACCCUUUUGCAGUCCAUCAUCAACCGCCGUGAUAUUACCAGAGAAGUCAUUUUGGUCAAUAUAGGAAUCGUAAUGAAUCGACUUCAAAAGAGUGUGGUUAUUUUCACAAGCUAGCUCAUACCAAGAGUGACCGCAGUCUUUUGGAUCGCCUUUCAAUUGAAAAUGAUAACUUAUGUUACGGAUCUCACCGCAAGAUGAAGGGGCACACAAGUGAUUCUUCUUCGCAUGGCAGCUCGUCCCUAACAAUAGCAGAACAUGCGAUAUGAGAAGUAAAACAGGGAGCAUGAAUAUCGAGCUGCGAGAAAUAAUCAUCUCUUUAUGGUUUGGUCUGAUGCAAUGGAAGUUUUAGCUCACUUGGUAAUGCGAGGGAUGCUUAACAAAGGGUUGAGAGUCAUCGGUCAUCGAAAUGUCCAAGUCAACCCUAAAACAAAGUCUAGCGAAGAAAAACUUAAAAAGUAUGGCCCGGCAAAAACACGAUCUCGAGUGAUAGAUAGCUUUCACAUUCAUUAGGGAGGAAAUUUCUCUGCAUUUUCCAGAUUUGAUUUUUCUUGGCAAAUUAAUUCUCUCUAGAAAUUUAUUUUAGUAUCUUAAAAAAGAAUCGGUUUGUUUUGUACCCUAAACUCAAUCAAAAUCCUUUCAAACAAGGCAUCUGGCGUUCUAUUUUAUUUUCAAGGCCAAUAUUUCAUAAGUGUCGCUUCGUUAAAUUUUGAAGACGAAAAGGAAAAGGAUGAUGUAUUUCAUCAUAUAAAUAUUUUCAUUUUUGAGAAAAAAUAAAUUAGUAACCAAGAAAGAGGAUAAUGUUAAAUAACCGGUACAUAGAUUUUAACUUUUGUAAUGUUGCUUUCCGCAAAAAUAGAAAGAAAAUAAGGAAUGGGCGCUUCUUGCUUAUGGAUGAUGUGAAACUUUAUGAAAGAAAGAAAGCAAUAUGGUAAAUCCUCAACUAGUGAUGGGACCGACACAUCUCGAUUAGAAACUCACUUGCGUCGUCGUGGAUUGACACACGCAAGGACUAUAGAUGCAACAUUUGAAUUCACAAAAAUAAUGUGACGUUUACUUAUUCACUAUGCUUAAAUUUUAAAAUCACUCUCUUGUAAUUGUGCUAUAAUUAUGAAUAUGACCGUCGUCUCUUUUUCAUUAUUGAAUCACUUAAUGAAUGAACAUACUGAUCUCAAUGAAAAAGGCAAUACGAUCAUUUGUCAACCAAUGAUCAAUCAAUGUGGGUCUCGAUUAGAAAUUCACUUCCUUCGUCAUUCUUGAUAUGCGCAAAGACUAUAGGUGUAAUAUUCACUUGCACAAAAAUAAACUAAUAUGUAAUUAUUCAUUGUCAAUUGAAAUAUAAUUCUUGUGGAUCAGUCAAUCACUUGCCUAUAAAAUAAUCUCAUCUUUUUCUCACAAUAAAUCGAACCGACCUAUUACAAUAUUCAAUUGAAACGUGCCACAUCACUCAGUAUGUAAAUUUUUAUACGAUCCCUCAGUAGAGCUAACAUUUAAGAAAAUGAUGAGGAUGAAGAAAGAAACAAAGAAAGAACUGGGAAAGUGAGAUUUCGGGAAUCAUGGUGUCUGCACCUCUCCCUUUGGUAUCCGAAACCUAAGUAGCAAAACUCGAAACUUGUUGGUGGCGAGAGUUUAUAACAGGAGAUAGUGAAUCCCUCGACCAUCAUGUUGUGGAGGUCCUUAUACGGUGAAUUCACACGAUUAUAUCCUUCCAAUAUGCCCCCUAUUUUUUUCCCACCUUGGGAUAUAAUACGGUAUUAAAGCCUUUAUGGUUCUGGUGUAAGUAUCCUUGAUGUCCCCUACUCGGAGAUCAAACCCAUGUACAGAGUUCAGUAUUGACUUACGAAAUAGAAGCAAGGGGCUGUGAGCACUUCAUGAAGAUCACCGGCACAGCUAACGAACCGUAUGGAUUAUGAUCACUAAAGUUGGAGGUCGCUAAUGAGUGAGGGAGGGAUGAACAAUUACUUUUUUGCCGUCCAUUGUCAACCACCGUAAUUUCGCCGUCGAAUAAAUAUUUGCUAAGAUAGGAACGGUAAUAAAUCGAUUUUCAUAUAAUAUUAGCUGGCAUAUAGAUAUGGAACAAUGCGGUUAUUUUCAUAAGCUAGCUUAUGUUCAAAGUGGCCGCAUCCUUUUGGAUUGCCUUUCAAUCGAAAGUGAUAGUGUAUGUCGCAAAACUUGUUGCAAGAUGAAGCGGUGCACAAAUGAUUCUUCUUCACACCAUAACUCAUCCCUAAUAGCAGCAGAACAUAUAAUAUGAAAAGCAAAACACUGAACAUACUUAUGGAGCUCAGAGACUUAAUCGUCUCUCCAUCAUUUGAUUUGAUGCAAUGAAAGUUUUUACUAAUUGGUAACGUGAUGGAGGCCCAGUAAUAUGAAUGAAAAGAGCUGGGAGUCACCGGUCAUACAAAUGUCCAAGUCAACCAAUAAAGCAAAGUCUAGCGAAGAAAAAGUGGGUAUCACGUGGAAAUUGCAGUCCUUGCGGUCAAGGUGUCAAAACAUGGUGUUGGAAUUAUUUAUGCAUAGCUUUCACAUGCAAAAUCUUUUCGAGUGAGGCAUUGACACUCUAUUUUCUUUUCAAGACUAAUAUUUCAUAAGUGUCACUUCAUUAAGUUGUGAAGACAAAAAGGAAAAAGAUGUUGUAUUUCAUUGUCUAAGCUUUUUUUUUUUUUUGGACAAAAAAAUAGAAAUUGGUAACAAAAAUAGACUAUUGACAAGAAUAUUAACUUGUAAAUGCUGCCUUUGGCAAAAGUAAAAGGAAAAUAAGAAAUAAGUGCUUCUUAGAUGGUGUAACAUGUUGUGAAAAAAAGAAAGAAAGCAAUAUGAUAGUUUCUAGCAAUGGACUGACGCAUCUUGACUAGAACCUUGCUAACUUCGUCGUCAUGCAAAGACUAUAGAUGCAAAUUUCCAAGUCAACCAUGAACACAAAGUCUAGCGAAGAAAAAGUGGGUCUCACGUGGAAAUUGCAGCCCUUGCGGUCAAGGCGACGAAAACACGGUGUUGGAAUUAUGUAUGGCGCAACUUUCACGUUGAUUAGAAAAGAAACUUCUCUGCAGUUUUCAAAUUUAACUUUUCUUGGCAAAUUGACUCUUUAGGAAUCAAUUUUAGUUCAUUAAGAAAAGAAUCAAUCUGAAUGUUAUGUACUCUAAAUUGAACCAAAAUCAUUUCAAGUGAGCAUUGGCAUUCAAUUUUAUUUUCAAGGCCAAUAUUCCACGAGUGUCGAUUCGAUAAAUUGUGAAGAUGGAAAGGGAAAAAAUGUUGUAUUUCACCAUAUAAGCUUUUUCAUUACUGACAAAAAAACAAAAUUGGUAACAAAGAUAGACUAUUAAAGGGAAUAUUAACUUGUAUAAUGUCACUUUUGACAAAAAUAAAAGGAAAAAUAGGAAUCCGUGCUACUUGGAUGGUGUAACAUGUUAUGAAAGAAAGAAAGUAAUCCGAUAAUUUCUAGCAAUGGGACCGACAAGCAUUGACUAGAACCUCACUAACUUUGUCGUUGCGCAACAUUCAAUAUUUGAUAUCACAAAAAAGAACAAGAAGAAGCAAUUCUUACUUAUUUACUAUCAACUUCAAUAUUACAAUCACUAUCUUGUAAUUAUGUUAGAUCUGUGAACAAUAUUCUAAGUUAACAAAUCUACUUUAGUAAGGUGACAUGGAAAUUUAUUUUCAAAUGAAGCUAUUCUAAGUUAUGAAAAUUAGGGACAACUAAUGGCGAUUUUUGGACCGAGGGCUAAUGGGUAGAUUGGGAUUAGAGGAAAAAUUGGUGUUUUUUCUUUUAGACAAAAAAAGUUCAAGGUAGAUUUGGGAUUAGGCCUAAAGUUUGAGGUUUUUUCCGGACAAAGAAAAGAUUGAGGCAAAUUUGGGCUGGACCUAAGUUUAGGUUUUUAUGAUAAAAAAGAGUUUGAAACAGAAUUUGGACUAAAUUUAAAGUUGGACCUUUUUUAGUGAAUAAGGCCCAAAAAAUAUACAGAAAUAGUGUCACAUCCAAAAAAGCUCCAUAGUCGUAAAAUAAAGGAGCAAUACACGCUGAUUUUACUAAAAAAUCUUACUGAACUUUUUCACUAAACGAAUGGCAAUUUUUUUUAUUGGGUAUUAAAGAAAGUGAUGAUUCAAUAAAAUGAACCAAACGUAUUGCAAUAUCCAAUUGAAACAUGCCACAUCACUGAGUAAGUAAAUUUUGAUAAGAUCCCUCAGUAGAGCUAACAUUUAAGAAAAGGAUGAAGAUCAAGAAGAAGAAAGAAACAAAGUAAGAGAGUAAAGAAAGAAAAGCCUUAGGGAAAGUCAGCUUACAGAAGUAGGGGGUGUUUGGUUGGGCAUUCCCAAGGGGCUUUGGGGGAGAAAUUUUGGGUGUUUGGCAAGGGUUUUUGAAUGCCCAUUUGCGAAAUGCGGGCAUUCCACAUGCUCAAAGCCCAAUGCUGGGGUAAGGCAACUUUGAGCAUUCAGCAUUCUCCCAAUGCAAGCUCACUGUUCACGCUUCUUCCCCACGAAUUCUUCGAGUUCUCCACCGCCGCCUUCGUUGUCAACGCCGCCUCCGCCUCCGCCUCCGCCUUCGCCUCCGUCAUCGACGCCGCCUCCGCCGUCGACGCCUUCCUCUUCUGCGACAGAUCCAUCCUCUUCGACGAGCGCGAGCAGCACCGGUCGACUCCUUCAGCUCGUGAGAACCAGGACUCGAGCCGCUAGAUCUGGCCAUCCGGAGGCUAGAUCUAGCGGUCCGGAGGCUAGACCGGCUGUCUGACGGCGAGAUCUGGCCUUCCGACGGCCAGAUCUAGCCUUCACCCCCCCAACCAACCCGACGGCCCUCCCGCCCCGCCAUUCUGGGACGCCCCCGACUUCGAGUUCUCCACUGGCCCCACUGCCACCUCCGCCUCCGCCUCCACUGUCGACGCCUUCCUCUUCUCCAUCCCCCUCCGACUCCUUCGGCUCGCACGAAUCAGGCCGUCUAAAGGCCAGAUCUCGCCGUCUGGCGGCCAGAUCUAGCCUCUGCGACCAUAGAUGACGGCGUGCGUCUACAGUCUGGAGGCCAAAUCGGGUCGCCAGACGGCUGGCCGUCUGGCAUCACCGGCCGCCGGAUUUGAUUUUCAGAUUUAAAAAAAAAAAAAUUAAAGCAAAAGCACAUUUGUAAUAAGUUUUGCCAAACGGUAUUUUUACACAAGUCACUUUCCAAUGCGUAAUUUGCCAAACGCCCGAACAUUCCGAAAACCCCUUUACCCUAAAGAUAUUUGCAUUUGGCCAAGGGCAUUUCCCCAAAGCCGAACCAAACGGGCCCGUAAUAUGGGUCGCACCACGCCAUUCGGUAUCUGAAACUUAUCGCACAAAUCUGGAAUAUUUCCCACGAAUAAGUUUUAUAAUAAAAGAGUUCGAAUCCUUUAGCCAUCAUGUUGUGGAGGUCCUUAUACGGUGGGCUCACACGUUUAUACCGAUCCACUUCCUGGAUCAAUAAGAAAGUGAUCAUGGUUAUGUUGCAAGAAUCCUUGAUGUCCCGUAUUUCUAGAUGAGGCCCAUACAAAGCGUAUGAGUAUGCCUUCAUUUGGGAAAAAUUAGGGGGUGUAUCAGAAAGGUAUACUUCCUCAAUACAUGGUUCAGUAUUGAUAGACAAAGCGGAAGCAACAGGCUGUGAGCACUUCAUGAAGACCACCGGCUUAGCAAAGGGCGAAAGACCACCACGGUUUGGAUCAUUAGCGCUAAAGUUGGAGCUCGCCAAUGAGUGACGAGGGAGGGAUGAGCAAUUACCUUUUUGCAAUUCAUCGUCAACCACCGUGAUUGUACCUGAAAAAUCAUUUAUAUGAUCGAAAGUAGAAUAGUUAAUCGACUUCACAUAAUAUCGACUAGCAUACAGAUAUAGAAAAGUAUGAUUAUUUUCACAAACUAGCUCGUACUUGGAGCAGCUGCAGCAUUUUGGGUCGCCUUUCCAUCGUAAGGGAUAGUGUAUGUCACGGAUCUCACUGCAAGAUAAAGCAGCGCACAAGUGAUUCUUCUUCGAACCGUAACUCAUCCCCAGUAGCAGCAGAACAUGCAAUAUGAAAAGCAAAACACGGAACAUGCUCAUAAAGCUCAAAGACUUAAUGGUCUCUAUCGUUUGAUGUGAUGCAAUGGAAGUUUUUGUUAAUUGGUAAUGUGAUGGAGGCCCAGUUACAUGAAUGAAAAGAGUGGGGAGUCGUCAGUGAUACAAAUUUCCAAGUCAACUGAUAAAACAAAGUCUAGCGAAGAAAAAAUGGGUCUUACCUAGAAAUUGCAGUCCUUGCUUUUAUGGUGACAAAACACAGAGUUGGAAUUAGUUAUGCAUAGCUUUCACAUUGAUUAAAAAAGAAACUUCUCUGCAGUUUCCAUAUUGACUUUUCUUAGUACCAUUUAAAAAAAAAAUCGAUUUUAAACCAAAAGAAAAAAGAAAAAGAGAGAAUCGAUUUGUAUGGCAUGUACUCUAGAAUGAACAAAAUCCAUUUGAGUGAGGCAUUGGCAUUCUAUUUUCUUUUCAAGGCUAAUAUUCCAUAAGUGUCCCUUCGUUAAAUUGUGAAGACGAAAAGGAAAAAGAUGUCGUAUUGCAUCAUUUAAGCUUUUUAUUUUUGACAAAAAACAGAAAUUGGUAACAAAAAUAGACUAUGAACAAGAAUAUUAACUUGUAUAAUGUUGCUUUUGGAAAAAGUAAAAGAAAAAUAAGAAAAAAGUGCUUCUUGGAUGGUGUAACAUGUUAUGAAAGAAAGAAAGUAAUAUGACAAUUUCUAGCGGUGGACUGACACGUCUUGAUUAGAACCUCACUAACUUCGUUGUCAAGCAAAGACUAUAGAUGCAAAUUUCCAAGUCAACCAUCAACACAAAGUCUAGUGAAUAAAAAGUGGGUCUCAUAUGGAAAUUGCAGCCCUUGUAGUCAAGGCGACAAAAACACGGUGUUGGAAUUAUUUAUGGUGUGGCUUUCACGUUGAUCCGAAAAGAAACUUCUUUGUAGUUUCCAGAUUCAACUUUUCUUCGCAAAUUGACUCUUUAGGAAUCAAUUUUACUUCAGUAAAAAAAGAAUCGAUUGGAAUGUUACGUACUCAUUGAAUUAAAAUCCUUUCAUGUGAGGUAUUGGCAUUAAAUUUUAUUUUCAAGGCUAAUAUUCCAGGAGUGUUGGUUUGAUAAAUUGUGAAGAUGAAAAGGAAAAAAAAAUUUCAUAUUUCACUGUAUGAGCUUUUUCAUUACUGACAAAGAUAUAGAAUUGGUAACAAAGAUAGAAUAUUAAAGGGAAUAUUAACUUGUAUAACAAAAAUGAAAGGAAAAACAACAGUUAGUGCUUCUUGGAUGGUGUAACACAUUAUGAAAGAAAGCAAUUUGAUAAUUUCUAGCGAUAGGACCGACGCGCAUUGACUAGAACCUCACUAACUUCGUUGUUGCACAAAAACUAUACAUGCAAUAUUCAAGUUCACAAAAAAAAAAAAAACAAUGUUUGCUUAUUCACUAUCAUCUUCAAUAUUAAUAGAAGACUUCAGCUUAGUUGGGUAUACACCCCUCGAUCUUUGAUUAAUCUACUAUCCUUUUGCUGGUCGGUGCCUCUUUCAUGCUCCUGGUUGGUUGUUAUUGUGGAUCCUUUUCGACCUAAGUUCUUGGACACCCCUUUCCUGUCCCUUUCUCCCUUUGAGGUUCUCCUUUCUUGGUUGGUCCUAUUCUGCUCAUUGCUGGUUUGUUGUUUGUCUCCGGUGCUUUCAAGAUGAUGGCCCACUUGCUGCUUCGUUGAUGCGGGUGUUGCCCUCUCGUGUGAUGCGGCGUCCAGCUUCUCCUCAGCAAUCGGUGGCUCCACCUUGGUGUUUCGCUGUCUUGCUGUUUUUUGUUUCUCCCUUGUUUCUCUGUCUCGUGUGCGGGCUGCUUUUUUUGGCCCUUCUCUCCUCUGCUGUGGCUAUUGUUUUAGUCUUUUUCUUUGCUGCUGUUCUUUCUUUCCCUGUUCUGCAGCUUUACCCCCUGUACCCUUCCACUCUUUUGACUACCUUGUCUUCUGAGUGUAAGCUUUUUGGUUCCGGGGUCCUUAGCUGUACUGUUGUAUAGCCUCUUGGUUCAAAAGUCAAUAUAAUACUUACCUUUUACCAAAAAAAAAAAAAACUUCAAUAUUACAAUCAUUCUCCCAUAAUUGUGUUAGAUCUAUGAACAAUAUUGUCAUAUCUUUCCCAUAAGAGAACCACUUAAUAAAUGAAUUGAUCUAUUACUAUCGUUCAAUAAAAUGAAAAACAAAUGUUUAUGUCUGUUUUUGACAUCUAAACUUUGCCUUUUUUAUUUAGGACUUACUCGUAUAGAAAAUUAUGGAUUAGUCUAUAAAAAAGGUAAAAAGUAAAAUAAACAAUUUUCAUUAAAAUGCACCACAUUUUCAUUAAAUUGCAUCUCAUAUAGACAUUAGGAACAUUUGCAUUACUAGUAUUAAAAAAUUUUAAAAUAAUUUUUUAAAUUAAGAUUAGAAAAAAAUAACAAAAAAUAAAAACGCAGCCGGGCCGGGCUGGGGCCAGCCCGAGCCCGGCCCCUCCUUUUCCCUUUCUUUUUCCCCCUCGUGGCCUAGCCCGCUUCUAUUCCUUCUAUUCCCCCCGCGCGGCACACCUUUCUUCCUCCGCGGCCCAUCUCGCUCUUCUUCCUCCUUCGUCCUCCUUCCCUCGCUUGGACGUCAGCUUCAGGACAAAACAGAGAGUGGGUCGCUGGCCGAAGGACGCAAGGUCGCGAGGUUGCGCGCAACGUUCGCCCUGGAAUGUCAUGCGGUGCGAAGCCAGCUGGUCUCGUCCUUGAAGAAAGGGAGAGAAACGAGAUAAAUGGGAGAGAAAGGCAGCAAAGGGAAGGGGGGUCUCUCUGGUUUUCUUGGGUUUGUUCGGCCGAGGAAGAGCAACCGAGAGAGAGAGAGAGAGAGAGAGAGAGAGAGAGAGAGAGAGCUGGUGAGAGUGAGAAGGCGAGCUCGAGAGAGAGAGAAAAUGAGCGAGCCAGAUAAGAGAGGAAAGAGAGGCGACUGUGUUCUCGAGUUCUUCCGGGGAGGCUGGAGACAGCGAGAGCAACAGAGAGAGUGAGAUCCGAGAGAGUGAGCAAAGGGUGAAGUGGAGAGAGAACCGACAGUGAGUGGAGGGAUGGACUGACAGAAAGCGAGACCCAGAAGCUGAACUUCGUUCUCGGACAAACGUUGCCUGGCCAUCCCCAACAUAAACCAGCGAUCUUUAGCCGACACCCUCGAGCCCACGGCUACCUAUUCCCCAGCGCCCAAAUUCCUGGUGAGUUUUCAUUGGGUUCGAUCCACUUUUAUCCCGAUGAUCCUAGGCUCGUUGCAACAACGAGGCGGCCAACCAUAGCUUGUUUCGCUUCAGCCUCACCUUCUGGCCGUCGUCGCCAAGCCGGCUAGGGAUAUUCGCGGUCAAACACUUCUCUCUGGGAACUCCGGAACUCAAACAGUAGCUGGGUCUCGUUUUCCCUAGUCCACCAGCAUCCUUGGUUUGAACGAGCCGUCCCUUUUGUCGAGUUUGAGCAUCACUUGCUAUUUUCUUUUGAGUCUGGACACGAGCUAGAGUCUAGAAUGGAGGACCAUUUUCACGUGGAAUUUCACGACCACUAAAGAGAUUAAGAUUGUUAAUUUUUUCCAUUUUCUACUUUAGCAUCAUUUUUUAUGCUGCUUUAUUUUGGUAAUAAUAAAACUUAAAAUUUAUACUUCUCUGUCUGCAAUCUCUAAACGAAGUGGAGAUCACGCGUUCCUUAUGAACAUCGGUGUCUCGAGGAAUAUUUACUUUGUAGGAAAACUCAUAUGCAUGGGACAACAGUAAGGAAUAUAAUGUUUGUUCUGAACAAUGCAAGGCACCAUCUCAUGUCUUAUCAUCAAGUGAACACACAAGUUCUUACCACAUUUAGGGAUUGAGCUUUCGUAAUACAUAAUAUGCUCUAACAUAACAUCACAUGUUCAAUUUCCAGUCAUCAUAAAGGCAAAAUUGUUAGCCUACUCUGUCUUUACUCUUUGACAUGUGCCGGUCAUUCAUUGGUUAGGCUUGGACCCAUCCCGUGACAUGAGGACCAAGUUAGAGAUAGCUUGAGCACGUAGCUGUCUUCGAUGUGGGUGAUCAACCAGAGGUCGAAGGGUGGGGAUGAGAGGUUUUGAUGGAAAUGAGAGAGAUUCAUUGCUCAAAAUGCAAACAUUGAUAUGAAGAAAAAGUUACCUUGUUAUACCAAGAGGAUUCACAUGAAACAAAAAUUGAAUACAUGCCAUACAACAUUCAUCAUCAUUUAUAAAAUAUGGACAUAACGAGUCCACCAAAAAACACUAGUGCCAUAUGAAAAACAUGUAAAAGCUUCACAAAUUACAUUUUGAAUGAUGAUGCAUGUUGAUAGUACUAUUUAUAAUUUUUGCAUCUCAUUAUAGGGGAACAAUCACACAAUACAUGAUUUCAUAAACUCAUGGUCAUGGUAAAAUUGGGAACUGCUAGAAACUAUCGGAGCACUUGAUGAAGAUGAGACUGUUUCAAGUUCUAUCUCAGCGUCAACAUCAUCAACCAGUGCCUCUCUCGGAUACAAAAGUGGUUUUGGAGGCAAUUGCAGUUUAUUCAUAUCUCCUUCAAGCAUAUCUAGGACUUUCCUCAUCGAUGGCCGAUUAUUAGGGCUUAAUUGUAUACACCAUAGUGCAACGAUUAUCAUCUUCCUCGUUGUUUCUCUUUCCUCUUCUAUGACAUCUACCCUUUCAAGUUCCUUUUCUUUGGCGAGUUGAUCAUAAACCCACAAAGGAAAGUAAAUUUGACUUGAACGCUCUGCCUGUGCAUUUAUAUUUCUCCUUCUACCAGCCAUUUCCAUUAAUAACAUCCCAAAACUAUAAACAUCAGCUUUGUAAGAAAUGCCACCAAUGUCUUUAUAGAAUAGCUCAGGAGCCAUAUAACCCAAGGUUCCUCUUGCUGCAGUCAGCGAUACUAUACUACGAUCGGUGGGAUAAAGUCUUGCAAGUCCAAAGUCAGAAACUUUUGGAGUGAAACUUCGGUCUAAGAGAAUGUUGUGAGGCUUGAUGUCAAAAUGUAGAAUUUGCAUAUCACAUCCCCGAUGUAGAUACUCUAUCCCUCUAGCUAUGCCGAGAGAUAUCUCAUACAUUUUCUUAUAAUCAAGAGGAUCAUCACCAUCCUUAUAGGAAAUGUGUUUAUCCAAAGAUCCGUUCGGCAUGAAAUCAUAGACAAGAGCUUGUUUGGAGUAAUCGAAGCAAAAACCAACAAGUUGCACCACAUUAACGUGGUGGAUCCUUCCAAUUGUGGCCACUUCGCUUAUAAAAUCUUGGCCAUCAGAUUUUGAUUUGGUCAAAACCUUAACCGCAACUUCAUUGCCACUUCUAAGUAUUCCUUUGUAUACGGAACCAUAUCCCCCCUCACCUAACUUGCAUUUGAAAUUUUUUGUGAUCCUCUUGAUAUCUGAGUAAGAGUACCUUAUGGGCAAAAAGUUAUUGUGAGCUUGUAGGAAUUCUUCGAUGUUUGCAUCGGUCGCUUGAUGCCUUCUCAUCCACUUGAAGAUUAGAAGUAUCAACACACAUGGAGCUCCAAGUAUGAAUUUUGCCGCUAGGUAUUGGUCUGCAGAGAAAUUUGGCAAUCGAUUAGCAUAGUGUGAUAAUUUUUUUUACACGUACAAUUUUUGUUUGUCAGAGUGAUGAAUGAGAGCUUCAUAGGUGUGAAGAGAAAAGGACUUAUCAUACCCAAGACAAAGAAGAAAUUCGUUGCGGUAAUUUCAGCAGAACCGCCCACGCUAGUAUCAUCUGUAGAUAGUAAGAGAAUUCGUGAGAGAUUACUAAGUAUGGUUAAUUAGAAUUAACGACCAAUCAAUAAAGAACUAGAUCCAUUGUUUUAGCAGUUAAAUAAUAAAAGCAAUUCACGUUAAGAUAUACCCCAAGUGAAAGAUAGAUUCAUACAAUCACUGCAAAGUGCAAAGACACAAUUUUUUUAAUUGAAAUUUGCAAGUGGAUAAGUCUACAAUAAAAAAAGAGUGAACGAGUCUUACUUUUCUAGAUGACGCUCAGAUUCAACUUUAUCCUAUUCAAUCCUAAAAUCCAUGUUAUCGUUGCAUGAUCUUUUCUUUUGAAGAAACACGUUUUUGCUUUUGUUCUCCUAAAUGUACCAAAUGUUCAUAAGUUCCCCAUAACAUUAACGGCGAUUCAAGGGACACAAGCUACUAUCAAAUCAAAUAGUUUUCUCCCAAAAAAAUGCCUAAUUCCCUAAAAAACCCUCUAGUUCUAGUCCAAUUUUGGCCCAAACCUUUUUUGUCUCAGAAAAAACUCCAAAUUUUAAAUACCAUCCCAAAUUUGCCUCGAAAUUUGUUUUGUUUAAAAAAAAAAUACCAACUUUUAAUAUAUUCCCAAAUUUACCCCAUGGUCCAGUCCCAACUUAACGUGGCAUUUCCACAUCGAUAACAAAUUCAUUUCAGUAAGGUGACAUGAAAAAUUAUUUUCAAAAUGAAACCAUUCUACGAUAUGAAAAUUGGGGACUACUAACAACAAUUUUUUAUCAGAGGGCUAACGGGGCAGAUUUGGGAUUAAAGUAAAAAUUGGCAUUUUUUCUUUUAGACAAAAAAAUUUCGAGAUAGAUUUAGGAUUGGCCUAAAGUUUGAGUUUUUUUCUAGACAAAGGAAAGUUUGAGGCAGAUUUGGACUGGACCUAAAGAUUAGGAUUUUUUUUUUAGACAAAAAAAGAUCAUAGCAAAAUUGGGACUAAACUUAAAGUUGCGGUUUCCUUUUUAAUGAAUAAAGCCAAAAAAAUAAAAUAAAGAAAUAGUGUCACGUCCAGAAAAGCUCCAUAGUUGUAAAAUAAAAAAGCAAUGCACACCAAAUCUACUAAAAAAUAUUACUGAACUUUUUCACCAAACGAAUGUGGCAAUUUUUUUUUAUUGGGUAUUAAAGAAAUUGAUGACUCAAUAAAUUGAAACAAACGUAUUGCAAUAUCCAAUUGAAACAUGCCACAUCACUCAGUAAGUAAAUUUUGAUAAGAUCCCUCAGUAGAGCUAACAUUUAAGAAAAGGAUGAGGAUGAAUAAGAAGAAGAAGAAGAAGAAGAAGAAAGAAAUUAAGAGAGUAAAGGAAGAAAAGCUUCAGGGAAAGUCAGCUUACGAGAGUAAUAUCGUGUGAACCCCGCCCAUACAUAAUAUAUCCCGCGACGCCAGUACAUUACCGAAUGCCGAUGAGACGGAUACGGCAUCAAAACCAGCCUAGGACGAGAUCCAUAAUAACUGAGAUUGAAUCCUUCAGCCAUCAUGUCAUGGAGGUCCUUAUACGAUGGGCUCACACGGUUAUAACUCGAGAAGAAAGUCAUCAUGGUUAUGUUGCAAGAAUCCUUGAUGUCCCCUACUUGUAUACCAUCCCCAUACAUAGCGUAUGAGUACCCCCUCAUUUGGGAAAUAUUAGGGGGCGUAUCGGAAGGGUAUGCUCCCUCAAUACAUGGUUCAGUAUUGAUAUACGAAGCAGAAGCAACGGGCUGUGAGCACUUCAUGAAGACCAGCGCCGCAGAGGAAGGAACAAACCCGGAUCCCGGGUAUAGAUAAUUAUCACUAAAGUAGGAUCUCGAUAAAUAAUUACUAAAGUUGGUACUCGCCAAUAAGUAACGAGGGAGGGAUGAGCAAUUACUUUUUUGCAAUCCAUCAUCAAUUACGGUGAUAUUACAAGAGAAAUCAUAUCCGAAAUUAUUGUCAUAGUAAAUCGACUUCACAUAAUAUCGACCGCCAUACAAAUAUAGAACGGUGCGAUUAUUUUCACAAGCUAGCUCAUACUCACCACAGCCUUCCAGGUCACCUUUCAAUCGAAAAGGAUAGUGUAUGUCACGAACAUCACCGCAAGAUAAAGGGAUGCACAAGUAAUUAUUCUUCGCACCGCAACUUGUCCCCAGUAGUAGCAGAACAUGCAAUAUGAAAAGCAAAACACGGAACAUGCUCAUGGAGCUCAGAGACUUAAUCAUCUCUCUAUCGUUUGAUCUAAUGCAAUGAAAGUUUUUGCUAAUUGGUACUGCGAUGGAGACCUAGUUAUAUGAAUGAAAAGCGUCGGGUCGUCGGUCAUACAAAUGUCCAAGUCAACCAAUAAAGGCAAGUCUAGUGAAGAAAAAGUGUGUACCGCGUGGAAAUUGCAACCCUUAAAGUCUAGGUGACAAAACACGGUGUUGGAAUUAUUUAUGCAUGGCUUUCACAUUGAUUAGAAAAGAAACUUCUCUGCAAUUUCCAAAUUGACUCUUCUUAGUACCAUAAAAAAAGAAUCGAUUUGAAUGUUUUAUAUUCUAAAAUAAAUUUAAAAUCCUUUCGAGUGAGGCAUUGGCGUUCUGGUUUCUUUUCAAGGCUAAUAUUCCAUAAAUGUCACUUAUUAAAUUGUGAAGACAAAAAGGAAAUAUAUAUCGUAUUUUAUUGUAUGAGCUUUUUCAUUUUUAACAAAAAACAAAAAUUGGUAACAAAAAUAGCUUAUUGGUGGAAUAUUAACUUGUAUAAUGUCGCUUUUGGCAAAAGUAAAAUGAAAAUAAGGAGUAAGUGCUUCUUGGAUGGUGUAACACGAUAUGAAAGAAAGAAAGCAAUACAAUAAUUGCUUCUUGGAUGGUGUAACACGAUAUGAAAGAAAGAAAGCAAUACAAUAAUUGCUGUCAAGGGACCGACACACCUAGAAAGCAAUACAAUAAUUGCUAUCGAGGGAUUGAUGCACCUAGAAAGCAAUUUGCUAUCAAGGGACCGACACACCUGGAAAGCAAUACAAUAAUUGCUAUCGAGGGACCGACACACCUAGAAAGCAAUACAAUAAUUGCUAUCGAGGGACCAACGCACUAACUUUGUCAUCACGAAAAGACUAGAUGCAAAAUUUGACUUCAAAAAUAUAAAGCGACGUUUAUUUAUUCACUGUCAACUUUAAUAUUUCAAUCACUCUCCCACAAUUGUGCUAGAUCUAUGAACAAUACUAUCAUCUCUUUCCUAUAAUAGAACCACUUAAUGAUUGAACUGAUCAAUUUCAAUAAUACUAUCAUUUUAUCAAAUGAAACGAAUGUUGUUGCCCACUUCAUGAUCAUCUUCCAUAUCUGAAUGUGUGGAAUUGAGGGUGUCAUGUAAGCUCAAAUGAGACUAUCGGUCAAUUUACCAUUCUGAACAUAACAUCAAAGAGUUUCGCAUAGCAAUUCUUCUCAACGAAAUAGAAACGCCUUCAAUAGUUGUAAUUAGCACUUACCAUAUAUUUUCUCAAGCUAAUGCAUGCCCCUAAGUAUAAUUGAAGGGACUGAAAUGAUUUUCCGUAUAAUACAACAAAUUUUAUUUUAACUGACGCAUCCAAUGACGUUUUAACUGCCCAUGUUCAAUUUUUUGUAGUAAUAUUAUUACUGAUUACGUUUUUAUUUUUCUUUUUAUUGCAUAUUACCCUUUCUGGAAAUAGGUUCGUUCUGCGAGCAUCUCCACAGCAAUGAUACUUUAGUUGCUUUCUAUCAUCAUUAAUAAUUCAGCAAUGAUUAGUCAAAAUUUUAAGUAGAAAAUCUCUCGGUGAAAGUAUCCUAUAUUAUCUCUUGCACGUAUACCAAAUGAUUUGGACAUACAUUAUGCAAAUUGAUGUAUCAACUAUCGAUUCUUCAGAGCCAUAGUAAACUAUAGAAAAAUAAUAAUCUACUUCGUAGUGUUGGAUUUUUCCUUUUUGACAAAAAUGAAAUUUGUAACUGAAAAAAUUAAUAACGGCACUGAAGACUAUCGUUGCACAUUACGAGAAAAGAAUAAAGGCCAUACAAUAAUUUCUCAACCAGCAAUAGAUGGACGCGAGCCUUGAUUUGAAAGUCGCUUUGUCAUUGCCCAACACGCACGAAGACUAUAGGUGCAAUAUUUGCAUUCAUUAAAAUAAAGUAAUACGUGCUUUUUCACUAGCGAUUGAAAGUAUUAUUCUUGUAAAUCAAUCACUCACUCUCCUGUAAAAUAACCCCAUCUCUUUCCCGAAAUAAAACCGAAUGAACUGACAGAUCUCAACAAUUACGUCGUUUUAUCGGACAAAAGAUGCUGUUACCUGCUUCAUAAUCAUUUUCCAUCUUCGAAUGUGUGGUAUUGCAAGUGUCAUGUAAGCUCAAAUGGGACUACAACGAAGAGUGCUGCCAUUAUCAUUCUCUGUUGAUAGCUGCUUGAAUCUGCUCAAGACUCCUCCCUUUCGUUUUAGGGACCACCGUGAUCACGAACACCAUCUCUCCGGCGUUAAUUGCCGCAUAAAGAAGGAAGGUACCUGUGAAGCAAGCCGGUAGAGUUAUUUGCUUUCGACAAGUUUUACGGAAGCAUAUUCUGACAUUUUUCUCAUGGGAACAAUGCUGUAAUAUAUACUACCUGUCUAUUAAUCAUUCUGCAGAAAGACCCAAUUCACUUAUUUUCUUUUCUAAAUGACACGUCGACUCAAUUUUCAUGAUAUUCGAAUCUAGGUAGAAGUUGCUGUAAACACAUUGAUUGAAAUAAAUGGACUGAAUAUGCAUUCGAGACCGUGAAGAACAGAGUGACAGACACCUCCAGCUCCAAAUAGGAUUGAAGUUUUCAGGAAAAGCUAAGUCUCAAGUCUGUAGUUUGGUUGAAUUCACGCAACAACUUAUGUUCCAAUGUGACAAAUGUUUAUCGAGCUCCUGCCAGAGCAACAGUUCAAAGAGCGUUUUCAGCAGAGUCGUAACAUAGGAGCUCCAGCUCAUUAAGUAGUUGAAAGUGUAGGAAACUGCCCAAGCGCCGAACCAAUUUACUAGUGUUGCAAACCCUCCAGCUACUCCUUUGAUAUUAAUGGGGAAAAUCUGAACACGAGCAACACAUUACAUGAUUGGCAAAUUUUUUUGAAACACUCGUAACAACACCAGUUAGGAAACGGCCCUUUAAUUUGAUAAGCAUGAAACUUCGGGGGAUGUUUAGGAUUACCUCGGACAUCACAACCCAAGGAACCGCGCCCAUUCCAGCGGAAAAUGCUGCUUUGUAUAGCUGAGCAUUGGAAAAAACAGAACAGAAAAAUUAAUAGUUGGGAGUUGUUGUGGCGGCCAACCGGAUAGAGCCAGAAAGAGAUCAAGGAAGGUGAGAUUAUCACCAAAAUGCCGGUGAUGGCAAGUAUCGGGACAGCAUCAGCUGCCGGAUCAUGAACCUGGUGUUAUAAUUAUGGUUAUAAUUAUGGUUAAUGAAUCAACGAAUGCCAAUAAAUUAAGAUACGUCUUUUCUAUUCACGUAUCUCUUUUGGAUUCAUGAAUUUCUUAAACUUUUCCGUUCACGUAUCUAUUGAAUUCAUGAAUUUCCUAGAUCCAUAUAUCUUUUAGUUCAUGUAUUUAUUGAGUUCAUGAAUCUCUUGAAUUCACGUAUCUCUAGAUUCGUGAAUCUCUUGAAUUCACGUAUCUCUGGAUUCGUGAAUCUCUUGAAUUCUUGUAUCUCUUGAUUCGUGAAUCUCAUAGAUACAUGCGUCUAUUUAAUUCAUGUAUCUAUUCUAUACAUGAACUAAAAUCUCUUUAAAUAGAUGGGAGCAUAGAGCUUCAUUACGGUCUUUCGGUUUUGGUUUUUCUGACUCCAUUCCAAAAAAGCUUUGAUAUACAUUUCAACUCUUCUGUUUUUUCUGAGUGUGCUGGUUCAAUUGAACGGUUCGACUGAGUCCUGUUUGCAUAGUGCUAAUCCAAACAAGUUCGAGGCGUUGUAUCUUGGGAGGCAUAGUUCGUGAAUCUGCGGAGCACCAUCGCCUUAAGGAGAUUCGGAUAUCCGUACCUCACCUCCAAUUUUAUGUUAUAUCUUAUUUUCUUCUUCUCCAAGAGUUGUAAGUUUACAUAAAAAGAAGAAUAUUAUAUAGCUGUUAUCGUCUUCUCAACAUUGAUGUUUUGAUUACAACAAACAGUGUGUAUUCUUUGGAUUAAUUUCCAACAAUCUUAAGGCGAAUAUCUCACUUACUGUUUGUUGUUCUUCUCCAAGAGUUAUUAUUGAGAUGGCUGGAAACAAUCAAGUGCCCUUCAAUGUCCCGAAUGUUUCAAGAGACGUUCCUAUGGUCGAUUCGACCGUUGCUAUGGAAGAUGUUCAACCCUCAAGGUUUGAAUUUGUAGCAGCCAAUGCUACAGGCCCUUGGGCUAACACAAUUUUGGUGGUGAGGGUGCGAAUCAUCUCACUGGUAUACCCGGGACUGUUUUUAAAAAAAGUAUGUGCCAAAUGGCUCUUGGCUCUAUUUCUGGAGGGAUGGUUCAACUAACCUUGCCUACAAUGAUGGCAACGCCUCCAUUUACAGCUAAUGAGAAACCGGACAAAUUUACCGGAGUGGGCUUUAAACAGUGGCAGCAGAAGAUGUUCUUCUAUCUGACCAUGCUCAAUCUGACAAAAUAUUUAUCGAAGGUGUGCCCGAUAAUUAGUCCAAACAAGCAAGAUGUCAUGACGCUCGGUGCAUUGGAGGCUUGGAAGCAUGGGGACUUCUUAUGCCGAAAUUAUAUCCUAAACUGUUUAGUGAAUUCUCUUUAUAAUGUUUAUUGUAAUAUUGAAUCUGCUAAACAGUUAUGGGAGUCCUUAGAGAAAAAAAAUACAAAACUGAGGAUGUUGGCACCAAGAAAUUUGUGGUUGCCAAAUUCUUGGACUACAAGAUGGUGGAUUCUAAAUCUGUCAUGAGUCAGGUUCAAGAAUUGCAAUUAAUUCUGAGUGACAUCUCGGCUGAGGGAAUGAUACUUAGUGAAUCAUUCCAAGUGGCAGCCAUGAUUGAGAAACUACCUCCGGGCUGGUCAGACUUCAAAAAUUAUUUGAAGCACAAACGGAAGGAGAUGAGCCUUGAAGAUCUCAUUCUGCGCCUCAGAAUCGAGAAGGACAAUAGAAGGAGUGCGAACCCUUCUUCUAAGCCAAAGGCCAAUGUUGUGGAAUCUUCCAAAUACAAGCAAGAUAGAAAAAGAAGAUGUAUUUUCAAGGAAAAUGCAAGCAGAAAGAGCAGUUCUAGAAAUUUCAAGGGACGUGUUUUAUAUGCAACAAGCCUAGCCAUCGUGCUAAGGAUUGCAAGAAGCGCCCGAAAAAAGGCAAGAACGAAGGUGCAGCCCAGCAACUGAAUUUGACAGAGCAUGACAAUAUUGAGAGAUUGUCUGCUGUGGUAAUGUCCAAAGCAUCUCUGGUGUCGAACACUAAUGGCUGGUGGCUAGACACGGGUGCCACAAAUCACAUAUGUGCAGAUAAACACGUGUUCUCAUCUUAUGAGAAGGCUGAAGAAUAUGAGAAGCUUUAUAUGGCUAACUCUGCAUCAGCAAAGAUUGCUGGAAGAGGAAAGGUGAUCCUAAAGUUUACAUCUGGCAAGGAGAUCGCCCUGUUGAAUGUGCUGCAUGUACCGGAGAUUCGGAAAAAUCUAAUUUCUGGCACUAUACUUGUCAAGAAGGGAUUCAAAGUUGUCUUUGAAUCUGACAAGUUUGUACUUUCAAAAGGAGGGACGUAUGUGGGGAAAUGGUACUUGUGUAAUGACCUGUUUAAGGCCAAUGUGGCUGUCAUUGAUGUAAACUCAAAGUAUGUGUACCCAAAGACUAUUAAUAAAGAAAAUUCUUCAGUUUACACUGUUGUGUCUCCUUAUCUAUGGCAUGGUAGAUUAGGACAUGUAAACUAUGGUACAAUGAAAAGAAUAGUAAACUUGGGAUUAAUUCCAAGAUUUGAGUUGGAUACCCAUUACAAGUGUGAGACUUGUGUUGAGGCCAAGUUUGCCAAGAAACCUUUCAAAUCCAUUAAAAGAACAAGUGAACCUCUACAAUUAAUCCAUAGUGAUCUAUGUGAUUUAAUGUUUGUAGAAAGUAGAGGUGGAAAGAAGUACUUCAUCACAUUUGUGGAUGACUGUACUAGAUUUUGCUAUGUUUAUUUACUAACUAGCAAAGAUGAGACUAUGAGCAUGUUUGUCAAGUACAAAAAUGAAGUUGAAAACCAACUUGAUAAACGAAUUAAAGCGCUUAGGUUUGAUAGAGGAGGAGAAUACAGUUCAAUCAAUUUCAAAGAGUUUUGUGCUCGUUUUGGAAUAAUUCUCCAACCGACUGCACCUUAUACUCCACAACAAAAUGGAGUUGCUGAACGAUUGAACAGCACACUAAAGAAGAUAGCUAAUGCCAUGCUUUUGAGUUCAGGUUUACCUCAGAACUUGUGGGGGGAGGCAGUUUUAACUGCAAAUCAUAUUCUUAAUAAAAUACCACACAAAAAGACAAGUAAAACUCCAUACGAGUUAUAGAAUGGAAAGUUGCCAUCCUACAAUUUUCUAAAAGUGUGGAGGUGCUUGGCCAAGGUGGCAAUUCCUCCUCCGAAACAAACUAAGUUGGGACCUAAAACAGUGGAUUGCAUAUUCAUCGGUUAUGCUCAAAAUAGUAGUGCAUAUAGAUUUUUGGUUCAUAAAUCUGAAAAUGCAGAAAUUUAUGUCAAUACAAUCCUAGAAUCAAGGGAUGCUGAAUUUUUUUGAGGAUAUAUAUCCUGCAAAAGGAAAUCAAGGAGAACUUUCUCAGAAAAGGCUUAGAGAAUCAGAAUCUGAGAAUGAUGAAGUUGUGACCAAAGAAGCCGAACUUCGAAGGAGUAAAAGGUCUCGAAUCGAAAAAUCUUUUGGACCUGAUUUUCUAACAUACAUGUUAGAAGGUGAGCCCCAAACAUAUAAAGAGGCAAUGUCAUCUCCAGAUGCUCCUUUCUGGAAGGAAGCUAUUGACAAUGAAAUCAAUUCUAUCCUAAGUAACCAUACUUGGGAAUUGGUUGAUCUUCCACCUGGAAAUAAACCAAUUGGGUGUAAAUGGAUUUUCAAGAAAAAAUUAAAAGCUGAUGGUUCCAUUGAUAAGUACAAAGCUCGGUUUGUAGCCAAAGGGUUUAGACAAAAAGAGGGUCUUGACUACUUUCAUACUUAUUCACCUGUCACAAGAAUAACAUCAGUAAGGAUGUUAAUUGCUAUAGCUUCGCUAUACAAUUUGCAGAUACAUCAAAUGGAUGUGAAAACUACAUUCUUAAAUGGUGAUCUCGACGAGGAGAUUUAUAUGGAACAACCUGAAGGGUUCAAGGUCAAAGGACAAGAAUACAAAGUGUGUAUACUUGUCAAAUCAUUGUAUGGACUUAAACAAGCUCUUAAGCAAUGGCAUGAGAAAUUUGACCGGGUAAUGAUUCAAAAUGGGUAUAGAAUCAAUGAGUGUGACAAAUGUGUGUACACUAAAUCCACUACAGUUGGAUAUGUACUUAUUUGUCUAUAUGUUGAUGACUUAUUAAUUCUUGGAGAUAACAUUGAGGUCAUCAAAAUCAUUAAGAACAUUCCCAAGAAGAACUUUGAGAUGAAAGAUUUAGGUGUCGUAGAUGUUAUACUCGACAUCAAAAUUCUAAGGAAUUUUGAUAGCUUAGGUUUAACACAAUCUCAUUACAUUGAAAAGGUAUUUGAGAGAUUUAAAGGAUUCGGCAUUAAAGAUGCAAACAANNNNNNNNNNNNNNNNNNNNNNNNNNNNNNNNNNNNNNNNNNNNNNNNNNNNNNNNNNNNNNNNNNNNNNNNNNNNNNNNNNNNNNNNNNNNNNNNNNNNUCGGCAGCAUCAUGUAUAUCAUGAAUUGCACUAGACCUGAUAUUGCAUACUCAGUAAGCAAAUUGAGUAGAUAUACCAGUAACCCAGGUCACGAGCAUUGGAAUGCUUUGAUGAGAGUAUUAGGAUAUUUGAAAAGGACAAAAGACUAUGUUCUACAAUAUGUCAAAUAUCUAGCUGUUUUGGAAGGUUAUUGUGAUGCCAAUUGGAUUUCAGAUUCUGAUGAAUCGAAAUCAACUAGCGGAUAUGUGUUCACGCUAAGAGGUGCUGCAGUGUCAUAGAAAUCCUCUAAACAAACUCUAAUAACGCGCUCUACAAUGGAAUCAGAGUUUGUUGCUUUGGAUAAAGCUGCUGAAGAAGCAGAAUGGCUUCAACAUUUUUUAGAAGAUGUUCCAAUAUGGCCAAAACCUAUGCCUGCAAUUUGCAUACACUGUGACAAUCAAGUGGCAAUUGCAAGGGUGCAUAAUGUGAUUUAUAACGGUAAGUCUAGACAUAUUCGUUGUAGACAUAAUACCGUAAGGCAGUUGCUCUCAAAUGGAAUCAUCUCUUUAAACUUUGUAAAGUCAAAGGAAAACAUUGCGGAUCCGCUGACAAAAGGUUUGUCAAGAGAGUAGAUAAACUGUGCAUCGAGGGGAAUGGGUUAAGAGCCUUAACCCAAUAAAGAGAUUCCAGGGUGGAAACCUAACCUAUCCGAUUGGAGAUCCCAUGGUCUAGGUUCAAUAGGACAACGCAAAUUUUGGAAACUCUAGUGUAAGCACUGUCUCCCAUUCCUAUGAUGCAACAAUGCUUUCCUACAGCGUUAUUAAGGGUACGCUAUGCGUUUAAUGAUUCCUAUAACUUGGAUAUAAUAUCCAAGUAAAAUAUGGUGGAUAUCUUAAUAGGAAUGCACCUUAUAUGCGUGGAGCUGGCCGACUCCUAUGAAAAUUCUUUUACNNNNNNNNNNNNNNNNNNNNNNNNNNNNNNNNNNNNNNNNNNNNNNNNNNNNNNNNNNNNNNNNNNNNNNNNNNNNNNNNNNNNNNNNNNNNNNNNNNNNNNNNNNNNNNNNNNNNNNNNNNNNNNNNNNNNNNNNNNNNNNNNNNNNNNNNNNNNNNNNNNNNNNNNNNNNNNNNNNNNNNNNNNNNNNNNNNNNNNNNNNNNNNNNNNNNNNNNNNNNNNNNNNNNNNNNNNNNNNNNNNNNNNNNNNNNNNNNNNNNNNNNNNNNNNNNNNNNNNNNNNNNNNNNNNNNNNNNNNNNNNNNNNNNNNNNNNNNNNNNNNNNNNNNNNNNNNNNNNNNNNNNNNNNNNNNNNNNNNNNNNNNNNNNNNNNNNNNNNNNNNNNNNNNNNNNNNNNNNNNNNNNNNNNNNNNNNNNNNNNNNNNNNNNNNNNNNNNNNNNNNNNNNNNNNNNNNNNNNNNNNNNNNNNNNNNNNNNNNNNNNNNNNNNNNNNNNNNNNNNNNNNNNNNNNNNNNNNNNNNNNNNNNNNNNNNNNNNNAACUCGUAUGGAGUUUUAUCUGUCUUUUUGUGAGGUAUUUCAUUAAGAAUAUAAUUUGUAGUUAAAACUGCCCCCCCACAAGUUCUAAGGUAAACUUGAACUCAAAAGCAUGGCGUUAGCCAUCUCCUUUAGUGUCAUGUUCAAUCGUUCGGCAACUCCAUUUUGUUGUGGAGUAUAAGGUGCAGUCAUUUGGAGAAUUAUUCCAAAGCUAGCACAAAACUCCUUGAAAUUGAUUGAACUAUAUUCUCCUCCUCUAUUUUGAGGUGUAGAAUGAGAUCUUCAUGGCUCAUCUCCUUCCGUUUGUGCUUCAAAUAAUUUUGAAGUCUGACCAGCCCGGAGGCAAUUUCUCAAUCAUAGCCACCACUUGGAAUGAUUCACUAAGUAUCAUUCCCUCAGCAGAGAUGUCGCUCAUAAUUAAUUGUAAUUCUUGGACCUGACACCAUCUUGUAGUCCAAGAAUUUGGCAACCACAAAUUUCUUGGUGCCAGCGUCCUUAGUCUUGUAUUUCUUCUCUAAGGACUCCCAUAACUGUUUAGCAUAUUCAAUAUUACAAUAAAUGUUAUAUAGAGAAUUCACUAAAUAGUUAAGAAUAUAAUUUUAGCAUAAGAAGUCUCCAUGCUUCCAAGCCUCCAAUGCACCGAGCGUCGUGACAUCUUGCUCAUUUGGACUGAUUAUCGGGCACACCUCCGAUAAAUAUUUUGUCAAAUUGAGCAUGGUCAGAUAGAAUAACAUCUUCUGUGCCACUGUUUAAAGUCCACUCCAGUAAAUUUCUCCGGUUUCUCAUUAGUUGUAACUGGAGGUGUUGCCAUCAUGGUAGGCAAGGUUCGUUGAACCAUCCCUCCGGAAACAGAGCCAAAAGCUGUUUGGCCUAUACCGUUCUGAAAAAUAGUCUGAAGCAUACCAGUCGUAUGACUUGUACCCACACCACCAAAAUUGGUGUUAGCCCAAGGGCCCGUAGCAUUGGCUACUACAAAUUCAGACCCUGAGGGUUGAACAUCUUCCAUAGCAACAGUCGAAUCGACCAUAGGAACGUCUCCUGAAAUAUUUGAGACAUUGAAUGGCACUUGAUUGUUUUCAGCCAUCUCAAUAAUCUGACAAGAACAACAAACAAUGAGUGAAUAAUUGCCUUAAGAUUGUUGGAAAAUAAUCCAAAAGAAAACACAAACUGUUUGUUGUAAUCAGAACAUCAAUGUAAAGAAGACGAUAAUAGCUAUAUAUAUUCUUCUUUUUAUGUAAACUUACAACUCUGGAGAGAAGAAAUAGAUAUCAUUGAAAAAUAACAUAAAAUUGGAGGUGAGGUACGGAUAUCCGAAUCUCCUUAAGGCGAUUAGUUCCUGCCAAUGGUGCUCCGCAGAUUCACGAACUAUGCCUCCCAAGAUACAACACCUCGAACCUGUUUGGAUUAGCACUAUACAAACAGAACUUAGUCGAAUCGUUCAAUUGAACCACCAUACUCAGAAAAAACGGAAGAGUUGAAACGUAUAUCAAAGUUUUUUUGGAAUGGAGUCAGAAAAACCAAAACCAAAAGACUGUAAUGAAGCUCUAUGCUCCCAUCUAUUUAAAGAGAUUUUAGUUCAUGUACAGAAGAGAUACAUGAAUUAAAUAGAUGCAUGUAUCUAUGAAAUUCAUGAAUCAAGAGAUACAUAAAUUCAAGAGAUUCACGAAUCCAGAGAUAUGUGAAUUCAAGAAAUUCGUGAACUCAAUAGAUACAUGAACUAAAAGAUAUAUGAAUCUAGGAAAUUCAUGAAUUCAAUAGAUACGUGAACGAAAAGUUUAAGAAAUUCAUGAAUCCAAAAGAGAUACGUGAAUGGAAAAAAUGUAUCUUAAUUUAUUCGCAUUCGUUGAUCCAUUAAUCAUAAUUAUAACCAUAAUUAUAACACCUGGCUCGGAAGAUUCUCAAAAAAUUACUGGUUGACAAGCAUUGCAAAGCAGAAGGAGGAUACUAGGACUGAUAGUAUUUACCUUUAGAAAGAAUGAAAGGGCAGUUAUUGUGCAUCCCAAAACCAAUCCCGUCCUCGGGAUCUGCGAUUGAGAGAGAGAGAGAGAGAGAGAGAGAGAGAAGGUUAUGGUUCAAGUUGCCGAACUCGCGAAGGGGCAGAACUAGAAAAGCUCUGUUACUAUAGACAUGAUUUCUUAGCGACUUUCGUCUAUUUUACCAAGAGAAGGGGCUUUCUUCCAACUCUAUCAACCAGUGUGGUGCCAAUAGCCGUGACAAUAACCUACAAAAAUUUAUUCUUUAAGCGUGACGUGUAUAAAACUAGAUCCCCGGCAAAGAGGAAAGGGCGAGAAUUACAGACCUAGAGGAUUGCAUAAAUUAUGGUUCCAACGCUAGAGGAGAAACCUGAGGAGAUUGUACAAAUGAGAUUAUAGAGACUAAUACCUUACUUAUGAGAUUCAACACUAAAUUAUGUGAAUAGCUCAUUAAGUGAUAACUAACCCAUUUGAAUAUUAACUGGAUUUUAUAAAUUGGAACCCUUGCUAUGCUUUUUAUUUGGUUAUCCGUUCUGGAAUCAUAAAAUGCAAUGCAUAAUUUCAUUUUUGUGGUGCCCAAGAGCUUCUUGCUAUGAACUUCAUACCUCCUUCUUCGAAAAUAUUGCUUGUCUAGAAACAGACGCCGUUUAUCCCUCCAAACUGCUGCACGACCAUCAAUCCAACACCAAUCUGGCCAAAAUUUAACAAAUUUGUUAGCAAAAAGAACAACAAUGGGAAAUAUCACCAAAAGUACAUCUACUGCAUAUUCCUGAUCCACAGGGCAUUCCAAGAAAGCAACGAAGGAGGGACUUUAUUGGAUACGUAGCAGUAAAUACAGAGAGAAGAUUACAAUUACAUAUAGAUAUUAGGAACAUUUGCAUUACUAGUAUUAAAAAUUUUAAAAAUAAUUUUUUAAAUUAAGAUUAGAAAAAAAAAUAACAAAAAGUAAAAACGCAGCCGGGCCGGGCUAGCGGCCAGCCCUAGCCCGGCCCCUCCUUUUCCCUUUCUUUUUUCCCCCCGUGGCCCAGCCCGCUUCUGUUCCUUCUAUUUCCACCGCGUGGCCCACCUUUCUUCUUCUGCGGCCCAGCUCGCUCUUCUUCCUCCUUCCUCCUCCUUCCCUCGCUUGGACGUUAGCUUCAAAACAAAACAGAGAGUGGGUCGCUGGCCGAAGGACGAGAGGAUGCGAGGCUGCGCCCAACGUUUGCCUAGGAAUAUCAUGCGGUACGAAGCCAGCUGGUCUCGUCCUUGAAGAAAGGGAGAGAAACGAGAUAAAUGGAGAGAAAGGCAACAAAGGGAAGGGGGGUCUCUCUGGUUUUCUUGGGUUUGUUCGGCCAAGGAAGAGCAACUGAGAGAGAGAGAGAGAGAGAGAGAGAGAGAGAGAAGGAGCGAGCCAAAUAAGAGAGGAAAGAUAGGUGACUGUGUUCUCGAGUUCUUCCGGGGAGGCUGGAGACAGCGAGAGCAAUAGAGAGAGUGAGAUCCGAGAGAGGGACCAAAGGGUGAAGCGGAGAGAGAACCGAGAGUGAGCGGAGGGAUGGACUGAGAGAAAGCGAGACCCAGAAGCCAAACUUCGUCCUCGGACAAGCGUUACCCGACCAUCCCCAACAUAAACCGGCGAUCUCCAGCCAACACCCUCGAGCCCGCGGCCACCUCUUCCUCGCCGCCCGAAUUCCUGAUGAGUUUUCUUUGGUUUCGAUCCACUUUUAUCCCGAUCAUCUUGGUUCGGUGCAACAUCGAGGCGGUCGACCAUAGCUCGUUUCGCUUCAGGCUCAGCUCCUGGCCGUCGUCGCCGAGCCGAGUAGGGAUAUUCGCGGUCGAACACUUCUCUCUGGGAACACUCGAGUCACUCAAAUACUAUCUUGGUCUUUCCCAAGCCCCAAUUACACCCACUAAACCAAUCUUUCUUGGAUGUAAUUCAUGACAAAGAAAAUCCCUCCCAAGCACUCGACAAUAAGAUGGCGCUUCAAGACCAAUUCUUCAUGAUCAACGGCGGAACACCAAGCACUCACGCGGCGCUGACGUGCGGCUACAUUGAUCGUCGAACGUAUAUCUUCAUAUGUACAGUUUUCUUUUCUUUUAAACCGACUCCACACGCACGCCAAAGAAGGAAAUCGUGUGCCCAUGGUCAAAUAGUUGACCUGGGCCCACCAGCUCCUUAAUUCGGCUCACUUCACGUGCAGAGGACUCCUUGACGCAAAAAAUAAAUUCUUCUUCGUGUGUGUUGACUUUUGGGCUCCACCUGGUAAAAAGAAUUCGGCUACUCCUCUGCGACUGAUCUUUUCCAGCGAAUCGCAUUUUGUAAACACUCAAACUCGAGACAUAAUUUAACAAUUCUUCACCUUGGCUCGACAUUUGAGCUAAGUCGCAAUCACUUCACAAAAUUUCAAACUCUGCUGCUACUCUUCCAUAUCCCCCAAUUGGCUCAACCGCCACAGAUAUUAUCCAAGUCCAAGUCUCGCUUGAACUUCGCCAUAACCGAGGACCUCAUCAGAAUACCAACUCCACAUGCACCUUUAACCGCCCCGCAAGGAUUUUUCGACACAACCUCCUUAAUCACAGAUAAAACAAAACUAUUACUGCAUCUAUAUCUAUCAGGAGAUCGAAUACAUACCUUGUCAAUAUCAGUAGUUACAGCAACCGUUGGCUCUAUAGGCUCCACCUCACUAUGAGCAUCAUCUGUGUCGAUUACUUUGCUAGUACUCAUACUUGCUACCUCAGGAGUUUCUGGUCGCAACUCCACCUCAAGCUGAACACUGUCCAGAUCCGUAUUAACAUUACCACAAACACUCCUAGCCAGAAGUAUCGGAGACUUGUCAAGGAUAACUUCUCUGCUGUCAAUAUGUGAAUUUAUAUUCGGGCACCACAACUAAUCGCCCUACUCACCUUGUGCAUAGCCAUGGAAUAUGCACCUUGCCCUCCAAUCGAGCUUACCAUCACUCACUCGAAAAUAACGCAGGCAACCAAACAUUCUAAUAAUAGAAUAACCAGCAACGUUACCUAACCAUACUUCUUCAAGAGUCCGAUAUCCAAUCGCAGUCAAUGGGGAUCUAUUCACCAGGCAGCUUACCGUACUUAGCACAUCAACUAGGAUUCUCCUAGCAAUACCAGCACUAGAGAUAAUUUUUUGGGCCGUCUCUAUUAAUGUUCUGCUUAUCAAUUCUGUAAAUUGUUGUGAUUUACCCGCACUAGUGUGAUGUUUCACUAUGCCCUCUUUUAUGCAGAAUUUAUUUACCAGUUUUAAGCAAAACUCCAUGUUAUUGUCAGUCCGCACAUGCUUGAUCGACUUACCAGUCUCCGUCUCGAUCAAAGCUCUUGACUACGAGAUCCUGACACCAGUAUCAAACUUGUGCCUUGGCACAAACACCCAGGUUUUCCUCGAGUAGUCAAAAGACUCUCGAAUAGAUGCAUCUGACGUCUCCGCAGCGAAAUUUGUCACUGUCUCACCUUGAAAUGUAUACAGGUCUCCGUGCUUCAUUCCUUUCAUUGUCACCAAGGCACCUCGAACAACCUUCAGAACUCCACCUUUUGAAGAAUACCUGCAACCAGCUGAAUCUAGGGCACCAGAGGAAAUUAAGUUCUUUUUCAAUUCUGGAACAUGCCUCACUCUAGUCAAUGUCCUUACGAUACCAUCAUGCAUUCUGAUUUUAACAUCACCAACACCCACAACAUCGCACUCAGCGUUGUUCCUUAACUGGAUUUUACCACUACCCGUGCACUGAUAAGUGAUAAACUAGUUUCUAUUUGGUGUGACAUGAAAAGAACAACCAAAAUCCAUAACUCAUCCAUCAAGUGAUGAAUCAUUAGUGACAGACAUCGGCAUUAUCUGCUACAGUUGCAACAUUAUCUACGGAAUCAACUAUAAUUCCCUUACCCUUCUCAUUCUUCAACUUAAGGCAAUCCCUUCUAAGAUGCCCCCUCUUGCCACAGCUCCAAUAGACAACAUUAGUAGUCCUAGACUGACUACGUCUGUUUAUAUUAGUACUACCAUUACCCACACGCGUUCUAGAUCUUCCUCUAUUUUCACCUACUAAAGCAAUGGAUAUAGGUUCGCCAGAUUCUUUUCUACGAAUGUCCUCGCUCAAAAUCAAAUCUCGAACCCCAUCAAAUGUCAAACUUGUUGACCUAGAAGAAUUACUAACGGUAGUAACAGUAGUAUUCCAACUAUCAGGCAAUGAGGAUAGCAGAAUCAAAGCACGUACCUCAUCUUCAAAGUCAAUCUCAACUAAACUCAAUUGACUAACAACACAUUGAAUUCAUUGAUAUGAUCUGCAACUGACGCACCUUCUCUCAUCUUCAAAUUAAACAGACGUCGCAUCAAACAGACCCUGUUGAUCGUAGAGGGCUUCUCAUACAUAUCCGACAAUGCUUGCAUCAAAUCAGCAAUGGUCUUCUCCUUCAAGAUGUUAAACACGACGUUACGAGCCAACGUUAACUGAAUAACACCCAUAGCUCGUCUAUCCAGCAAAUCCCAAUCAGCUUGCUUCAUCAUCUCUGGUUUCUCCCCAGAUAAAGGCAAGUGCAGAUUCAUCUCAUAAAGAUAAUCUUCAAUCUGCAUCUUCUAGAAACUAAAAUCCUUCCCAUCAAAUCUGUUGAUUCUCACUUUUACUUCUUCUAUCGCCAUCGAUUCGUUUCAACUUAGCCAAGCCUGGCUCUGAUAUCACUUGUUGCAAUAGGACGAGCGAUCGAACAAAAUAUAGACGGAAGAAGAAAAAUAAAUCAGACACUAGAUUUACGUGGUUCAGUCGUAAAGACCUACGUCCACGAGGAGAGCAGCAGUGAAUUUCACUAUAGAUUAAGCGAUAUAAGGAGAUUACACACUUGAGUCACUCAAACACUCUCUCGGUGUUUCCCAAGCCCCAAUUACACCCAAUACACCAAUCUUUCUUGGAUGUAAUUCAUGACAAAGAAAAUCCCUCCCAAGCACUCGACAAUGAGACGGCACUUCAAGACCAAUUCUUCACGAUCAACGGCGGAACACCAACCACUCACACGGCGCUGACGUGCGGCUAUGUUAAUCAUUGAAUGUAUAUCUUCAUACGUAGGGUUUUCUUUUCUUUUAAACCGACUUCACGUGCAUGCCAAAGAAGGAAAUCGUGUGCCCAUGAUCAAAUAGUUGACCUGGGCCCACCUGCUCCUGAAUUCGGCUCACUUCACGUGCAGAGGACUCCUUGACGCAGAAAAGGAAUUCUUCUUCGUGUGUGUUGACUUUUGGGCCCCACCUGGUAAAAAGAAUUCGGCUACUCCUCUGCGACGGAAAUAAAACUUUGCUACCCCAGUGAAUCGCAUUUUGUAAACACUCAAACUCGAGACAAAAUUUAACAAAAAGUAUGGCCCAGCUAAAACACGGUCUCGGAAUUAGUGAUGGAUAGCUUUCACAUUCAUUACGGAGGAAACCUCUCUGCAUUUUCCAAUUUUGAUUUUUCUUGGCAAAAUAAUUCUCUCUUUAUUUUAGUAUCGUAAAAAAGAAUCGGUUUCAAUGUUUUGUACCCUAAACUCAAUCAAAAUCCUUUCAAAAAUGGCAUCCGGCGUUCUAUUUUAUUUUCAAGGCCAAUAUUUCAUAAGUGUUGUUUCGUUAAAUUUUGAAGACGAAAAGAAAAAGGAUGAUGUAUUUCAUCGUAUAAGGUUUUUCAUAUUUGAGAAAAAAAAAUUGGUAACCAAGAAAGAGGAUCAUGUUAAUUAAUGGGUACAUAGAUUUUAACUCAUAUAAUGUGGCUUUCCGCAAAUAUAGAAAGAAAAUAAGGAGCGGGCGCUUCUUGCUCAUGGAUGUUGUGAAACUUUAUGAAAGAAAGAAAGCAAUAUAGUAAAUUCUCAACUAGCAAUGGGACCGAUGCAUCUCGAUUAGAAACUCACUUGCAUCAUCGUGGAUCGACACACACAAGGACUAUAGACGCGACAUUUGAAAUCACAAAAAUAAUGCGAUGUUUAGUUAUUCACUAUGCUUAAAUUUUAAAAUCACUCUUUUGUAAUUGUGCUAUAAUUAUGAAUAUGACUGCCGUCUCUUUUCCAUAAUUGAACCACUUAAUGAAUGAACAAACUGAUCUCAACGAAAAAGGCAAUACGAUAAUUUCUCAACCAACGAUCAAUCGAUGCAGGUCUCAAUUAGAAAUUCACUUGCUUCGUCAUUCUCGACACACGCAGAGACUAUAGGUGUAAUAUUCGCAUGCACAAAAAUCAACUAAUACGUACUUAUCCACUGUCAAUUGAAAUAUCAUUCUUGUGGAUCAGUCAAUCACUCGCCUAUAAAAUAAUUUCAUAUUUUUCUCGCAAUAAAUUGAACCGACCUAUUACAAUAUCCAAUUGAAACGUGCCCCAUCACUCAGUAAGUAAAUUUUUAUACAAUCCCUCAGUAGAGCUAACAUUUAAAAAAACGAUGAGGAUGAAGAAAGAAACAAAGAAAGAACUGGGAAAGUCAGCUUCCAGGAAUCAUGCUGUCUGCACCUCUCCCUUUGGUAUUCGAAACCUAAUUAGCAAAACUCGAUACUUGUUGGUGGCGAGAGUUUAUAAUAGGAGAUAGUGAAUCCCUCAACUGUCAUGUUGUGGAGGUCCUUAUACGGUGAGCUAGCAUGAUUAUACCGAUCAUUUUCCUACCCUGGGAUAUCCUGCGAUAUUAAAGCCUUUAUGGUUUUGGUGUAAGUAUCCUUGAUGUCCCCUGCUCGGAGAUCAAACCCAUGUACAGCAUAUGAGUACACCUUCAUUUGGGAAAAAAUAGGAGGCAUAUCGGAAGGAUUUGCUCCCUCGAUACAUGGUUCAGUAUUGACUUACGAAGUAGAAGCAAGGGGCUGUGAGCACUUCAACGAGUUAUAUCAGCAAAACGAAAUAAGAGAUUUCGAGUUUUUUCUUGAUCAGGCGACACCCGGAUUUGAACUAGGGAAAAAGGAUUUGCAGUCCCCCGCCUUACCGCUUAAUUCUCUAUGUCUUUUAGUGGAUAAAACCUUUUCGGGAACAAACAACAAAUCAUAAUCAUUUUUGGAUCUAUUUUCAGCCAUUUUUUUAUGUCUUGCCGGUGGUUCAGACUCACUUACUUUUUGUUUGGAUUUGGUUCCGAUUCAACAGAUAGAGACUACCUCAUAGUUGAGCGAGGUUGCUUGCUAGGAGACUGCGACAUAGACAGGUUGAUUGAUAGCUGACUGUCGCCUAUUCAGAUUGAUAGCAGCGCUGGGCGGGUGUCAGAUGAAAGUAGCCAUUUCUCGACGUAAGCUCCUUGAUUACUCUUGAAGAAGGGUAGACUGAAGUUCCUUAUCAAAAAGUGACUCUUUGUAGGUAGGGGAGAAAGAUUGCUUUAUCAUCCGUUAACGUUAACAGUUGUUCGAGGAAACCUAGAUGCUGUUGGAGUAAAGGAUCGUCAACAAGGGCGUUCUAAGUUCCGAAUUAGUGGAUGCUGCCAAAGGGAGUGGCGAUGCCAUACGCAAAAAGGAAGAGACUCAUAGAAUGGCAGAGGCAAAUAGAGCUUUUGCGCAGAGACAAAGAUCGUAGUUCUCGAACGAGCAAUCGAAAAGAUUCUGGAUCUCUUGCUCAGUGCUCAAAGCCUCGUCUCGAGUGUUAGCUUCAGAAGGACCAAGCUGAUCUUGGUCCUCGUCUGCAUGAGCAAUAGGAAAGAAAGACAAGUAGGGAAGUCUUAGGCGUUCGUGCUCCUUCCCGACUGCGACUGCUACUGUGCGACUACUGAGAGAUUCGAGAGAUCGGAGCGCUUUCCUGUACCCGUAUUAGCAUACCCUGAUCUUUUUCUCUAUAUCUAGGAGAGGCCCCUAUAACAUCAAAACUGCCCGAAAUGCCUAACCCCUGUUUCCACAUCAUGUCGAAUUGCCGAAUCGGAAAAAUUGGGUGCUAUCAUAUAGCUUUGUAUCGGCUAAGUUCAUGAGUUGGAGAUAAGCGGACUCGAAUCACUGACAUCUGCCACAAUGUCUAAGUCAACCAAUAAAGCAAAGUCUAGUGAAGAAAAAGUGGAUAACGCGUGGAAAUUGCAGUCCUUGUGGUCAAGGUGUCAAAACACGGUGGUGGAAUUAACACAAGUCCUCGUCGUCACGCAACCACUAUAGAUGCAAAUUUCCAAGUCCACCAUCAACACAAAGUCUAGCGAAGAAAAAUUGGGUCUCAUGUGGAAAUUGCAGCCCUUGCGGUCUAGGCGACAAAAACACGAUGUUGGAAUUAUUUAUGGCGUGGCUUUCACGUUGAUUAGAAAAGAAACUUCUCUGCAGUUUUCAGUUUUAACUUUUCUUUGCGAAUUGACUCUUUGGAAUCAAUUUUAGUUCAGUAAAAAAAGAAUCGAUUGGAAUGUGUUAUGUACUCUAAAUUGAAUCAAAAUCCUUUCAAGUGAGGCAUUGGCAUUCAAUUUUAUUUUCAAGGCCAAUAUUCCACGAGUGUCGGUUUGAUAAAUUGUGAAGACGAAUUGGAAAAAAAAUGUCGUAUUUCACCAUAUAAGCUUUUUCAUUAUUGACAAAAAAAAAACAGAAUUGGUAACAAAGAUAGACUAUUAAAGGGAAUAUUAGCUUGUAUAACAAAAAGGGAAAAUUUCAAUUAAGGGCUUGAAGUGGAACCAUUUUCUCAUAAAAGGGCCUAAAGUGGACAUUGUAUCAAAUAAGGGCCCAAAGUGACUGAUUAAGUCUCGAAUAAGGGUUUCAACUUGAAAGCCAGUCAAAUCUUAUUUGCAGUAGGGUAUUUUCGUCUAAAGACUUUUUUUCUUCCUUUUGUUUUUUUUCUUUCUUUUUCAUCUGCUCACCUCCUCUGACAAAUGCAUCAGACUCCUCACGCACAAGCUUGCACAGGUGCAAAACAAUUGAACAAUUAGGAAAGGAAGAAAACAAAAAGAUAUUCGAGAAGUUAUGCAGUUUUACAAAACUGCAAAUUGCAUACUUCAGUUCUGCUGCCUCCCCAUCAGCAAACUUCAAAGUGCAUGCUCUACAUUAUGCAAUUUUGUAUCCUCACCCAAGAACUCAUCGAUUCCGGCAUAAGCCGGUUUUUAAGUUAUUCACCACCACUCACCUUCUCCGAUGAUGAUAAUGAACUUGAGAAUCAAGAAAUAUCCAUCAGUGAGUUUUGUUUUUAUUCAAUUUGCUUGUAAAAACUUAUUAUGGCAAUUAAAGUAACAAAUUCAUGCUCUCCCUGCCAAUGAAAUUGCCUAUGCCACGAUAACUUUCACUCGUAGCUUCUUGGGAAUGUUUUAUUGAUCCGGGUUGGAUUAUUCAUAACAUUCAUAGACGCAAAUUGCAUUGAGGUGGAAUAUGUGACUUCUUGAGAGGGUCCAAUUGUGUCGUGCAUGCUGGUUAUUUUCAAAGGCUGCUGAAUCAUUAUGACCCGUGAUUGAAGAUACUCGCAUUUGGUGGCGAUUCGAAUUAGACAGCACUUAAUCUAAAAAACGAAUGACUCUGGUCUACACAUGUUCAAACAAAUUUGCCUCUCUAACUCCGAAAUAUUAUCUACACAAAUUUGAGAGAGAAUAACAAGAUGGAAAAAAGUGCAAAAUCGCUUAGAAAUUCCCAAAACCACGUAUUUCAUUGAACAAAUCAAUGCACAUGAGUAUCAUAGAGAAUCCUCAAAAACCUCUAAUAAAUUUGGCUUAGGCACUUCAAUCUAGCUUCUCCUCGCUAAGAUCGAACAUAGCCUGCGUGAGCACCGAUUUAAAUUCAAGUAUCAAUGACAACGAGGGCAGCAAGCUAAUGGCUUACACCUCAUCAUGCUUCGUGCUUGACCACAACCACAAGAUGUGGGGAUCGAAUCAAGCCGAGUGUCACAUCUUAGUCCACUCGUGCUCAAUCUAGGGCUUGGAUUGACCUUCAUCUUUCAACAAAGGUACUGGAAUUGCUGUUGAGGGCAAUGACAAAUGAGGUUGAGGGUGUUGAUAGCUAAUUCGGCAAGGAAGAUAAAGAUGGACUUUGGAGAACGCGAUCUAAAGAGUGAAAAAGGCGAAGGCAUGAUGAUGAUGAAUAAAAGAAAGAGAAGGAGAAAAUAAAUUUUAAAAAAAAAAGAAGGAAAAAGUAUUUAGACAAAAAUACCCCUAGAUGCAAAUAAGAUUUGGUUGACUUUUCAGUUGAGGCCCUUAUUUGAAACUAAGUUGGUCACUUCAGGUUCUUAUUUGAGACAAUGUCCAUUUUGGGUCCUUUUUUGAGAAAAUGAUUCCACUUUAGGCCCUUAAUUGAAAUUUUCCCUAACAAAAAUAAAAGUAAAAACAGGAGUUAGUGCUUCUUCGAUGGUGUAACAAAUUAUGAAAGAAAAAUAGCAAUUCGAUAAUUUCUAGCAAAGGGACCGACGCGCAUUGACUAGAACCUUGCUAACUUCGUCAUUGCGCAACGACUAUACAUGCAAUAUUCAAGUUCACAAAAAAAAUAAAAAUAAAAAGCAAUGUUUACUUAUUCAUUAUCAACUUCAAUAUUACAAUCACUCUCCCUUAAUUGUGUAAGAUCUAUGAACAAUAUUGUCAUCUCUCUGGAACUCCCUUGCUUGGUUUUAUUUGAAACGGUACCGAAAUGAUAGCUGGGUGUCGUUUUCCCUGGUCCACGACCAUGCCAGUUUGAACGAGCCGUCCUUUUGUCGAGUUUGAGCGUCACUUGCUGUUCUUUUUUGAGUCUAGACACGAGUUAGAGUCUAGAAUGGAGGACCAUUCUCAUCUGGAAUUUCACGACCACUAAAGAGAUUGAGUUAGUUAACUUUUUUUCCAUUUUCUACAUUUUUAGCAUCAUUUUUUAUGCUGCUUUAUUUUGAUAAUAAUAAAACUUAAAAUUUAUACUUCUCUAUUUGCGAUCUCUAAAUGAAACGCAUUCCUUAUGAACAUCGGUGUCUCGAGGAAUGUUUGCUUAGCAGGAAAACUCAUAUGUAGGGGACAACAGUGAGGAAUAUGAUGCUUGUUCUGAAGAAUGCAAGGCACCAUCUCAUGUCUUUAUCAUCGAGUGAACGCACAAGUUCUUACUGCAUUUAGGGAUUGAGCUUUCGUAAUACAUAAUAUGCUCUAACAUAACAUCACAUGUUCAAUUUCCAUUCAUCAUAAAGGCAAAACUGUCAGCCUACUCUGUCUUUACUCUUUGACAUGUGCCCGUCACUCAUCGGUUAGGCUUGGACCCAUCCCAUGACAUGAGGACCAAGUCGAAGAUAGCUUGAGCAGGUAGUUGUCUUCGACGUGGGUGAUCAAACAGAGGUCAAAGUGUGGGGAUUAGAGAUUUUGAUGGAAAUGAGAGAGAUUCAUUGCUCAAAAUGCAAACAUUGACACGGAGAAAAAAUUACCUUGUUAUACCAAGACGAUUCGCAUGAAACAAAAAUUGAAUAAAUGCCAUACAACAUUCAUUGUCAUUUAUAAAAUAUGGACAUAACGAGUCUACCAAAAAACACUAGUGCCAUAUGAAAAACAUGUAAAAGCUUCACAGAUUACAUUUUAAAUGAUGAUAGAUGUUCAUAGUAAUAUUUCUAACUUUUGCAUCUCAUUAUAAGGAAACCAUCACACAAUACAUAAUUUCAUAAACUCAUGGUCAUGGUAAAAUUGGGAACCGCUAGAAACUAUCGGAGUACUUGACGAAGAUGAGAUUGUUUCUAUCUCAGCGUCAACAUCAUCAACAUGUGCCUCUCUCGGAUACAAAAGUGGUUUUGGAGGCAGUUGCAGUUUAUCCAUAUCUCCUUCAAGCAUAUCUAGGACUUUCCUCAUUGAUGGCCGUUCAUUAGGGCUCAAUUGUAUACACCACAGUGCAACGAUUAUCAUCUUCCUCGUUGUUUCUCUUUCCUCUUCUAUGACAUCUACCCUUUCAAGUUCCUUUUCUUUGGCGAGUUGAUCAUAAACCCACAAAGGAAAGUAAAUUUGACUUGAACGCUCUGCCUGUGCAUUUAUAUUUCUCCUUCUACCAGCCAUUUCCAUUAAUAACAUCCCAAAACUAUAAACAUCGACUUUGUAAGAAAUGCCACCAAUGUCUUUAUAGAAUAGCUCAUGAGCCAUAUAACCCAAGGUUCCUCUUGCUGCAGUCAGCGAUACUAUACUAUGAUCGGUGGGAUAAAGUCUUGCAAGUCCAAAGUCAGAAACUUUUGGAGUGAAACUUUGGUCUAGGAGAAUGUUGUGAGGCUUGAUGUCAAAAUGUAGAAUUUUCAUAUCACAUCCCCGAUGUAGAUAUUCUAUCCCUCUAGCUAUGCCAAGAGAGAUCUCAUACAUUUUCUUAUAAUCAAGAGGAUCAUCACCGCCCUUAUAGGAAAUGUGUUUAUCCAAAGAUCCAUUCGGCAUGAAAUCAUAGACAAUAGCUUGUUUGGAGUAAUCGAAGCAAAAACCAACAAGUUGCACUACAUUAACAUGGUGGAUCCUUCCAAUUGUGGCCACUUCACUUAUAAAAUCUUGGCCAUUAGAUUGUGAUUUGUUCAAAAUCUUAACCGCAACUUCAUUGCCACUUCUAAGUAUUCCUCUAUAUAUAGAACCAUAUCCCCCCUCACCUAACUUGCAUUUGAAAUUUAUUGUGAUCCUCUUGAUAUCCGAGUAAGAGUACCUUAUGGGCAAAAAGUUAUUGUGAGCUCGUAGGAAUUCUUCGAUGUGUGUAUCAGUCGCUUGAUGCCUUCUCAUCCACUUCAAGAUUAGAAAUAUCAACACACACAGAGCUCCGACUAAGAAUUUUGCUGCUAGGAAGUGGACUGCGGAGAGAUUUGGCCAUCGAUUAGCAUAGUGUGAUAAUUUUUUGUAUACAUACAAUUUUUGUUUGUCAAAGUGCUGAAUGAGAGCUUCAUAGGUGUGAAGAGAAAAGGACUUAUCGUACCCAAGACAAAGAACAGAUUCCAUACGGCAAUUUGACCAAAAUUGUUCAUGAUAUACCGCGUAGAAUCAUCUGUAGAUAGUAAGAGAAUUCGUGAGAGAUUACUAGAUAUGGUUAAUUGGAAUUAACGACCAAUCAAUAAAGAACUAGAUCCAUUGUUUUAGCAGUUAAAUAAUAAAAGCAAUUCACGUUAAGAUAUACCCCAAGUGAAGGAUAACUUCUUACAGUCACUGCAAAGUGGAAAGACACUUUUUUUAAUUGAAAUUUGCAAGUGGAGAAGUCUAGAAUAAAAAAAGAGUGAACGAGUUUCACUUUUCUAGAUAACGCUUAGAUCCACCUUUAUUCUAUUCACUCAUGAAAUCCAUGUUCAUUGCAUGAUCUUUUCUUUUGAAGAAACACGUUUUUGCUUUUAUUCUCCUAAAUGUACCAAAUGUUCAUAGUUCCCCAUAACAAUAACAUCGAUUCAAGGGACACAAGCUACAAUCAAAUCAAACAAUUUUCCCCAAAAAAAGGCCUAGUUCCCUAAAAAAACCCUCAAGUUCUAGUCCAAUUUUGGCCUAAACCUUUUUUGUCUCAGAAGAAACCCCAAAAUUUAGGUACAAUCCCAGAUUUGUCUCGAAUUUUGUUUUGUUUAAAAAAAUCACCAACUUUUAAUAUAUUCCAAAAUUUACCCCAUGGUCCGGUCACAAUUUGACAUGACAUUUCCACAUCGAUAACAACUCCACUUCAGUAAGGUGACAUGGAAGAUUAUUUCCAAAAUGAAACCGUUCUAAGAUAUGAAAAUUAGGGACGACUAACGGCAAUUUUUGGUUAGAGGGCUAAUGGGGUAGAUUUGCAAUUAGAGUAAAAAUUGGUGUUUUUUCUUUUAGACCAAAAAAAAAAGUUAGAGAUAGAUUUAGGAUUUGGCCUAAAGUUUGAGGUUUUUUCGAGAUAAAGAAAAGUUCGAGGCAAAUUUGGAUUGGACCUAAAGUUUAGGGUUUUUUUUAAACAAAAAAAGUUUGGAGCAGAAUUGGGACUAAACUUAAAGUAGUGGUUUUUUUUUAGUGAAUAAGGCCCAAAAAUAUAAAUAAAGAAAGAGUAUAAAGUCCAAAAAAGCUCAACAGAUGUAAAAUAAAAGAGCAAUGCCCGCCAAAUCUACUAAAAAAUCUUGCUGAACUUUUCACUAAACGGAUGUGGCAAUUUUUUUAUUGGGUAUUAAAGAAAGUAAUGACUCAAUAAAUUGAACCGACGUAUUAUAAUAUCCAAUAGAAACAUGCCACAUUACUCGGUAUGUAAAUUUUGAUAAGAUCCCUCAGUAGAGCUAAAUGCCACAUUACUCGGUAAGUAAAUUUUGAUAAGAUCCCUCAGUAGAGCUAACAUUUGAGAAAAAGGAUGAGGAUGAAGAAGAAGAAGAAAGAAAGAGAGUAAAGGAAGAAAAGCUUCAGAGAAAGUCAGCUUAUAGGAGUAAUAUGGUUCGCACCACACGUCUGGGUACAUAAUCACGCAAAGACAGAAAAUUACUGGCGGAGACGGCGGAGACGGCGAAGACGGCGCAGAUGGCGCAGACGGUGCAAACGGCGCAAACGGCGCAGACGGCGCAGAUGGCGGAGACAGCAGAGACGGUGGAGACGGCGCAGACGGCGGAGAUGGCGAAGAUGGCGCAGACCGCACAGAUGGCGCAGAGGGCGAAGACAGCGGGAGGCCGCGGAGACGACGGAGACAACAGAGACGGCGGAGGUCCAUAAUAAUAGAGAUUUAAUCCUUCAGCCAUCAUGGCCUCACACGAUUAUAAGAGUCCCUUUCCCACGUCAGGUUAUAACCCGAGAAGCAAGUCAUCAUGGUUAUGUUGCAAGAAUCCUUGAUGUCCCCUACUCGUAGAGCUUUUAUAUUUGUAGGCAACAAAUACACAACGUAUGAGUACCACUUCAUUUGGGAAAUAUUAGGGGGCGUAUCGGAAGGGUAUGCUCCCUCAAUACAUGGUUCAGUAUUGAUAUACUUAGGAAAAGAAACGGGCUGUGAGCACUUCAUGAAGACCGCCGAGGAUAAAGCAUAAUUAUAGUAUGGAUACAGAUCACUCAAGUUGGAGCUCGCCAAAAGGAAAUCAGGGAGGGAUGAGCCAAAAAAAUUUUGCAAUCCAUCAUCAACCACCGUGAUUUUACCAGAGAAAUCAUCUCCGGAAUUAUUGUCAUAGUAAAUUGACUUCACAUAAUAUUGACUGGCAGACAAAUUUGGACUAGUGCGACUAUUUUCGCAAGCUAGCUCAUACUCAGAGCGGCCACAGCCUUCUGGGUCGUCUUCCAAUCGAAAAGGAUAGUGUAUAUCACGAACCUCACCGCAAGAUGAAGGGACACACCCGUGAUUCUUCUUCGCACCACAACUUGUUCCCAAUAGCAGCAGAACAUGCAAUAUGAAAAGCAUAACAUGGAACAUGUUCAUGGAGCUCAGAGACUUAAUCAUCUCUCUAUCGUUUGAUCUGAUGCAAUGAAAGUUUUUGCUAAUUGGUAAUGUGAUGGAGGCCUAGUUAUAUGAAUUAAAAGUGUUGGGAGUCGUCGGUCAUACAAAUGUCCAAGUCAACCAAUAAAGGCAAGUCUAGUGAAGAAAAAGUAUGUAUCGUGACAAAACACGGUGUUGGAAUUAUUUAUUUAGCUUUCACAUUGAUUAGAAAAGAAACUUCUCUGCAGUUUCCAAAUUGACUCUUCUUAGUACCAUUAAAAAAGAAUCGAUUUGAAUGUUUUGUAUUAUAAAAUGAAUCAAAAAUCCUUUCGAGCGAGGCAUUGGCGUUCUAUUUUAUUUUCAAGGCUAAUAUUCCAUAAAUGUCACUUAUUAAAUUGUGAAGACAAAAAUGAAAUACAUAUCAUAUUUUAUUGUAUGAGCUUUUUCAUUUUUAACAAAAAACAAAAAUUGGUAACAAAAAUAGCUUAUUGACGGGAAUAUUAACUUGUAUAAUGUGGCUUUUGGCAAAAGUAAAAAGAAAAUAAGGAGUAAGUGCUUCUUGAAUGGUGUAACACGUUAUGAAAGAAAGAAAGCAAUACAAUAAUUGCUAUCGAGGGACCGACGCACCUAGAAAGCAAUACAACAAUUGCUAUUGGGGGACCGGUGCACCUAGAAAGCAAUACAAUAAUUGCUAUCAAGGGACCAAUGCACCUUGACUAGAACCUCACAAACUUCGUUGUCACAAAAAGACUAUAGAUGCAAAAUUUGACCUCAGAAAUAUAAAGUGAUGUUUAUUUAUUUACUGCCAACUUAAAUAAUUCAAUCACUCUCCCACAAUUGUGCUAGAUCUAUGAACAAUACUAUCAUCUCUUUCCUAUAAUAGAACCACUUAAUGACUGAACCGAUCAAUUUCAAUAUUACUGUCAUUUUAUCAAAUGAAACGAAUGUUGUUGCUUGCUUCACGAUCAUCUUCCAUAUCUGAAUGUGUGGAAUUGAAGGUGUCAUGUAGGCUUAAAUGAGACUAUCAGUCAAUUUACCAUUGUGAACAUAACAUUAGAGAGUUUCGCAUAGAAAUUCUUAUCAACAAAAUAGAAACGCCUUCUGAUAGUUGUAAUUAGCACUUACCAUAUAUUUUCUCAAGCUAAUGCGUACCCCUAAGUAUAAUUGAAGAGACUGAAAUGGAUUUUCCAUAUAAUACAACAAAUUUUUUAUUUUAACUGACGCAUCCAAUGACGUUUUAACUGCACAUGUUCAAUUUUUUGUAGUAGUAUUAUUACUGAUUACGUUUUUAUUUUUAUUUUUAUUGCAUAUUACCCUUUCUGGAAGUUGGUUUGUUCUGCGAGCAUCUCCACACGCAAUGAUACCUUAGUUGCUUUCUAUAUCAUCAUUAAAUAUUCAGCAAUGAUUAGUGAAAUUUUUAAGUAGAAAAUCUCUUAGUGAAAGUAUCCUAUAUUAUCUCUUGCACGUAUACCACUAGAUUUGGACAUACAUUAUGCAAAUUGAUGUAUCAACAGUGCCAUAAUAUACUAUGGAAAAAUAAUAAUCUAUUUCGUAGUGUUGGAUUUUUCAUUUUUGACAAAAACGAAAUUUGUAAUUGAAAAAAUUAAUAACGGCACCGAAGACUAUUGUUGCACAUUACGAGAAAAGAUUAAAGGCCAUACAAUAAUUUCUCAAAUAGCAUUAGAUGGACGUAAGCCUCGAUUUGAAAGUCACUUGCUUCGUCAUUGCCCGACACGCAUGAAGACUAUAGGUGCAAUAUUCACAUUCAAAAAAAUAAAGCAAUACAUGCUUUUUCACUUGCAAUUGAAAGUAUUUUUCUCGUAAAUCAAUCUCUCACUCUCCUGUAAAAUAACCCCAUCUCUUUCUCGCAAUAAAACUGAAUGAACUGACAGAUCUAAACAAUAACGUCGUUUAAUUGAACAAAAGAUGCUUUUACCUGCUUCAUAAUCAUUUUCCAUCUCCGAAUGUGUGGUAUUGCAAGUGUCAUGUAAGCUCAAAUGGGACUACAAGGAAGAGUGCUGCCAUUUUCAUUCUCUGUUGAUAGCUGCUUGAAUUUGCUCAAGACUUCUCCCUUUCGUUUCAGGGACCACUGUGAUCACGAACACCAUCCCUUUGGCAUUAAUCGCCGCAUAAAGAAGGAAGGUGUGUGAAGCAAGCGAGCAGAGUUAUUUGCUUUCAACAAGUUUGGCGGAAGCAUAUUCUGACAUUUUUCUCAUGGGAAGAAUGCUUUCAUAUGUACUACCUAUCUAUUAAUCAUUCUGCAGAAAGACCCACUUCACUUAUUUUCUUUUCUAAAUGACACGUCGACUCAAUUUUCGUGAUAUUCGAAUCUAGGUAGAAGUUGCCGUAAACACAAUGAUUGAAAUAAAUGGACUGAAUAUGCAUUCGAGACCAUGAAGAACAGAGUGACAGACACCUCCAGCUCCAAAUAGGAUUGAAGUUUUUAGGAAAAGCUAAGUCUCAAGUCAGUAGUUUGGUUGAAUUCGCACAACUCAUGUUCCAAUGUGACAGAUGUUUAUCGAGCUCCUACCAGAGCAACAGUUCAAAGAGUGUUUUCAGUAGAGUUGUACCAUAGGAGCUCUAGCCCGUCGAGCCCAGUCCAAAUAUAUAAUUUAAUUUAAUUUUUAUUGAACGAAAAAUGUCACGCCCCGAACCCCGAGACACGUGAACAACCUGCCAUGGUCAUGUAAAUGCGACAUUUCCAGGUAAUGUCGCCGACCCCAUAAAUUUCAUUAUGCGCAUGCGGAACGUAUUAAAAACUCCUGACAAAUAAAUUACGGAAUAGGACAGCAGGAAGAAAAUCAAUUCAGAUACAAACCAACAUACUUUCACAAAGUCAAUCAGGGCUUACAUACAAUCAAAAAGGGUCUGAGACUAUGUGCAUCAAAAAGGGUCAGUCUGCACACUAGGGAUCGGUCUACAAAAAGGAGAAUAGUCCUAUUAGCACUAGUCGGACUCAUUCGUCGAUCCCACAUCCUCAGGUUCUGACACCCAAGAGACCAGAGGCGAUGCGUUGAUCACUCCACCGUCAGGAAGAUCCGCCACGCCUUCACCCAAAAUGGCGUCCAUCACAGUCAACGGAAUGUCCAUGCUAUCUAGUGGGCCAACCCUAACGCCAUCGGCCCCAAAACGAAACCAAGCCCUAAACAUAUAAGGUACUCUGACAUCCACGGUCACCUGGACGAAGACAAUGGACCUAACUAACUAAUAGACCCAAGAACUUCCAGGGUCAGGAGCACUCUGCGUCGUCUGGUGAAUCUCCGUCGGUAUGCCACUCUUCUCUGGGGGUGCCGUCAUCUACGGUCCUGUAAUAUUUUCCCCAAACCGGGAUGAGACUUUGUUUCAGCAAGUUCACCCCUCCUAAACCCCUAUUAGAAAGUAAAUACGCCCCAGAGUAGCUUAGCCACGACAUCAAGAAGACUUACCUCGCAUUAGCCUUCAUCUGCAGGUUAGCACAGUUUAUAUAAUUCAACCACUUGAAAUUCUGAUAACUAAACAACUGAGGCACAAUCACAUUGUCAGAACAAUACAAUCACUUAGAUCGUCUCAGCGAUCAAUCGACUCGGCCGAUUACAUGUCAUACCGGCAAUCAAUUACUGCUUCCAAUCACGACCCUAUCGGAAGGUUUAAUAACUAGUGGCAAUCACGGCCCCACUCGGCACGACCUUUAAUUAGGUGAUCCAUCACGGCCUCACUGGGCACGACCUCUAAUAGGUGGUUAAUCACGGCCUUAUUGGGCACGACCUCUCAUAGGUGGUCCAUCACGGCCCUAUUAGGCACGACCUCUCAUAGGUGGUCCAUUACAGCCUUAUUAGGCACGACCUCUCAUAGGUGGUCCAUCACGGCCUCACUGGGCACAAUCUCUAAUGGGUGGUCAAUCAUGACCAAUCUCCCAUCAAUUUCCACACUUAGGAUUUUAUAAAGAAUCCCUAUUUAUCGCAAUCACACUCAAUUUACCACAACCAAUCAUCAAUUUCAAAUUCUAAAUGCACAACAGCGAUCGGCAUGAAAUUCUGAGCAACCAGGGUCAAAAAUCAUUUUUCCCGUUUUUUUUUAAGCAAUUUCGGAUUAUAAUAUAAUAUUAUAUUAUCCAGAAUUUCGAAGCAUUUAAAUAAUUCAAAACUAAAAUCCUAUUAAAUAACUUCUUUUAACCUUAAUUAAACACACUUUAACAUAAACAAAUCUCUUAAUCCAAUUUAUAAUUAAAUACACUAAUCUACCCACCUAAACUUACUUAAUUUAAACUAAACAUACUUAGAGCAUUAUUAACACUCUAAUUAGGGUUUAGUGAGGUAAACUCACUUGAUUAACUCGCCGCUUGGACCAAAACGACGAGGGCGACGCCGGGAUCGACUUUUCCAAAAGCGGGCCUAGCUUUCGAGGCUAGGAAGAUGGUCAAAACGGGCCUCAACCGGGCUGUGAGACCCACUUCUUCUUGUUGCACGACAAGGCCCGAGAGGAGGAAGAACGGCGACGGCUAGAGGCGAUAAGGGCGGAGGAGAGGCGCGGCUAUCCAGGUGGUGGCUCACGGCGACGGCUAGCGGCUUGGCUAACGGAGGGCGACGGCGGCAAGCUGCUAGGGACGGCCGAAGCUGCUGGCGUGGCGACAAAGGGGCUGAGCGGAGGGAGAAGCGAUCGCGGGACUGGCGGGCGAGGGACGACGCGGCGGCAACGGCCGCUCGGCACGACGACGACGAACGGCGAAUGGGCGGACGGUGAGCAGGCGAAGGAGGCAGACAGAGUGACCGGUUUGUUGGUUUUGCUUCAGCUUUUUUCCUCUCUCCCUCUCUCUCUUCCAAGUUCAAAAUGAAGAAGAUGAUGUUGAUGGGUGUGGGGGCAAAUCUUGGCCCUCCACUUGUCAAGAUCUCCCUCAUUUUGGCCACCCACCAUGACAUCAUCCCAUGACAUCAUCUUCCACUAUCUCCUCUCCCACAACAUCCUUCAAUGGGUGCAAUAUCAUUUCUGCCGGGGUCCAAAUCUUUGUACAUCCAAUUUCUUCAAUUUUUCUUUCAAUCCUCUUCUAAUUGAAUCCAAUUAAAAUCCACAAAAAUUAUCCCCAUGCUCCUAAUAAGAUAUGUGACAUGACCGGGCUUCCAACUUCUAAAUUAAAUCCCAAUUUUUACGGUUGAAUUCAAUCUGGUGCGAUUUCAGCACGCCUAAUCCACUGAGUAGCUUUUGGGGAAAUUUUCUUGCAUCCGACCUAAGGGUGAUCAGUCCCCAAGUCUAACGCGGUAAAAUUCCUUAAUUACUUCACUCAAUAGACUAGUUCCCUUGUGAGUGGCCAACUCUGAGAGACGAACUACAUGCACAGAUGAAUUGCCUGACUCAAUUGACUGAAAAUAAAAUUGGGGAAAAUCGGGAUGUUACAAAAAAUCUCGAAAAUCUCAAAUUAUGGCAAAAUCCUUUGCGUUCGUGUUCUAGGGUUAUGGAGGCUCUUAUACCACAUGUAGGACGCAAAUUGCAUAACCCCAAGAUCUCCAUAACUAGAACAAGAACAUGCAUAAUUGAGUAGAAAUAUUAACGCACCUGUUUUGGGAUCCAUUGUUCUUAAAGCGGAAGCGAAAACACAAUGUUCCACGCACAAUGUUCCACGCACAAGUCCUUCUCCUCUAUUGUCCUCCGUAUCACUGGCUCAAUGAAGCGGCCCCCUCACGUGUAGGGUUAGGUAAACGCCCCUUAGGUGAUGAUACAGCUGAAAAUUAGGGUUAGAGGAGAGACUUGAGCACUAUUUAUAGAGUUUCUAGCCAGGCCCCCUCAUUAUGGGCCAGGCUCAACUCGAUCCACAUUAGCUAGUCCCAUAUUAGACUAAUUAAGAAACCUUCUAUCUCACAUUAGACCAGCUCUGUUUUACGGUAGCCAUAAAAACAGUAAAUUACAAUAUCAAUUAAUGUAGUCCACAUUAGGAAAACUCUUAUAAGAGGAACUUGAAAAAUCGUUCUGCCAGCCUCGCACUAAUGAAACAAAAAUAAUAAAGAGUGAAAAGUGACAUAUUAUUACCAAAAUGAAAUUGACAAAAAAACUGAGAGCUUAGGUGAGGUGAGCUGGGAAAGAAAUUUAUGUAUGAUCAAUAUUGUAAAAUAACCUAAGUCUAAAUUCUCGAUAUUUCUUUUGCUAUACGAUAUGAAAUGAAAAAUCUCUAUUUGGACAAGAAAAUUUUCUUUUCUUGAUGACUGUGUAUUAUAAUUAUACAAUUAUGCAUUACUAUAAGUUUUCGCCAACCUCUUCGAUGAACAUGGCUUCAUCCAUAAGGAUACAUACACGGAUGCACAAGAAUCAGAUUUCGAUCAAGUCCAGAGAACUAAACAAGGCCUGGUUUUCCUCUCUUUAGGUAGACAUCCUGAUUGUGUUGACAAUCUUAUCCACCAAGACAUGUAAUUCCCUAUUUUCAAGAGUACGAUGCCUAAGGAAACGAACAUUCAGUACUCUUCUUUCAUCCUGCUCUUAUAUUUUACUAAACAAGACAGAUUGCCAUACGUAUAAAGAUGUAUAAUUAGAGAAGAUCCAAGAGAAUAUAAUAUUAAAGGAUUGACUUAUUAAGACAUGACAAAUGCAACUUGAGUUCAUUAUUUGACCUGCACCUUUUAAAUAAAAAUAAAAAUAUAUUUUCGUUACUUAUAAAUUCCUAUGUAGGCUUGAUAUGAAAAAAAAAAAAAUUGUCCUGCCCAUUACUAUUUUAAUACGAAACUAGAAAAAAGAAAAUCACCCAACACUUUUUUAUGCCCAACAAAAGAAACAAAGAAAAUAUUUGCAUAUAUUUCGAGAAAGAAAAUCUAAAGAUUUCGAUUUUGACAGGAUGAAAUAAUAUUUUUUAUUUAAUUUGAGAGAUUUUUGUUCUUAUCUUAUUAAUCAGCAUCUUUGCUAGUGAAUACAACAUAUUAUUACAAUUUUCUUUUUUCUUGGACAGAAAAAAGAGCUUGGGCUCGAAACCAAAGAUAGUAUUACUUUUUAUGUAAUAUAGAUUAUAAAUUCUUUAAUUUAAGGAAGGGCAGGGAUGAAUCACCUAUAAUUAAUUUUUUUCCCCUAGAUAUCGACAUAGAGUACGAAGCCAGCUGGUCUCGUCCUUGAAGAAAGGAACAGAAACGAGAUAAACGGGAGAGAAAGGCGGCAAAGGGAAGGGGGGGUCUCUCCGGUCUUUUUGGGUUUGCUCGGCCGAGGUAGAGCAACCGAGAGAGAGAGAGAGAGAGAGAGAGAGAGAGCUAGUGAGAGUGAGAAGGUGAGCUCGAGAGAGAGAGAAAGAGCGAGCCAGAGAAGAGAGGGAGCUCGAGGGUGGCUGCUUCUGGAAGGGUGCGGCUGAAAACCAAGGAGAGGCUAGAGCCGCUCAAGAGGGGAGACCGAGAAGGUGGAUAGCGAGGGAGAGCGGGAGAGAGAGGCGACUGUGUUCUCGACUUCUUCGGGGGAGGCUGGAGACAGCGAGAGCAACACAGAGAGUGAGAUCCGAGAGAGUGAGCAAAGGGUGAAGCGGAGAGAGAACCGAGAGUGAGCGGAGGGAUGGACUGAGUGAGAGAAAGCGAGACCCAGAAGCCGAACUUCGUUCUCGGACAAGCGUUGCCCGGCCAUCCCCAACAUAAACCGGCGAUCUCCAGCCAACACCCUCGAGCACGUGGUGAGUUUUCUUUGGGUUCGAUCCACUUUUAUCUCGAUGAUCCUGGCUCGGUGCAACGUCGAGGCGGCAGACCAUAGCUCAUUUUGCUUCAGGCUCACCUUCUGGCCGUCGUCGCUGAGCCGGGUAGGGAUAUUUGUGGUCAAACACUUCUCUCUGGGAACUCCGUUGCUUGGUUUUCUUUAAGACGGAACCGAAAUGAUAGCUGGGUCUCAUUUUCCCUAGUCCACCAGCAUGCUCGGUUUGAACGAGCCGUCCCUUUUGUCGAGUUUGAGUCAUCACUUGCUGCUUUCUUUUGAGUAAAUGACUUGGAGUGCUGCCAUUUUCAUUCUCUGUUGAUGCCUGCUUGAAUAUGCUCAAGACUCCUCCCUUUCGUUUCUGGAACACACCCUUUAAAUUGCCCCCUGGAGUUUCUGCACGAAAAUUGAUUAUUCACAGGUUUAAUAGCAUGCGAGUAAUGACUGGACUUUAUCUAUUUAGAUAUGGUGGUGGACUUUUGACUAGUUAUGCACUGUUCAGAAUGCCAGAUUCAUUUGUAGAGGUUUCUAGAGGAAGAUUUUGUUUACUGUUUUUCUAAAUUAG
rnacentral:lncRNA from 1 species